AUGCUCCAAAUGCUGCAGAUUGAGUCAUUGAGCUGGUACAAGAAGACAUGAAUUGAAUCACUCUAUUUGCAGAGGAAGAAAUUUGACAGAGGGGAAAGGCAACAUCUUUUACAACAUUUCUAUAUUUAAAUCUUAAACGAUACUUGUCCACAAACACACCAACAGUAAAACCAACCCUGAUGAGCAAAGGCUAAUUUGAACACAAUCUCAUUGACAACUAAUAUGUCUCCAGGUGAUGGAGGUUUAACCCACGCCAACUCUCAGACCCCUCCAGAGUGAUCAAACGGUCUAAUUAUUAUCCACAUUUGCUCUUCACAGACGUUGUGAGAGCCUUUUAGGAACGCUGGGACGCGGCAGGCAGAGCGCUUAACUGUGGAGCUAAACUUAAAAUCAACAUGAUUACAUAACCCGCGGCUGGAGCUCAGGCCACUCUGAUGGAGAGGCUACUUGAAUUUCAUCAGCGUCCAAAUCUGUGGAGGACUGGACAGAGCAGAGCCAAUUCUAUUUCACUAGCACUCUUUUGUUAUCAGAGAUACGGAGGAGGAACAUUCAUCUUCAUUUACAUGUCUGAAAUAGUGACACAUUUGAUAUGAGAGUAAUUAAUUUAUGUUAUCUAAUGUAUGCAACCAUCUGCUAAUAUGACAAACAUCCUCAUAUGUUUGAGGACGUUUUACAAUAAUUAUAAUUAUAGAUAGGAUGGUCAACUUUUAAUGGUCAGUGAAUUUAUUGUGCAAACUCAAAAUGAGUCUAAAACUGUGUUAUAGUUUCAGCAAGAAGCUGAGUUAUACAUAGUUGUCUUCUCUUCUAAAAAUAACCAGGAGAAGCAAUUCUUAUAACUUACAACUGGUUGAAACACUUUUACAUUCAAAUGAGCAAUACCAGACAGCCCACAGGCUCUUACCCACUUAUUUCUGAAAGCUCAGCAAGAUUUUAGGAUCUCUUCAACACAUUAUUUUCACCAGCAGCCUGAUUGUCCACUGUCUUUUCUUAAAUAGAAGCAGACCCAGUUAUUAAAACUGUUGACAAUAAUUGAUUGAUUUCCCUCAUCUGUUAAGAAUGCCAUCAGUCAAAUGCUAAUGUUAAGUCUUUUUCAUGAACCAAAAUGUGAGGUCCAAUGUUGAUUGAACUCUUUGAUAGGCCGAUUAGAACCACAGCGAUAGAAGUGCCACCAACAAAAAGGGACUUUUUUUCAAAUUUAUCACAUUAUUUAUAACAUUAUAUCAUUUAAUAUAACUUUUCGCUCUUGUUUAUGCUGUAAGACAUAACAGGAGUAUGUAGGUUUAGCGUCUGCAAAUAGUGCAAAAAAGAUCAAGCUUAGAGAGUGUAUAGAGUGAGCGUUGAGAACAGUGUUUUAUUUGGAUUUAGUCAGAAAUAACCUAACCCACUACUAUUGACUAUUUUCUCAUUCAGCCUCAAUUACAAAAAAAGACCUAUCCCUUUAAUCUUUGUACUUUUUUAUUGUAUGGCCAAGGUGAAGUUUUUCAUUAAUGCUUUGAAAUAGAAGUUCAACAGGCUGAAAUUGCAAUGUUCAAUUUUAUUUAGUGGAUGUUUUUAUCCAAAGCAACAACCAUCUGUGAGUAACAAAAGCGAGGAGCUAGACAGGAGACAACAGUAAGUGCCAUAAGACUGCGUCAAGUCCAGCCGAACACAGGUGCAAACGGGCAGAGGUACAUUGAGCUCGGUCUGGAUCAUUUGCAGAGGUUUAAGAUUCAUGCAUGAAGGCCUACCAAAGCAAGUUAUGUCAGUCAAUGCAGGAUAUAAGGAAUCUAUAUGGUCUGAUCUUCCUGAUGUUGUACAAGGUCUAUCAAUAUGACUGAGAAAUAGAGGUGAGAUGUACCCUAAGGUUAGCAGGUUUCCAAUCAUAGCCUUGUCAGGAUGCAGUUACCCUCCUGCACUGCCUCCAAAAGGUGAAGAGGAUUUCCCCUUUUGAGACAUUAACUCAAAAUGGAGAUAUCCACCCCAGAAACAAUUAAUCUGGCUAUUUAUUCUCGCAUUACGGCCAGAUAAAACUUCUCCAUCAUGGGGAAUGUGCUGCGUGUCUCCCUGAUCUUUAUUCUAAUGAGGCUUAAUGAGGUAUACCCCCUUUAAUUAGGUCUCUCUUAGCAUGUCAGAGUUUCAAUUCCACUGUUGAUCAAUGGGGUGGAGACAAGCCAUUUCAUUUACCUCAAGGCUAAAAGUGUCAGACAACAUUUGGUGGGAAUCCCAAGCUUUUAAUGAUUCUAAAUGCCAAGGCUGACUAUGCAACUAGAACCACACAGGAAACACAGUUAAGGAAAAGCAAGAGCGGGUCACCUACAGGGCAUGAUUACGGCUAAUGUAACAUGUAUGUGAGUUGCUUGUACAGCACAGUAAGGUCUGCACAUGGUCUUUUUUCCCUCUUCUUGUCAAUGCAGUAGUAAAGCUCAGUGGGUUCGGGGGUACAUCUGAAAGUUAAUGCUCCUAAACCAAGAUCAAAAACCACCUGAUCAAACAGAAGAGAUACCUGGUCUUCCCCUUGAACAUUUUAUACUGUAAAUAAAUGAAACAUUCUCGAGGGCGUCAUGGACUGACACGCUCAGAUUGGAAAACCCAAGGUUUUUUGAGAUCAGCACAUAAGAUGGAUGAGGUUAGUUCAUCUUUUCUCUACAUAAAAGACUGAUAAUGGCUGGGUGAUUUCUGAACUCAGCUCUACUGAAGGCAGUGAUCUGUGGGGAACAGGGGAAAAAAUCCGUGUUGAAGUGUAACAAACACUCACUUUAGCACUGCACUGAGUCUGAAAAGCCUGUGAGCCGAGUUAUUAGCUAACAUAAGGACAAUAAUUACAAAAUAAAGUGUCCAACAGACUGUGACUGAGUAAACAUUGAUCAGUUGAAUUUCAGUAUAAAGUGGUGAUCCAUUGUGAUGAGGCAUCAAAGCUAAAACAGUCCCACAGCAAACUUCCAACUUUGUUUUUAAGGGUAUAAGAGUUUAUCCGUGCAACAGAUUGAAUGGUUAAAAUUCAUGACUCAACUUCAUGGCUGUGCAGUGACUCAGAACAUUUUGGUAAAAUAAUGAUGUUAAUAGCAUAGUGCAUGUCAAAGUGCACCAGCAACUACAGCAACAAGCUCCGAUUAAACUCACUAAUGCUUGCGCCUGGCAAAAUGAAAAAUAGACUGCCUGCUCAUAAUUGUCUAUGACAUGUGGUGUACAUUAGAAACAACCUUUUCAAAAAGGAAUUUAGGUUUUGACUUAAUGUGAUAACAUAGGAUCAAAAAGGGUUCAAGCAGGAGGUGGGCAGUUUGUUAUAUAUGGUUGGGGUUACAAGAACUAAGAUCUUCUGCCUACACUAGCGAUGCUGUUGUCUAGAUAGAUUACUGUUUUGUUGACUCAGUGGCUUAAUCAGAAAAGCAAAUGCACUCAAAGAGCUCAGCAGCUUACAGCAACACAAAUAAGCAGCGUUGUACAUAUUCAGUAAAUAACAGAAAAUUGACAAGAGGCCAUUACUCCCAUGGUUUCUCCUGAUCUCUGCAGUUUAAUGCAUGUUGUGCUUUUCUUUUACUGUUACCUACAAUGUGAACAUUUUGACAAGGACAUUGGCAAGAAAUUAUUAUAUGUUAUUGAAUGAAUAUUGUUAUUGAUCAAUUACCAUCACCAUAAUUUUGGUCCUCUAAGUGACCCAUAGGUGGCAUUUUACUGUUAAUAUCCAAAAUAUAAUUCUAUGAUGUUUGUCUACAAGCCUGCAGGCAUAAUCAAAGAUUAGUAGUGUGAGCAAAUAAAUUCAUUGAAUAAAAAGAACAUUUUUAAUUAACAUCUGAAAAAACAUCAUCUGAUGUUGGGCACAAUUAAGAGCAGCAGAUUUAAGUGUUGCUACUUUGUUGAGUUAACUUUUUAAACUUUAAAAUGAUAAAAGAUGAUAACAUUUUUCUUUCACAUUCUAUCAGAAUUGUGCCUAAAACCUAGGUUAAGGUUAAACCCCAAAUGUUAACCACACCUGGCCACCCCUGCAAAAGUGGUGUUGGGCCACCUCAGUCAAAAAAAAAAUCUGGUUCCACCACUGCUUUCCAGGAGACAUGGCUUUACUUGACAAAUGGUGAGUUUUGAGCCCAUGAAAAGCCUUGUGGGAGUAGCAGUUGGCUGACAAGGAGGACAAGUAACUUAAUGCCAUCCAAAAAGUUAAGAUGGUAUGAGCAGUAGUCCAGUUAUGAAAAAAAAAUCAGGGGAGAUGGUGGAUUUUAUUGUUUGGGACAGAUAUUUUGUUCUGCUGACAGUGCACAUAAUGGGAAACCAACUGUGUCCCCAUUUAAGAUAAUUAUAUUACAUUAUCCCUCAGAUUGAGCUGUCCAUGUCGCUUGGCCAUGAUACUGAAAUCACAAAAGCAUCACCAGUGCUGCUCACUGUCAUUUUUUUAAAAAGGGGAAAAUAAUAGUGAUUUUCACUCAUUUUGUAUUUUACUAAAUAUGUGCAAAGCCUCCUGUCGUGGGGUUCUCGCGCAAACAAUCACAAUAGUGGAAAAACACUAGCAUAGUGGAAAACAAAGUGAUGGUGAUAUUUAUUUACAGCUGGCCUUCUAAGGUGUUGUGCAAAAAUAUUUACAAAAGUGCAAAACAUUUCCAAAUACUAUUUAUAAAAUAUAAAAGGCAAAAAAGAGUUCCACUAAAACUCAAGAUUCUCACUCAAGAGAUAAAAACACAACAUCACUACAAAAGUUACUUUUGCAGUUACCUUCCAUACAACAAACUCCUCUAGCCCCUCCUAGUGGGCGUUAUCAAUUACAUAAGUUUAGAAAAAAAAAAACAUUUAUUCACAUUAAAACCAUUUUUUACCAUUUUUAACCAUCAGGCCUUUUUCUGUAAGUUUUUGUCAUUUUAACUAAGUUUUUACACAAAUCAAUAGAGCAUUAAUUUUUUAUUGGGGGGAUUCAUGACAAGCAACAAGGGAAUUAUUUUUUCUUGCAUCAUGUGACCACUUUGACCCUCCAUACCCACCUAUUUCACACACGGAAAUCACACGCUCUGUUUCCUCAUUUGCAAACAUGAGCCGACGUGAUGGCGUGAAUGGACACCCGGCAGGUAAGUGGAGGGAUAAAUGUCUACGUGAAUGUAUGUGUAAGUUAACUGAUAGAUCUCCAAGUGUGCACCCUUGGUUACCCUAUCCAACAGAGAAGGACGAAGGAAAAGUAGCGCUGUUUAGUUGGUAAUUAGCAACGCUGUCAAGGAGUGAAAUGUUUGGCGUGUAUGUAGGUAUGCGUGUCUCCAUGCGCUGCCCACAGUCAAUGAGGACGCGGCUCCUUCACACCCACCAAACGUUAAGAGUUGCCGUAAUUUGUCAAAAGUUAAAAUAGUAGUAAUAUUUCCACAUUCAUUGACAAAAAUGGCUCGAGGGAUGUACAGUUGGGAUGACCAUUUCAGAAAGGGGACGAUUUUGACCAUUUUCAUAUCAGUGCUGGUUGUGGGGUAAGUGAGAGUUUUACUUUCUUGUGUUAACUGUAUGUUCAGGUUACCGUGGUCGUAUUUGUAUGUAUUUGUUAACUUUUAAUAUCAUCGUAUCGGGGCCGUCUGCGGAUAACUGCAGACCACUGUUUCCAAUGUGAAGCGGCUAAAGUUAAUGAAUUGUUAGCUCGUAAAUGCCUGAAAACGCAAACGAGAGUCUGCUUCUUUUUUUAAUUAAAAAUUUGAACUGCGACAUUUAAAACGGCUGAUCGAUCAGCUGGUGACGUGACGCGCACGAGUUUUUAACGGUCGUUCUGUUUGAAUGUUCGCGAGCGCAUUGUUGUACGUUGCGUGGCAGACAUGAGCAAAAGCGAGUUAACAAUUGGGAUUAUAUGUUGCUAAAAAGCUAGAAAUGAUAAAUAGACAGGUACAAGUAUUCCUUAAGCAUGGUAGAGGUAUUUUUGACUAGUUUUUGGAGUGUUAUGGUGUUUUAUAUUCAGUUAAGUGCAAUUGUACAGCUGCAGUUUAGCUACGUUUACUAGCUUUAGCUUACUACAGUUUAACAGCCAAAGCUAAUAUUACUGUUUAUUUUGUUUGUCGCAGCCAUUGCCAGUAUUAAAGUGAUGAUUUUACAAGGAAACACAAAGUAACAGUAAAAUUUGUCAUCCAGAGCAGGUGUGUAGUUGUUUCAGUAACAAGUCUACUAAAGGAGCAAAAAUGCAAGUUAUUUUAGGGGAUUUUGCUCAGUCUGGUUGCACUGUCAAUCGUGUAAGUGAACAUGUGUGAGGAAAAAUAAGUACUGGUCAUAUCUGCAGUGUUAGAGGGAUGAAUGCAGAAAAACAAGGAGCAAAUACUGUCGAAACACCCAUCGGAUUGAUAAAUAAUCUUAAUUAUGUUCUGUGUUUGCUUAUACUUUACGUAAUCAACUCACAUAUAUUCUUCUAUUUUCUAUGUUGUUGAAAAGCAAUAAGGCUGAGAGAGGUGUUAUCUUGGACCAAGACAAAAUCUUAACCUGUAUUCAGGACCCCGCUCCCACCAGGAGGCUCAGACAUCGCAGUCUCUGCAGGGUAAGUGAUGGGUGUCAUCUCAGUGUUGUUUUACAACUUAAAGUAUUGGUUUAUCUGUGUAAAUGACUCCAGUCAAAGUUUUGUGGUGAAAAGUUUAGUUUUUAGCCAUAUUGCAUUUCUUUAGGCCAAGAGUAGUCAUAACUUCACCAUAAAGUUCCUCUGGCAUUAGUUUUGUGGCAGAGGUUUGAAGAUUUUACUGUGGAAUCACUCUUGUUGUUUUUUAUUAGGUCAUUUUGACUUUUCCCCAUCUGCAAAACAAACUGCAAGUGAGUGGUAUAUUCUGAAUCUAAAGCUAUAUUAUUUAUUGUGUCCCUAUCAGCCGACCAAAUAUGAUGGUCAUCUCCCUGAUGACCAUCAUCUCUGUAUAUUUAGAUUAUGUAAAGUAGGAUGCAGUGCUCUGCUCUGCUCAUCUUGGCAGCAAAGCUGAUUGUGCAGUGACUACAGUUUAUACAGUGAUUUAUAGAUGCUGCCUGAUCUGCCAAAGACAAUCCCAAUUUAAUUUUUUUAAUCCUUGGAGUUCAAGGAUGAAAUUCUUUAGUGCCGUGGGAUAUAAAAAGCUCUUAUUAGAUGUGGAUUUUGCUGACAAACAAGGCUAAAGGGGAAACUAUUGAAUAUAUCAGACAGCUAGCUUUCAGCAGCCCUUUAAAUCACUAACCAAAACAAAACAAAAAAACAAACAAAUAAACAAACAAACAAAAAAUCAAUUUGUGGUGAUAAUGGGGCAUCAAAUGAGUUGUAAAUGCUGGCUGUUUUGGAGCAUAGGCCUGGAUUGUGGACAGUUGGUUGGAAACUGUUCUACCUCGAUAAUGAGAUUCAGGAAGGGCCGUGCUGCUGCCUCAGCCAGAGGGCUUACCCAGGCUUAUCUACAAGCUGUACCACAGAGGGGGGGAUGGAGGGGUGGGAUGGAAGAAGGAGAAAGGAUGGUGUUUUAGCAUAGAUACUUGCUUUUUAUAGCAGACACUUCUACAUAUCCAGGGCCUCUGUCAGUUUGAGAACAUCCAUGACAGUUUUAAGAGGAGUUUUUACAACAAGUGGAUCAAUCAGCCACACAUUGUUCCAUUUGUCUGUUUUAAACACAGUUUUAAAUAACAGUGAGAACAUAACAUAUGUGCUUCCUUAAUUUACUUACAGUUUAGAACAUGAACAUAAUCUGGAGAUGCAAACCACUUGUCUAAAGUUAGGGUCCUGUUUUUCCAUCUAUUUGGUGGAGGAAAUUUGGAAACUAUUUUGCUCAGCUUUGACGUAUCUACUGUCUGUCACUGUUCUGCUUACUUUACACUUUUGGCCUUUUUGUCAGAUCAUUUUUUUCCCUCAGUAAAGGGUGUAAUUUUUUAUUUUUUUUUGGCCUGUAAAUGCGACACAAGCAAAUGAGCAGUUGCCUCAUAUUUCUGGUUCUCCCUGACUGUGGAUGAAAAACACUCAAAACAUAAACACUAUUUCCGCAUGUAUAUCAGCACCAGCGUGCAUUUGACAUCGGCCAGUCGUAUUUACUUCUGUCAAUGCACCUGCCAUCUCUCACCUUAGAUGCAAAAUGUCAGGAUAGCUGACUUGAGAAUCCUUGAAUUUCUUGAUGUGCAUUCGAGUGUGUCCCACAGGAUGAUGGUGUGCUUAUGGGGUUUGGGCAUACUAUGUACAUUCAUUGCUCUUGCAACUAAAAUAUGUCAUGACUCUCAGCAAUGCCCAUUCCAGUUUGAUUAACACAAUCUGAUUAUUUUGAGCUUCAAACAUUUUGUUUCUUGUAUUCUUAAGAUUUUGUGGAGUCAGUCUGUGCCUUUUCUGCCCCAUUUCAAAAUAAUAUUGAUAAGAGCUGUCCCUUUUUGUCUGAAGCUGUAGUCUGGGUUUGGACUUGGGGGGUAAAAGUUUAUUUUCACAUUGUAAUGAGCUGCUCCAAUUCAAAAUCUACAGUUUAUCAUUGCAUCAGGUUGUCUUGCUGAUUGAUCCAGCAGAGGGCACUCUCAUCAUUACCUGACCACUGAAUGGCACUCUUGACCUCAGUAAUUUAAAGCUUUGGUCUACAAUUUGGAAGCUUGGUACUUAUUGAUAACACUGUUUAUAAGGCCGUUAUAGUCCUAUGGUCCGAUCUACGCAAUAUAAAGAUAAAAAAGAACGAAAAAAAUCCAUUCGGUAUAUCCGCUGCAAAAAGGCAUAAUCAUCGACCAAUCCGAACCGCCUUAACCCCAGCGGUUCGGAUUGGUCUAUGAGUCCAUCCAAUCCCCUGUCUCCCCUGCUCCGCACUGUCCCGCCCAUGGUCCCGCCCAUGGUCCCGCCCAUGGUCCCGCCUCCUCCCCACUACCCCCCUCACGUACAUGUGAUUAGCGAGCUGCACAGCUACUGAAGCGUAAUGGAGCCGGAGAAGACAAACACCGAAACCAGGGGGCCGCCUCUGUUACCCUCCACAUCGUAGGGAAGGAAACAUGAAAGUUUCAAGGAAAAGGCUGAAGUAAGGAAGAAAUAUGAGCGAUACAGGUGCCAAUGGAGAGUCUAAAUUGGAGAAAACGUACGACCGAUGGAAAAAGCUGCAUAAGGAUUUGGGACUGAAAACUGACGCUGAGACAGCCGAAUUUCUGUUGAACAGGCAAUUACUUUGUUUACUACAGUGGGAGAUGUCUGCUGAAUAACUCUGGUUAGUCUGUGCCUCUACUGGCUAAUGACUGAACUUUGCUGGUCGGAACAGGUAGGCUCUGUCAAUAGAUUUUAGCAUAAGUUAGCCACACAUCUUAAGCAUUGUAAACUGAGCUGGUGAAGACACGCCGAAAAAGGUAAAGCCUCCCCCACGAUCGGCUCUGCUCUGACCGGCUAGCAGUGGCGAUGCCAGACCCGCUUUUCCCCGCUAAUAUAUGGUUUUGCUCGUGCCGGUCCAAUUAAAAUGGCUACCACUGUGUGUUACAAGAUAUUUUCUGCCCGCCAGCUUCUUGCUCUAUCGGAGGGGGCGUGUUGUUAGGAAGCGACACGAGCUGGGGCCACAGGAUCUUGGAACACAGAGGGGAGGGGUGAGUGAAGGGGGGGCAGGCUGCGUUUUUCAAAUCUGUCCCAACAGCCAAACUGGUUUUCAGAUCGUAGACCAUAGCUUUAACGUAGCGAUAAUUUUCUAUAAAAAUGUAGGAUGUUCCCUGAAAUCAGAGCCAUUGGACAGUCAUGGCUGUAAGACAUCUGAGAUGCACCUUGUGGAAGAAUGUGGGGUUCUACACCACAGAUAGCAAGAUAAAUGGCAAAGAUAGGGGCUAAAUGUCGACUUUGUAGAAAGCAGCUGUCUCACUGUUAAACGACAAAAAAAUCUGCUGGCUCAACUGUGAGGCAGCAGGGGAAGCACGGAGCUGCUGAGCAUGCAAUGUCAGUAGGUGAUAUUAAAAGGAGAGCUGCAGUCAAUUCUGAUCAAGAGGUAGAUUUGUGUUUCCGGUGAAUAAUGUAAAAAGAAAAAAAAGGUUGUCAGACUGGCUCUUGGCUGCUGGUUGAAUGCAAAUAUUGUUACGGUUUAAGUCAAAUGUGUCAAAUUCUUUUCAUCAAUGUCUGAGAUGGCAUUUUAUGUACAAGACCACAUUUUCAUUGUAAGUUUUAUUGGGGUGGUAUUUCUGGUGUGUUGUGCCACUGUUAGUGAAACCAUAAAAUAAAGUGAUAUGAAUGUUUAGAAUAAAUAAUGUCUUUGAGACGUGGUUUAGAAAUAACCUUACUUUCAGUGCACCGGAAUCUUGAUUCUGAUCUGUAGAAAGGUUGGAAUGAAGUUUAAAAGACAAACACAGAGUGCAUGUAGCCUUCCUAUCAUACUCAGUCAGCUGCCAAGGUUGCGUGAUAAAUAAUAUAUUGCACAGCAGUCACACAUUUAUACAUCAAGGUAUUUUAUUUACUGGUGAAUAAAAAAUACCCCUUAAAGGUAAAUAAUCAAUGAGGCAUGAAGUAGUGACAGAGUUAGUAAUAAUGAAAAGGAAAUCCAUGUAAAGUGCUUGUUAAUGUUGAGAUGGCCGGGAUGAUGAUAUAUUGCAUAGCCAUAAUUUGUACCACUGUUACAGGUCAUAGUUAGCUUGAAUGAAUUAAACAAGCUUUGCAAUCAUUUGGAAUUAAGUGAAAGUAGUAAGGGUUUGGUGCAAAGAAAUCAAGGUGCCACUAACUCUUAUCUUAAAGGGAUCCUUCGGCGUAAAAUUGAUUUAGGGUCAAACGCACCGUAACUAUUUUAUUGUAUUAUUUUAUUUUCAUAUUUCAUUUUUAUUAUUUCAUCGUUCUUGUAUUAUUCUAUUCUAUUGUAUUAUUUUAUAAUGGUAUUUUUUUUCUUGUGUUAUUUCAUUGCUUUUAUGUAAAGCACUUUGGGUACCAUUUGGGAUAUUGUAAAGUGCUAUAUAAAUAAAAUUUGAUUGAUUGAUUGAUUGUAACACACCGAGGGAGUUAGACACCCCCUCGAGAGCUGAAUGUUGCCAACCGCUUGCUUCUCUAGUUAAACCAACUUUAGUAAUGACCGCACGAUAGCAAUACACAGCAGUCUGAGGAGCCAUAAACAAACCUCAACCAAAACGCCACUCUAUAACCACAAACAAUGCUCAGAACAGCACCUAACUUCAUCAACAGUACAUAUAGGGUCCUAGCCACAGCACUAGCCACCAGACAUCUUUUCAACUCCACUUAAUUUCUUUAGCAAAGAGACUAAACACAACUCAUCCACUCUCCUCUAGCAGCCGCUUGUUUGUAGCGAGACCUUAGGCCAGUCCAUUACGGACUACUGCGGGUUGACGCAGCUCAAGGAAGAACAUUUAUGAUCAUUUCUUUACCUUUUCUUUGAAGUAAUAAUCACCAUAUUAAUCAUUUUGCACUGCAGAUGCGGUAGUUCUUCCAUAAAGAAAUGAUCGUAAAUGUCCUUCCUGUUAGGCAAUCGUUACUUAAGUUGGUAUAACUAGAGAAGCAAGCGGUCGGCAACAUUCAUCUCUUGAGGGGGUGUCUAACUCGGUGUUACAGUGUGUUUGACCCUAAAUUAAUUUUACGCCGGCAUUUCCCUUUAAGCAAUGCUGCAGUGUUGGUGCGUUGUUUCGAAUCUGUCAAAAUAGGUAUGGUUGAGUAGCGAAGAUUUCAGUAAAUGUUAAGAUGCUGCACUUCAUAAGUGCUGAUUAAUGUUGUUGGUAAAUUUCUUAAUGUCUUAUCCAGAUGGAGUGACACAAGACAGCCAAUGAUGAGCAAAGUCAUGCUGUUGGUGUGCAUUGGCAUUUUGGCUGUGUUUUUUAAGAGAAAAGUGGAACAAAAAGAGAGCCUUUAGACUUCUGAGACGGUUCCCUCUUAAGACAUGAUUUGUGCAGUUUCUAAACCCUGCUUUUUUUUUUCUGGCAAAAAACCGUGAUGUCAUUUGUUGACAUGACUCCCCAAGGUAGACGAACAUGAUGGAUGAAACGCAGUAGGCAGUGGCGACCCUGCCGACGGCACUUUAACAUUUGGCUCAGAGCUUUGGUGACAAGGUGCUGAUGAGAUGCAACCUUGCUUUGAUAAUAUCAAGGUCAGCUUCCUCCUAUCAAGACCAAGUAGAACCAAUAUGUGACGGCGUGCUCUCUGUUUACAGUUUCAGCUGUACAUGACUGUUAGGCAGUUUGUUAUACAAGAAACAACAAGUAAGCAGUCAAACUGUGAAGUCAAGGUGUACCGUUAACUGUUCCUGUUACAUAAGUGAUUACCCUGUGUGUGUGUGUGUGUUUGUGUGAAAACAUGAUGUCUUGUUGCCAUGCAUCUCUUAAAACACUAUAAAUUGAGUGUGCCAUGACUGGUCUUUCAAUGAAAACAUCUGGGGAGGUGAGAUACUGUAUGUGUGGGAGGCUUUUCCAGAAAGGUUUUAGAUUUGUAUUAUGUAGCUAAUUGUAAUUCGCAUUGUUUGUUUUUAUGCUAUACCUCUGGGCUAAUAAUCACUGUGUAUGUACAUGUGAUGAUAAACAAAUUUCUGGCAAUUUGUUUUGGUGGCUAAUUACACAACUAAAUAGCUGCCACUGCACAUGCAUUGUCCUUGUUUCUAUGCAGUGUGUUGAGCUCUGGUUUGCUAUUUUCAUCUUCCUCUUUGGUCAAUGUUGACAGUUGGCAGGCAUCAACAGAUUCUGCUUAAAAAAAUUUACGACAUAAGAGGGAUGCAAAACAGCCUAAACUCCAGGGAUAUUUAGUAAUCAGGUAACGUGGAUGAAGACAGGAAGGAGAUUAGAUUGCCUAAUGGCUCGGUGCUCUUUUCCAUGCUGCUGCGCCUUUUCUUCAUAUCUAUUUAAUUUUAUGUAUUUAUCAAGCAUUAUUUGUUUCUCUAAGGAGUAUGGGCGGUGAACCUUUCUGUCUGACAUAGCUGGCUAUGGCACAGCAGUAAUUGUGAAAAGCCAAAGCUAGAGAAGUGCAUAUCUGUGUGUGUGUGUGUGUGUGUAUGUGUGUAUGAGAGAGGAGGAGAGCAAAAAACGAAAGGGUGGGGAGGUGCAGUGAGAGGCAGGGAGGGAGCAUGUACGAGGGAGGGUGAAGGCGAGAGCGAAAGAGAGGGAGAGAGAGAGUGAGAGAGAGAACGGGAGAACGAGCGGCUCGCCUCACUCUGCUUCUUUCUCAGCAUCCAUUCCGGAGAGGAGAGGGCUACAUAACAAAUUGGUGGAGGAAAAAAGGAGAAAAUAUCCACUGAGGAGGGAGGAUUUCGAGGAAAAUAACAUAUAAUCCUGGCUCACCGGUGUCCACUUUUGCAUCCUAUAGCUUUGGCAGAGGUGUCUGAAAGUUUCCAUCUAGGGGGGGACACCCUCCCCAUGUUGUGGGGAUGAUCAGCGGAUGCUGAAUUUCAUUCCUGAAGGCAGGAGGAGGAGAGCUGUGAAGACCGGCUGGAUUCACUUGAUGUGGAGCUGGUAGCGCGCACCACCCGAGAUCCUACCGUGCCUCUUUUCUCUCUCUCAUUCAGUCUCUCAGACGGGCAUUUUCCUUAAGAAGACAUAACAGUAUUUCACUCUGCCAAGUGGAAUAUCAAGAGGGAGCAACUGGGAAGGAAAGGGGAUUGGAUUAUGCACAGAGUCACUGAAGGACAUCCACAUCCUAUUCCGAAAAAUAAGUUUUCAGCUGAAAAAUCUUUGAUUGGGCUCCGAUUCUGAGAGACUCAGAGGAUUUUCUUUACCUUUCACAUUGUUUGGGGGCAGCAACAAUCUUCAGACUGCUUCAUUUUGGGACUAUAAGGUUCUGGAUGGUAUUUCAAGGUAAGGACACAUCCAUGAGCUCUCACACAUAAGAAGCACCCUCCAGGUUUUAUUGAAAAGGGCAGAUUAGGGAGCAGAAAAGCUCGUGAAAGCAUGGACGAUACAGUCAAGUGAAAAAAGAGAGAGGGAGAGGAGGAUGGAAAAGGGUUAUCAGUCCUAGACUGUAUUUAACCCGAUUAACAGAAAGUGCAAAGUUGGAAUAAAUGUCUUGAUUAAACAGUAAGAUGUCCCAGUGCUGACGAAGAACAGGAUUGCUUUUUUGGUUGGUUGUUAUUUGAGAGCUUCUCCCCUCUGCAGAGAAGAAUGUAUCUAUGUGUAUCUGCAUACUUAUGCAUGUGUGUUUGCCUGUCUGCAAAGCAAUUCAUCUCCUGCCUUCCUUGCUACAUAGCGGUUAUCUCCAGGGGAGCCUGCUAGCGGAAGGGGUAUAAUUGCGGCGGCUGUUUGUCCUCGUCUUUGAAACAGCGAGUGUCUGUGAGCAUAGGGAAUUACUUUUGUACAGUGGCCACAUUUUAUUCAUAAUGGUGAGUGCCUCUUUGCACUUUAGAAGGCUUCUCUGUCCUUUUGAUCGCUGCUCACAGAGAUGUGAUUGUGUCGGGUAUUAAACUAUCUCAGACGCUCUAGAUUACAGCAUCACCUCCGGUUUUUAUGUAUUUAUAAGUUUGUCUACGUGACUCUGAUACACUGACGCUUAUAUAUGACUCCUUUUGUAAUGAGAAAGUAAUAACUCAACAAUUUCUUUUCUAUUAUAGGCUACUUAGACGAGUUCAGAGGGCUGUAUUCAGCCUGACGGACAGAAUGACAAAAGGAUACUAUCGAAUUCUGCUAUUGGAGGAGUGAAUAUGCUGCCCUCUUGAUCAAUACCAGACAAGUGCAAGGCUACCUUCUUUUGUAGGGCAACGGUUGAAAUAUUAAUGACUGCAUGAGCAUCCUGUUGGUCCCCUGGAAAUUUUGAAAUAACUAAAUAAUAAGCAGCCUGUCUAAGCUGCCCGAGCCCAGUAUUGGAGUGUGCCGAGGGUUAUAAUCCCACCUUCUUGUGUAACAUGAAAAAUAGUGACCAUUAAAUGUCUUUGCCUCUGGUUAUAAAAAUUUCAAAAGAAGUGUCUCUCCUCUUGCCGAACAUCCACUGGGGGGGAGUGGAGCCUGAUGGGAACUUGAUGACAGCUCCUGUGUAUGUGGCGUUGACUGGCUAUCGGUUGCUCAAAUGGCCAUUUGUUCCCCCGUGUUUGUGAAGCUUGAUUGCAAGAAGUUGCCGUGCACAAAUGUUGUAUUGAAAUCACAUUUAGCAUUCAGGCUGCGUUGUGUGCGAUUGCUUCCUUUGAAAAGAGAUGCAAUCCUCUCAUCUGCUCUUCCUGCUAUAUUCACAGAAUCUAAUGAGCUACAUCCUACAGUAUGCAUAAGUCCAGUGUGCAUACUAAUGUUCGCAUACGUGUGUGUGAGAGUGUUAGACUGUGAGCGAGAGGGAGAGCUCAGUGUAUCUGGUAUCUGUGGGUGUGUAUUUGUCCAGAGCUCUGAGCUUCAUCCCUUUUGAUGUUUUAUUGAGUGUUAACCAUGGUAGGACUGACGCAUCGGCUCUGAUAUGGAGUAGCAUGGUGAAAGGAGAGCACUAAGACCUGCUUUGCUCUCUCUUGUAGUUCUUUUAACACUGAAUUAGCAAUGCUGUGUCUGCCCUGUUCAGCCCUUUGGAUUUGGUUAAUGAUUCAGUUCUGGCACUAUGCAUGUGCACUGGUGCGAGACUCUGUGUGAGUGUCUGUAAACAUCUGCAUCUAAGUGUUGAAGCACACAAGGCAUGCACACAUGAUGUUGUGUAUGUUUGCUCAGGUGAGCAUCCUGCCUGUGCGUAUAAUCCCCUUCUCUCUGAGUAAAGGGAUAUAUACUGUGCAGUCUGUUUCUCCCAUUUCUGAUGCAAGCGACGGAGUCAAAGACGGGGCCCUCCAUUUUCAGUGCUAUUAUGCGUCUGCUGAUUCAUGGGAUGGACAGAGGAGAGGAAUGGAGCCCUCUUCUACCUUGUGAUUAUUCAGUUCCGUUCACAGUAUUUUCACAUAAGAGCAGGAAUCAGAGGAAAUAACUUUGAUGGCAGAAAUGCUGGGGCUUCUGAUUUAUUACUCAGAGUUUGAAUCAGUAUGCAUGCGUGCCAGUAGGCAGCUGAAAUCUGACACACCUGCUUCCAAGUCCAAUAAAUCAUGUGCAAUCAUGACUUCCUUUUUUGGAUGGUCACAUCAAGUAAGACCGGUCAAUUACAGAGGUUGCAAAUCAGGACUAAUAUUUGUAUACCUUGCAAGGAGUCCCUUUGGACUUCACAUUGUUGAGUAAAGGUGUAUUAAUAUUAAUGUACCAUGAAUCACACUAAUUGAAUUAGCGUUUCUAGAGAUGUCACGGCUUGUUAGGUGAUCAGGCUGAAGAAAAGCAUCUGGAAUAAAACAGAGCAGUAAAAUAGAUUCUUGUGAAUAUGCAAUUAUGUCAAUGAUUGUGACAAACUUCAGACAUCUCAUCAAAUUAGCUCUCUAAUUAACACAGUGAUACAGAUAAUUAGCUUAAUUAGAGAGUCAGAGAUUUAGAUAUUUGUAUGUGUAGUGUCAUCUUUCCCUGAGUAAAGCUGAAAUAUUUGUUAUAUUAAGCUAUAGAGAUGUGCAGCAACUAUUAUAGUUCAUAUGAACAGAAAUUUAGAUUGGUUUGUAAAUUGCAGCUCACAUUAGCAGAGUUAGCACCACCAGCUUUCAGUCAUUCCUACUGGUUUAUAUCCACAUUACUUCAUAUCUACAUCAAAACACUUUCAAAUUACACCAGAAUACUAGAACUGUCAACUUUGUUUGUUUACAUCCAUAUAUUACAGCAUAAAAGCAUUAUUGCAGUCCUCAGUAACCAGAGGUACAGUGCUGUUGAGUGGCAGGUGGCUGCACUACAAGCCACUAUUUUUUAACAGUUUAGAAACUAAACUAACCAGAGGAGUUUUAAGUUGGCAUUUUUAUUCAUAACAUUACCACUUGAAUGUCACUUGAAAUUCAAAAUGGGACAAAGCUGCAAGAAAGUCUGGAUAACUGAAACAUAUUUGGUGUUUGAUAUUCGUUAAAAGCAGUAGAAAGUAAAGAUCAUGUCAAUAUGAGAUUGAGUAUCAGAGUUUAAAGAUUAGCUGCAGGGCAAAGACUUCUUUGCUUUGCUGCAAAACAAUCUUUCAGGUUCGGUUUGUGAAGAACUUGAACGUGUUUGAGUAAAUAAUUCAGUUUAUCAUAAGAAUGGUCCAAAUGUCGUCCUUCAAAGUAAAUGUUCAAUACUCAAUUUGUUGUUAAAGGACAGAUAUACAGAGGACUCUACAGAGAAGAGAGACCUGUACCCAGAAGCAGAACAGCAUAUUUUUAGACUGUCCAUUAAGGACAUGGGAGAAAAAUCAAUGAUCACAGACUGAAACACUGGGUUUCAAAUUUAAGUUUUAUUUUCCUCAGUGACCUUUGGCUACAGUUGGGAAUAUGUUCUUUGUAAAUAUCAGAUACUCACUUGGGCAAAUAAUGAUUUUCAGAGAGGCAUGAAAAAGGCUUUUACAGAGCUAUGUGUUGGGAUCUUGUUGAUAUGAUGACAGUGGGGAGAUUGGUUUCUUAGAUUUAUUCGUCGAACACAGUUAAGCAGCUUUAAAGCAUUCUUUAAAUUCAUAGGCUGAUAUGUGUUUGAGACGAGAAACACAUUAACAUACUCAUGCUGGCUAUGAUGAGCCACACAUCUGUAGUCAAAACAUGACCAGCUGGCUGAGAUAAACAGAGGACCUUAUUUUAAAUGGAGGUCUGGUCAGCUGGAGACCAAGCCGUGAAUGGAUUCGGCUGAUCGGUUGUCAGCCCUCUCUGAAUCCCUGAUGAGGCGAAACACAAUAUGCUCCAACAGCUGGGUCAUUUAUGGAAUAUGCUUACUCAUCAUGGUCGACUGCCACUGUAUGAAGGGGAAAAAGGAAUUCUAUUAGACAGUGUACGGUUUCAAAGACAGAUUUAAAAUCAAGCUAAGCUAUUUAUCUUUAAAGAAGCCCCUCCAUAAAGACUAAAUUUGAGUAUCUAUGGAUAAACAGGACCACAAUUGCACUUAGUAUAAUCUUAAAAAAUUAACAUGGGCAAAAGCAAAGUGUUUGGAGACUGACAAUAAGCUUACAGAGAAGAAGGAGCUCAGACAGAUUAAAACACAACAGUGUAGCCAUUCUUUUCUGUACAAAAGAGUAAUGCUCAGAAAAAGUGAUAAGGAAGGUAACACAAAGGACUUCUGUCUGCUGUCUGUCAAAGACGUGAUGUGCUAAGUGACUGCUGGUGGCACUGUAGCCCUUUUGGGAUAACCAGGACGAGGCUGUCUGCAGCGUGAGGACUGAUCCACCAACAGCCAUCAUUGACAGUGACCUUGCUGUCUGUGUCACUUUGCAGCGUGACCUUCCGGGCCAGCUGCUGAGGGCAAUAAGUGUCGUGCCACCUUUUGAAGAGUCCGUUUCAGUGUGUGUCGACAAGGAGCAUUACUAAGGGUCAGAGGUGGUGAGGCUGGCUAAGAGUGUGGGCAGGAGAUGUCAAGAUUGAACAAGAGCAAAAAAGAGAAUUAAAAAGGCUUUUAGGCAACCCAGUGAAAAACAAACAAGGUACAAGCAGGGCCAGCUUUCUAGAUGUAGAGGCCAAGGCUACAGCCUUGAUAUUUGCUUCUCAAAGUACAUGUGUUUACACCAGACUUACUCUUUAUCUGGCUAGUGCAGAGUGCAAGCAUACAUUUUUUUUUUCUUUAUUGCUUUGAGAGACAUAAGAGAAUUUCAUCACUGUACCAAACUCAAUCUUAUAAGGUUUUAUCAGUCAGGUUAAAUUGCACCAGAUGUGGAAGUUGUUGGUUUUCCCUUUUAGUUAUUCUAUGAGAAUAGGGUGAAAAUUUUUUAUAUGCACAAACAUUUCAUGAGAAAUGUUCCCUUCUGUUCAAGUUAACUCCAGCAUUGAAAUUCAGGAUCCAGAAGAAAUCAGAGAGGCUUCUGCGUGAGUCACCAGACGGCACCUGAAAAAGCCAAAGUGAUGAACAGCAUGUGAUCUCACAUACAAAGACUUUUGUGUUCCAGCUUUACACAUAGGAAAUAAUAAGUAGAUGUGACAAGUACAUUUUAGCAUGAAAGUACAUUUACACAACAUGGUAUCCAAUAUGAAAAAAAUAUAAACACACGUUCCAUAAAUAAACAGAUUUUACUUUUUGGGAUGAUUUUAUUGAAGAUUAUUAUUUUUUAACUGUCCAGAUGAUAUAAUGAGGUCUUCAGUAGCAAACAAGGUCAUCAGAUAUCCAUAACGACUUGAAAUUUGUUGUAAAUUUAUCAUACCUUUCACUAGAUUGUUUAAAAAAAAAGAUUGAUUCAAAGCUUGUAGUCAGAAAAAUAUCUUCUUUUUACAGUUUCAUAGUUUUGGCCAGAGUUAUACUUGUAUGUCUGGCUGCAAUGUGAGUGGAGUUGUAAAUAUAUUGGGUAUGUUGGAUGUUGGAUUUUUGUUAGUUUUGACACACUGAUAUUUCACACAAGCUAGUAUCUGUUUAAGAUAUCAUUUGCAGUCCUUCAGGAUGGUAAAAUGUGUUUUUACAUAGAAAAGAUAAUAGUAAUAUCAGCCUUGUGAGAGCCAAUACAGACAUGAUGCCAAUCAUGUCUGAAUGUCAUUGACUGGCUUAAUUAAUACGCCAACCAAUUAACCGGUCUAUCGCUACUCAAAAUAGUUCCAUACACUCAACAUGUGCAAGCUCAUCACGUGUGCAUUAUUAAUGCAUUGACUUUUUGACUGCGCAUUACAUUGGCUGAAAUUUUCAAAAGUUGAUAUUGAUCAACUCUUUAAGCUGUUAUCGACCGAUACCAAUAUCCUGCUGUUGAUAUCUUUUAUAUCAGUAAUGCAUUAAAACACAUUUAAAAGACACAUUUUGAGAGAUGAUACCUCCAGUUGGCCAUAAAACCAGGGCCAUGUGCAACAAUCUGAUAUGAAUUGUCUUCAAAGCUUUAUUCGCCUUAUGUACUGCUGUUUACUCUCUCACAUCUGCUCUGCUUUUAAACUGCCCCUGCUGUUUAUAUAAAUACUGCACCUUUUGUCCAUGCAGCUUUCAUUUUGGGUGAUGUGAAAGCUCAUGUAUCAAACCUGGGGGUACAUGGCAGCCAUUGUGCUUUCUUGAAGAUCUCUGGCCUAAAGACACCCUGUUUAAAGAAGCAUGCUUUUUUUUUUAAAGGAUACUGCACUUUAAUGAUGAAUGAUUAUAAUAAUUUGUCUUAUGUAGCACUCUUUAGAUUAUCAAGCUCAGAAGACUUGCUGCUUUUUUUUACACCUGCCACCUAAACUGACAUAAAGUCAAAGCUCCUUAUAGGUGCUUUAAUUAAAGCUGACCUCUUUGGUUCCACGCUAUAUUGUUGGUACAUUUGCUUUUAUAGUUUUUAUGUAAAUAUUGUGACCUUCAUUUGCAGCUCUCUAUCUAAACAGUGAAAAGCAUGGUGGUACAUUAAUUAUAUGCUCUGUAACAUAAAAUGAAAAACAUGCAAAGCACAAGGAUACAAAGGAUGCAAUGUCCUUUUUAUUUAUCGUGAAGUGGUGUUCCAUUUAUUGCGUCCUUGUGCUGUGCAGGUUUUCUCAUUCUUUGUAACUCAGUACUCUUCGAUUAACCAAUAAGUCAUUUGAGCGAAAAACAUGUAAACACAAGAGCUCACCCACUUAUGUGCCACUGCUGACCAGUUCCGUAUUUAAAACUAAUUAGGGGGCCAUUAAAUAUUCACACAGUGGAAUAACCUGCCUUUGUCCUAAUAGCCAGAAAAGACUGAUACUGGUUUUUUCGUUGCAAGGCCAAUGGUGGAGCUAUCCAUUUUGUGUUCUGCCUCCAUCAGCCACUUUAGGAUGUCCUUAAAGCGACUUUGUGCCUCCACCCUUUCUGUGCACCCUCAGUUUUCUGCCCUGAAGCAGGUUAUGUGGAGUAUUGACUGCUGUGCUUCUUAGAUGAUAACAGAAACACUGCCUCUCUUGCAUGAAGGUGGUGGUGAGGGGGGCUACUUGCAAAUUCCCCCGGUGCGCAUUGUUUGGUUCUGGAUGGUCUGUAGUUCUAUAAUAUAUUGUCUGUUAUGAGAGGGGUAGAUAAAGGGCUGAGAACCAAGGUUAGAGAAUUGCUUUAUUCAACAUGAGCACAUGUAAACUGUGUGAAAAUCAAAUGAAUUCAGGACUUCAACAUGAGCAUUAAUAUGUGCACAGAUUUGAUCAAGGCCAAAUUUCACUCAUGUAUUGUUAGAAAAGAUCCUUUUCAUAUUAGGGCUGCGUGAUAUGGCCUCAAAUCAAUAUCACAAUAUACUGAGCAGUUCACCUCGAUAACGAUAAAUGGACGAUAACUACUCCACAAGCUGCUCACCCCCUCCCUCAUUGACUUCGUCUACUUUAGCCGUAGCUCCAGCCGCUAUAACUUUUGAACCGUCCUCCAUCUCCUCACCUGUCUUUCCCUCUUUGUUAUGGACUGGAUGAGGUGGAGUCACACCUCUGAUGUAGGACAGCGUCUUAAAGGGACAUGAGACCACAGCCUACCUACACACAUUCAAAGCCAAUGUUUAUUAAUUUAUUUGACACCGAUUAUAUUGACAUGGACAAAAUGACAUCAGUUAUUGUCGUUAAUUUUGGUAUCUGUAAAUUUUCGGUUUAUCGCCCAGCCGUAUCUCAUAGAUUGAGACUAAAAUGUGUCUUUGAGCUGAGGAAAGUCUGGGCUGAUGCCCAGAAAGGUUAGGUUAUUACAUACGCCACAGUAUCCUCCACUAAUGCUUCACAGGUAGAUGUGGAUAUGUCAGAGAGUGGUCUUUUCAUUUCAACAAUAGUGGAAAUGUCAGUACAUGGAUGGUUCCCGUGUCUCUGAGGGGACCUGAAAUCUCCAGCAGCACUUGUGUCUCUUACAUUGAACAAGCUACCAUAACCUCGCUUCCACUAGACUGAGAGGCUCACAGCAGGACACGGGGCCCUCACUUGUUAGUUCAGGUCACUGAACCUUGCCUCCUUUGGGCUUACAGCUCGUAUAGGCCAAAGCACAGUUUCGAUAUUUGUUAGUAGCCUGUGCUUUAACGAGUCUGUGGGGAAGAGUCAGAACGCCUACGCACCUCAAAACCCCCACCGAGAGCAGAAGACUUGGCGUAGUUUUGGGGAGAUUGAACAGCCUUCUCUCUUGAGGUGUUGCAGGUUCACACAAUGUUGUGCCGGGUCUUGUGGAAGAGUUUUUAUUUCCUGCUGGAGAAAUGUGCCUCAUAGAAAACAAUGUGUUUCACUGUGAAAGCAGAGCAAAAGAGUGAAGGAAGAGAUCAGAGAAGUAAGGGGGUGAAUUCAGUAAUGAGAUAACAGAUCAAAUAAUUUUAUACAGGUUAAUCAUUUCAUGUCUAUAAUAGGUGGCCAUGCCUUUUAUCAAAAUUCAGAGCCUAAAUGUCAAUCUUAACUACUCCAUUGGUAGAAAAGAAGAAAGGCAAGAUGACAGGAGAUUAAUUUUUGGUCGGGCACAAAAGCUCUCAUUAAACCUGCACCGUACUAUUAAGAUUGUGACAGUUGGCUGCUUUCCAGUGAGUGCAACCAACGCAUUUAUUUUUUUAUCAGCAGUGCUCCUGCUUUCUCAUAUACUGAAGUCACCUUCUGCUCCAUUUCAGGCUUUUUGCAUAAACUGCCACUAAAUUUGUAGGAGGGGUUGUGAUUCAUUGUCGCCCUUUUAAUUUAUUGCUUGCGUCUGUCUGAUAUUCAUAUAAUCUCAGAUUGCUGUCAGUUGGUCGAGAGCCUCAUUAGAACCUUUGUCAUGCCAGUGCUCCUUGGCUAGAGGGACAUACUGACGAGAUAAGAACUCCAUCUCCUCUCCCAGCUUCGCUUCCGCUCUCUUUAUCACUACCAGCUCUCUCCUUCCCUCCCUCCAGCCUGCACCAAUCGUUUGACUGUCGAGUGGAGGCAUUUUGUAGCCUUUCGGGGAGGCGAUGGAGGUUCUUACAGCAGCACAUAAUCUUCUGCCUGCCACCGUCUUGCUCUUGUUCCCCUUGUGCUUACAGAGGGAUGUUGUCUGAUGAUUCACUUGUUUGUCUGGAGCAAAUGUGGGCUAUUGUGUGUACAGGAAUAUGUGUUUGGUGGGUUUUUGUAUAGCUAUCGGGUGGAUGGAGAAAUAAAGGGUUUGCUGACGUCAUCAUGUCUCCUUAAAUCAGUCGUGAGUGAAUCGUACCGCCAACAAAAACAUGUUACAUCACAGAGUAUAUCAGAGUGAAUGGAUUUUUCACUUCUGAAGCAAUUGCAUGGGCUGUAGCCAGUGUUGCUGCAGAACUGUCUUGUUUUUUGGUGCGUCUCAUCCAAAGUGAUAAAAAGUGGCCACUUAUUAAUAAGCUGGUGAAUUCAUUUAAAGGGGUUGGUAGUCUCCUUAACUUAUUGCUCUAACUGUUUCACCUUGAACUCUUAAAAAUGUUAAUUACUGCUCAGGUAUUCCUUUCACCAGCAAUAUUUUUGUCACGCUAUUUGUCCAUUAUGAAUUUCACUUAAUGAUUUACCGCCUUUUCAUUAAGUGCUUACAAACACACUCUUAAUUGCUUCAAGAUGAAGUGUUGUUAUUGUUUUAUUAUUGAACAGAAAAAAAGGCAAUCCCCUUUCACCAAAUUUCAACAACUAUCUAAGCCAUGUAAAAUGAGCAGCAAACAGAAUGUUUACUCUCACUUCAAUUUGUAAUUUGUCAUUACCAUAUGACAUUUUCAAUAACAACACGGCCUGCCCACAAAGGGCUUUGUUUACGUAGUGAUUCACCAUGAAUGGAUUAGACUUGACUACACUCUGAUAUUUGAUUAUACAACUGACAUUAAGAAAGCUGUCACCGUGGGAUUUGUGUUUGCCCUACACAUUUAGAGAUUUUAGAAGGUGGAUACAGCAUAGAUAGAGAAAUACAUAAAUGAAUAAGAAAGUAAGUUUUAUAAAGCGGGUUGGAGAGGUAUAAAAAAUGAUUUGAUAAGGUUCUUUGUUUUGAGGUUUUAGUUUCCUUUAUUGUAACAAAAUGUGCGGAAACUAACAUGUAUUUUUUUAAAUAAGAAACUUGGUGAACUUUUACACCCUUUCUCAAGUGCAGCAUAAACAGCUCAGGCUUAUACACCUGCUCAGGUUCUUUUUAUGACAUUUUAAAUAAAACACAAUAAAAAAAGAGAAUUUAAAGCUCCGAUGAGAAGUUUUUUAUUUCUGAAGAAACUGUCCUGUUUGUAAAAUACACCUGAAAUAUCCACACCUAAUGAUACAACUAUGAUACAAAGUCAGCAGGAUGAGAUUGUUUUUCAAAAGUAACUACUUGAGCUUGUUAAGGACAGGAUAAACAAUGACUGCUUUGACCACAGGGGAUGUUCUAUAUUAACAUCUCCCCAAACAGAGUUUCUGUUUGGGGAGUACAUUUCAGAAGAAUGUGCUUUAUCAUUCUUCAUACUUUUUUCAUACUUUGGGAUUUUAGUUUUUUUUCUAUGGUAAAACAAAAAGGCUGGAUAUGUAUUUUUUUCUGAGAAAUGACAGGAUGAUUCAUCAUAAGGUGGACUCUCUGCUCCCUCUGCCCCUCGACACAGCGAAUACACACACAGGUGACCACUGUUUGAGUUCACAACUCAAAACUGAUCACAGCUACGAAAGAAUUACGACUCAGGAUAUUUUUAGGUGAUGUGUUGUGAAAGUCACUGUAUUGAAACUAGUGUUUGUAGCCUACGAUGGGCUGCACCUGCUGUGUUUGUUGUGUGCUCCUGGUUUUCCUGUCCAUUUGCGGACCAUGAAUCGGACUAACCUUUGGUUUCGUACUUCUUCAAAUAGUAACACAUCUGCACUGGUAUAAAGUGCCACUGAAACAGUGCAUUAACAUGAUGUUAAUUGACAUGGAUGCAGAACAGUAUCAAAACACUUUGAUGCAGUGUAAUAUAACACUGCAGCAUCAUCAGAAUGGUAAUGGUUAUUCUCUGUACCCCUGUGGUCAAGUUAUAAUGGAACACCUACUACUUUCAUUGUAAGUGGAUCCAUCCCUCUUACAAAUUUUAAUUCUAAAUAUAUCCUUUUUCCACUCAUAGAUCCCGGGCUGCAUACGAUCCCCUACUUAACGGCUCAUGUUAGGUGGAUCAUAUACAGGCCUUUAUAUUCCAUUUUCAGACAUGCAGACUGUGCUAUACAUAUUACAUCAUAUGCCUUUGUGUAUGAAAUAGUCUGCGACAGCGCCAUAACAACUGGUUCUUCCUGCCACCGUGUAAUGGCAGUAAGGCAUGACAGAGAUUAAAUGUACAUGUCCUUGGAAAUAUUCGACAGAUGUAUCAGCUUGCCUGUUAUGUUAGAUACUGUAGACGCUGUACUGCAACGCCCUGUCUGUUCAGCUGGGAAUUAAAUCUCCAAAUAUAAACACUGACCUUUAAGACCAAGUAUGCAGCCACCACUGCUAUUGUCAACAUACUGUAUGUAAUUCCUAGCCUUGGAUGCCAGCAUCCUCUCUGCGAAUUAAAAAUCAAUGAGCAUGUAUUAGUGUAAAAUCCUUGAGCUCUGGGGGCUUUGCUUGUGAUGGAAGAAUGAAUAGACGGGGAACAGGGGCACCUCAGGGGAUGCCAGGCUGUCCAACUCUGGGUCUGCUGGUCACAGCCUGGAGCAUAUCUGUACAGAUACACAAAGACAGGGGGCUUAUAUUGCACAGACUCUGAAAAAAACUGUGUGUGCCUCUCUGUGUGUUUGUGUGAGUAUGCUCUGAUUGGCUUCAGGGAGUACAGGAAUAGCUACAGUCUAUAUAUUGAACUGGAAAAGAAAAGGACACCGUUUCUUGAUUUGCAUUGUUAAAGCAGAAUUUCCCCUAAUUUUAAACACCUCUCGUUUCAGAGCACUGUUUAUUAUGUAGCUUAUCCAAAACACUGUUCACAUUACCUCUGUAAAACCGUGAUUAUGCCCCCUAAUAUGAUUUUGUUAGUUCUCUGGCAAUACCAACAUUUUAGUCAUUAAAGGAGGAACUAGUGUGGUUGAACAGACAGCAUAGAUCAGCAGCAAGAGAACAUCAGAAAUCAUAAAAAAAAGAGAAGAGUGUCAAAACAUGGAGCACGGGCCGACUACUUGAUUAAAAAGUGAUCCAUUUAUUCUGAAAUGCAAAUGCAGGACGGGGUGCUUAGCAACAAAGAAGCUGCCCCUGCCAAGAUGAGGGAAAACAGUGUUUAACAUUGAGAUUUUGCUUUGAUCGACUGUGUAAUCAGAGAGAAAGUGUACGUAGAAAAGCUCUUUGUGGUGGAAAUGAGCCACAUGUUCUGUGUGUUCGUAGUUCAUGAUCCCGUGGAAACCCUGAUGUGUUAGAACAUGUCUGUCUUCAUUGAAACAGAGGAGGACUUCUAGGAGUAAGAGCAAGAGAGAGGGUAUCAGAUAACAUUCACAGGAGUCUGCCUUCCUGCCAGUUUAUGACCUUUAAUUGUGUUUACUUUCAGCAGAGAAAGCUCUAGUCUUUCCUCUAACCUCUAGGAUGCUUAUUAAUAUACACCAAGAAAUUGCUUUGUUUGUAAAUGAUUAAAAUGAUCAAUUAAUUUCCAGGAACAAAAGUUAUGGCGGUAGGUUCUCCACAAGCAAAUUGUUAUUUAUAAUUUUCUUUCAAAACGAGUAAAAAGCAAUUAAGUACAUAAUCAAUAUGUAGCAUGGCAGUUUUCAUUUUAAACAUAUGUGUACCCUAAAGGCAACACACAAACACUCAUAGAAUUACAACACACUGGGGCCCAAUAAUACAAACACACACUCACACACAGAUACAUAAACUCAGACAUUUGAAUAAUUUAGUUCUUAUGAGUAUGUUAAGAAGCAUUCACUCUGAAAACAUUUAAAAGCAAAUAACAGAUUUAACAUCCAUGACUGCACCAGGAAGUCUGUUCAACAUGUUUGUGGUACUUAAAGGAGGAUAAGUACUCUGUUUUUUUUUCAGAUGAUUAGCAACUUAAUGACCUGAGAAGCUCCAAAAUGCUCCGACAAAAUCAGGAAAUUUAUUGUUUUAUCAUUUGCAAUUUCCACGAGGAUGUAGUGAAAGCGAAACGAUAUAAUUGUUCUUUAUUAUGUAAACUUGGAGACAGCUUGCACAGAUGAUCACACAGCUCUGUAUUUGCCCUGCUGGAAGAAAAGAAAUGACUUUAACAGCACACUGCAGGGUACAUAACUGACUUAUUGAGGUUUGAGAGCUUGUUAAAAGCACUUUCUGUACCCAUGGUAAUGAUGACAUGGCACCCCGUGUACAGUAAGGCUGAGGAGUACAUUAUCUCGACAAUUACUGUUCUUUUAGGAGAUGAAAGCCUUCCACCGCACUGUUUUGUGGCUGCUGCCUUUGGUCCUCAGGGUUGCCCAUAUACUCAGCAACCCUGGUUUCCUCUCUUCCGGUGCAUCACCCAUCUAAUCCUGACACUGUUUGUGACUCAUUACUUUCAACUGUCGGGAGGGAAAAAAAGUGCAUAAAUAAUGUAUUCCUUGGGUGUAUCCACCUCCAGAUCAAUGGCAAUACAAAGACCAUCUACAAAGACGGUUGGCUCAAGGCCAUAUUUGAUCACUUCCACUGCGCGCGAUCACUGGACCCUUUUUUGUCAGCCCGUUGAGACUCAAUUAUUUCCAAGUGUUUGUAAGCUAUUGUUGAAAGAACACGAAGUGAAUAUUUAAAGUUGGUGAGGGGAAGGAAAAUCUUUGAUGAGACAUGAAAAAGCCAGAUGGAUGGUAACAGUGAACUGUUAAACAGGGAGAGAGGAGGAGAAAGAGGGAAGAGGGGAAAAAAGAAAACGAUGUGAUGGAGCAGUCGUAUUUCUCGUAGGGGGAGCGGGAAAAUGUGCAGGGUGGCAGUCUAGCCUCUGCUGUAUUCAUAUGAUAUAAUAGAGAUAACAGGCAGAUUAAAGAACACUUAAACAUUAGAGAGCAGCUGAUAGUGCAAGCCAUAGCAUUUAGGUAAUCAGUGGGGACUGGAGUGCCACUUGGAUGAAUGUGAAUACCUGGGGAGGACAUUAGCAGUGUUUGGUAAUAAUGUUCUGAGUGUCCCAAGGUAUAUUGUAGUAUUAUCACUUAUACUGACCCAGAACACGGAAAAAGACCUGCUGCUUUUAGGGAUAAUGCUCUGAAAUAUCAAACAAUACAGCAGACAUCUUGAUCUGUCAUGACACUUGACAUGAAAAUCUACGACAGCCCUCUGCAGAUUUCAUUCAUCAUCUUCAUGCUUUUGAUAGUUAACUCAAACUAAACAUUAGAAAAUAGUUUCCAUCCAAGUUCAGUGUUAUAAAGCCUUUCUCUAAACCAACCAUGAAGAUAGUCACUUGGUAGAAACUUGAUCGUUUAAAACCAAUUUGAACAUCUUCAAAUGUUUAAUUGCUGUCUCCUCAGACAAUGUUUGGAGAAGGAAUUUGGUGCAGCUCCCUGCUAAUUUUGGCUAAUGAAGUUGAGCGUCUAAGCAGGCAGUGAUGUGUAGUUGUUCAACUGUAAUACAGCACCAAGAUUAUAGUGCCGUGUGUAUGGAGUGACUAUUCUGUGAUAGAAAACAGGAAGUCUGUAUUGGUCCUCUGGACCAGCUGCACCACUUUUAUUGCGGAGUUUUAUUACUUCCUCUACUCUGCUGCGUCAUGGAAGCAGUUCACCAUUAAUGAUUGUGCUCUGUCUCCAAAACAGGUUACUUAUCUGAUUGCAAAGAAGGUGAAGUAUUUACCAGGGUCAAAAAAGUUAGUCUUGGUCAUUUUUUGUCAUUUUUUAAUUUAAUUUUUAAUGAAAUUAUAAAUCCAGUUUUGGGUGGGAAAAAAAGUCUAAGAUUUUAAUUUCAGGCCAUAUCGCCCAGCCCUAACACUCUAGCCUGGCUGGGCCAUCCUGUUGCGUGAGUCACUUGAUCCGCAGAAGACGUCGAAAAUAAACGAUUUCUGCCGACUUUCCAGAGUCAGCUGCAGAAUUAACGGCGUUCUGAAUGAACGGGGCUUUGAAAAGUCCCGCAGCAUGUGUUAGAUGUCACCACUAUACAUGGACCAAUCAGGGGCUGCCUUUCCCUGUUGUCCGUGUAACAGUGGAAACACGGUCUCUGAUUGGCCCAGUUAUUUUCUGAUCGGGAAUACACGCUCUCCAUGGGCCGAAGUCCAGACUGUGGUGGGAAGGAACAUCAAGUGAUUCACGGAACAGGAUGGCCCAGCCAGGCUACUAACACUCUACAUAUGAACCUUACUGCUCCACACUAACUACUUUCCAAAGUAUUUCAUUACUCACCAUCCAAUAGCAUUAUUAUGAGUAUGUUCAAAUAUCAAAGAUCUUCUGAUUCUGAAUUAGACAUUUCAAACUUAAGCAUCCAAAUAUAACAUGUUUUUUUAGUGGAGGAAAGGUGUAUUAAAAUGGCUUUGUUUGUUUCUGAAAAUUUUUUUCCCUCGAAUUGUGUGUUGUUUUUAAACAGACUCUCAAUUCUGAUUUGAAAUGUGUGUCUUACUAUUCAGGGCCAAAUUUACAGGAGGUUUAAGUAAUACACUGAGGAAGCUGAUGUGUAGCUUUGUGGUCCAAUCAACAUCUGACAGUAAACUUCUUACUGCUUCUUAGCACAGAUUUAUUGCUUCUCUUAUGUCUGACGCUGAGUUCGUUUCCUCCUUCUCCAGAUGGCUGGGCUUGAAGCCCAAGAUUUUCACCACGAAAAUAAAAAGAGAAAAACAUUUUUUUUUCAGUUUUUCCCUAUUAUGCAGAAUCUCAGCUCCCUCAGUUAAAUUAAUGGUAUGACCGACUGGCACUGCACCACCACUCCUGCUGCGCCACGAAUAAUGACUAUUUGGUUGAAGGGCAGGGCAAACACUAAAUUUAGAUCAAAGUUCCUCACUCUAAAGGCAUCAAAGAGUGGACAGACGUCAUCACGUGUAGUGCCAUGCCUCUUCGGCUACUCAGAUGUCAUACCACUGGUAAUGAUUAGAUUCUCUUGAGAAGACAUCUUUUGAUGUGAGCGUCCCAAGUGAGCAUAUCAUGUGUCAUCGGCUGAAUUUACAUUGAAGCAAUAUUUGAGGUAUUAAAGCUGUAAGGCUAAUCAGAGAGCUGUUUCAUUGCUACCCGUGUAAUGUGAACAGCUGGACAGGACAAAGACAGCAGAGUUCUCAGUCUGCACAUUUUCCUUUUUCGUUUGGUUUUGAGCGUACAGUGCUUCCACCUGCUAUGUGUUUUUCAAAGCCUGUACUGACACUCUGCAGUUUCUGGUUAUUGGAUAAGCUGAAAGUACAUCUAAGGAGAGAGUGAUGACAUGUGGGCGAAGGAGUCUGAGGUUCUUGUGUAGAGUCAGAGAGGGUACAGAGCAAAAUAUACACCGUUUUCAAGGAUGACAUUUAAAAAUCAGAGAGCACCAUACAUUUUCGUUUUAAAAAAGGCUGUAAAGACUGAUCACCAUUUGGACUCAAUUUAAUGCAGCUCAUGCAACCUUUAUUACCAAAAAAGCCCUUUUACAGACUGCUGUCUGCUACAGAAAAUGAGAUUCCUGCUCCUUUCUUGAACUGGGAACCAUGCAAAAUUAUUUUUGUGAGAUACAGGCUUAUAGGUUUUGUAAAGGUUGAUGAUGUACACAGACUAAUGUGACUGCUUGCUUAUGAAACAUUUAGAUUGGCCAGGUAUCUGCAGAAAAGCUAAGAAAAUGAGCCCUAAGGUUUCUCCACAUAAAUAUGGGAGUAAAAUGGAUUUAGAGGCAGUUGUAGCCCUGUGACUUACUUUGCUUGUUUUUUUUUUUUUUUUAAUACAACUGGAUGCAUGUUUUGUAAAACUGUGCUGUUAUGAAAUCCUUUUUUAUUUUAUCUCCCUGCUGAGCUUUUAAAAAUAUAACUAUAUUAAACAAACAACUUAUUAAACAGUGAGAGUAAAAUGUAACAAAUCUGAAUCAUUUGUCACAUAGAAACACAUUUUAUUUUGUCAUGAGUCCUGCAUUUUCCCCUGAGUGGGAAAAGUUUUGGAAAACUGACAGUCCAAUCUGCACAUUUGUUGAAAAUGUGGCACAGAUUGUCAGUCGCUGAGCGCGCUGCUGGCUCCUUUCAUCGGGCAUGUAAUUUGAAAAGCCUGUGACGUUGGCUGGAGCGUCUCCUCCGGUCACAGCCGUCCGAGGGCAGUGAACGCCUUUAGUGACAGAGUCAACCUUUCAGCAUGUUGAAUUGGCUGGGUGUCACGUGAUCCACACUCACCACCCACUGUAUAUUUAUGGUUAACUGUCGCUUAGUCCUCCUAAAAUGGAAAAUGUGGACUGAAUGUUAUUGGGAGGUGAUGAAUUGAUUCACCAUCUGGUCAGACAAGCUAAAAAUUGCUUUCCAAGAACAUGAAUGAGGAAAAAGACAACGUGAAAGUUGUGCUAAUAAAUCUGCAUGAAAUAUUUAGUUUGUUUUCAUCUUGUGUUCUUAAUAAAGUACAUCAAAAAAUCUACAAAUUACUUUGUUGUAGUAUACUUGAGUAAAAAGGUUAUGUUUCUUAAGUUCACUUUGCCUGUACUCUGAGAUUGAAAAAUGUUCAAGUCACUCCUUGUUGACAUGGAGCUCAAGUAACCUUGUGUGUACUACUUUGAUGGUGGAGGGGGGCGAACUUUCAUUAGAUUUAAGUGGGUCACUGUCUGUGCAGGAGCGAGACACAGUAGAUUAUAUGGCUGCUAGCAAAGAGCACACCUGGGAGACAAGGCUUGGCCUUGGAUGUAGAACAUAAGCUAUAUAUUCUCUCAUAUUUGAGACAUUAAUCAAGGGCAGUGUUAUUACCUGGGCUUGAUUAUUUUUCAGAAAGUUUUCGUGUGGCCUUCCUCUGGUGGCUGGUUGUUGUUAUGGGCACAACACUGCAGAACAUUUCAAGGGUUUCCCAUCUUAAUUGCUUGAUUGUGGACCUGUCUGUGUAAAGUUCAGGAUGUGAAGACUUCUGCUUGAAUCAUCAGACAUCUUAAAUUAACAGUGUGUGCAACUAAAAAUGACAACCAAUGUGUCAUCCUCCUGCACUGAGAUAUUUAUUGAAACUGAAGCAGUAGUACCCAGAUAUUGUUUCUAUAGGUAACUUGGUGCCAGUUUUUAUGGUAAUUGCUGUGUUUUUCUGCAGAUGGUUUCGAAAGUAUUUCAGAAUCGACCGUAUCUGUAUAUGUAGUAUUGAGAGCUUAAGCUUCCUCUUCUCCCCCGCUGUCAUCUGUACCAUAUACCGCGCUGUAUUCCACUUGGAUGCAUGACUAAAAGUUGUGUCUCUUAUCUCCCCCCUUGUGAUAAGAUCGUGCAUUAAAUAUUUCUGUCUCACAGGCAUUAACAGCAUUGUCAGAGCUGCAGCAGAACAAAGACAUUAAAAAUAUCUCUCAGUAUGGAUUUGCACGUCUGCUCUUUCACUUCUCUUUCAGCUGAUUUGUGCUUUCAGAGUUGCAUUUAGACUCUGUGAGAUGCGUUUAACAAUAAAUGUGCUGCAGGUUCUUUGAGAGGAAUAAAUACAUAAACAUAGGUCUUUUUUGUGAGGUUGGAAUUGCUAGGGUUUAUCCUAACCAGCACGUUUGUAAAGGAAAAUUCCAAUCCGAAUCAUGUUAACUAAUUUUUAAGUGUGUGUGAUAGUAUACAAGUACAUGCAACAUCCUACAAGUGAAUACUUUUUGAAGACUUUUAUUUUUUUUCUAUUACUAUAAAGUCCAUUUGCAAAAUGCCACUAAAUUCUGCAUUCUGCAUAUGUGAGUCUUCUGUUUAUGAACUGAAUAUGUUGGGAUUGUGAGGGAAAACUCAUGCAAUAGAUUCAGGGGAUUAAUCUCAUCAUAGGACAACAUGUGCAGUGAUAAUAUCCGGACAGAUGUCUGAGCACAAGGCCAGGUCCAGUAUGUCGACUGUAAGAUAGAGUCUGAGUGAUUGCCCUUGAGUUUCAGGGGCUUACUCCACAGAUCCUUUGUGGUUUGUAUUGGACUGUGUGUUGUAUUAGACUGUCUGUCUGACCCUCUGAAGCCACAACUUUGAUCCCUCGCCUGCUCUGGGGGGUGGUGACAUUUGGCUGGCUCUGACCUUUUGAGGCAUUUUUUGAAUCUGAAAUCUAAUUUCAGAUUCGGGAGAGUUUUCUUCUAAAAACUGAGUUAAGUUUAUCAAGUAUUAAGUUAAAGUUUGGAAUUAGGAUGAAUUCUGUAGACUACAGUCAUGAAUUAUAACUGAAAAUUAUAUAGUGAAGGAAAUUUGAUAUGACUGUAACAAAGGGCAACAGAAACACGUUCACAAAAAAGAAAAAGACAAACUUAAAAAAAAAAAAAACAAUUGGAGAACUAGUUUCCAAGACUUCUUGUGGAAAAAAAAGACCUUAAUAUUAUUAUUACAAGUUUAUUGUGAGAUAAAAAAAAAUGUGUGAAAUAAACCACAUAAAUGAUUUUUACUUUUAUACUAAAAAUUAAUGUCUGUCUCUUCUGUAGCGUUUGACCUCAACUCUGUUUUUGCCGAAUGGAACAAAACAUAUUUUUUAUUUCUAUCAUACUUCUUUCAGCCUUUUACCAACAAAGUGAACACCUGGCCUGCAGGAUAUGAACAACAACAACAACAAAAUCUGUGCAAUAACAUUUUUUGACAUAGUACAUCGUAAUACAGUAUAUCAUUGCAAUCAAUUGAUUGCACUCAGUAAAAGUUUUUGUCCUAAUUUUUUCGCUGUGCUCAUACUGGGAUAUCAAUGAAUUUAUGAUUAUUUUGCACCUCAACAGCAGAUAAUUAUGUGGACUUGUGAUUCAAAGGCUUUUUUCAUGUAGAUGUAAAGGAAAUAUGACACAUUGUUAUAUCUGAGAAUAAAAAGUAAAUAGUUUCAUUGUUGAAGACUUCACACUUCUAGAUCGAGAGUGACCCACAAAACAUUUCUUGGAUUCAGCUGUAAUGGAAACUGAAAGAGACUGAAAUCUGUCUGUAGUCAAGUCAUAUGAUAAGUCUUGUUUGUCUGCUUUUCCAUAACAAAGCUGCAGUGUUGUCACUCAUCUCUGACAAUUGCAUUCAUCUCAUCUUUGUCCUCAGAGGAUUUUUUAUUUUUAGAAUCAGCUGCAUUGCAAAGGAUUUCUUUUUGUAACAAUCUAACAUAGCCUGAUUGUUCUUACAAUACACAAUGAGAAAAUAAGGAUAAAAGACACACAAAUAGCCUGUUCAAAGCAAUGCUCUUUUUAAGAGACUGAGCUGUUGUGUUUUGCUGGACUUGAUUUUAUUAUGCACCACACUUAUAAUAAUAGCAUACUAAGUUAUGUUGUCAAUGUAAGUGAAUUUGUUUCAGAGGAAACUUUUUGUUUAAGAUAAAAAUGUAUUCUUUCCAUCCUGUCAGCAUAAGUAUGGCGGUCAUUGAUCACACAUCAACAGGAAGACGAUGAUUUGAUUUGCAGAUGAUAGGGCAAUAUUCAAAAUUAAAUUGGUUGAGAGAGUGCCUGUUUUCUCCCUUUGACUUGUCAUCUGAGCUCGAAGCUGUGGUUAUUUACCAGAAAUGAAUCAGCUAAUGUAACCAUUUCCUUUUGUUUAGAAUGGCCAGACAUUAAGAAGCUGCUGAGUGCUUGUGGAGUCAAUCUCAAGUAGAGAGAUAUCAUAAAUACUUUGAAGAACUUUGAAACUUACAAGUUAUAUAAAUGUAUAACAAGCAGUGUAGGUGCCUCAGUACGCUACACACAUAAUGAAACCUUAAACCAGUACCCGUCUGCAGGGUCUAAAUCUCCAUCUACUUAAGGGCGCCAAAGAAAAUGUAGUGUUGUGUGUCCAUGUUGAGUAACAUGAGGCACUUGUCUUGAGUAAAUCGAGUGAUUUGAUGAAAACGAUUACAGUGAGACUGUUUAAAAAAAGUGAGGUGAACACUAACAAUUUUAGUUCAAACCAAUAGUUUUCCUUGAUUUCAGUAGCUCUUUUUAGAUGCAGCAUGCAACUAAGGUGUUGAGUCGUAUUCAUGCCAGGGAUAAAUAUAGUCGCAUUUUCUUGUGUUUUGCCAGCAUUUUCAUCUCAACAGCUCUGACACAUUGAUUUUAAAAAGGAUAAAACACAAUCCUAUGAGAUUGGCAACCGUGGGACAAAACUUAAGGAGCCCCUUUUUGCCAGGAGAGUUUGAGAACCACAUGCACCAAUCCGAUCCUGGAAGUGGAUACAGACCAGAUAUUUACCCAAAAAAAUCAUAUUGGACUAAGGGCCGGUUCCAACAACAAAUCUUUUCAACUGAAUCCUAAGCCAUGCUGUGUUUCCAGCAACCGUGUGUACACAGAACACCAUCAGUUCUGAUAAAUCUGUGCAUUUUGCCAAGUAGAGAGCCAAAGUAGCCAUGAGAAAGUUAGUACAGAGGCUUAACAGUUUGAUGACAACUUACAGCAUGCCAAGCUCAUAUGGUGCAGCAAAAUAAAAUGGAAGUGAAGCAACUUUGUCACCUUUUGCUGACUGCAGUGAUAUUUUCAAAGUGUACAAAAUAACAGAAGUCACUGGAUUAACUGUUCUGGUGGUAAAUUCCUGCAGAUAAUUAAAACAAGGGGUUCUGCUCUCUUGUUGAACAUUUUGAACCCAGGUACGGUUUGACAGUACACUGGUUAACAUGAGUUACACUCACUGCAGUGCUACAAGUUAAGUCUCCCACACAUCAUACUCCAGUGACUUGGUUUAGACUGCCAUUAAGGAUAUGCUCGAUCAGGAACGUUAUGUUGAGCAUGUCAGAUCUUUGCAGUAAUAUGUGACAUCGCUUUGAUGUAACACAGUGAAUUCCCCACAGACAAAACCUGGACAGGCUGCAGAAGUGAUAUCUCCUAUAUAACCCACUUCAUUCUGGUUUAAUACUGAUAUUAGAUCAGAUCAGUAUCCUCCAAUACCAAAGCUCAGAUAUUGAUAUCAGUAUCAGUAUGAGUAUCUAUAUUGGUAACGCAAUCUGUUUCAGUCGUGGCCACUUGAAAUGUUUCAUCAGUGAUAAAGUGUAUCUAACGAAAGUGAAGAGUUGUCUUAAUAAUUUCCAUGAAAAACAUCCUUCAUAUUGUUUUAGAUUUUGUCAAAUUAUAGUGUUGUAAAAUUUACAAGUGAACCCUCAUGAUCAGAAUAUGCACUGAUUGAAGGCCUCUAAGCGAAAAGUACUGUAUCUUCACUCCCCUGUAUUACCUUUAGAUAAAUAAAAGAGGAUUAUCCAUUACUCUGUUUAAAAGUCGUUAGACCACAGCACCAGGCUUGGCUGAGACGUACUCAAGGCAGCCAUGAAGAGCAGGUUUAUUUGUUAAUUUAUGGAUUUUGGAUGUUUGCCCUUACCUUGUCUGUUCUCUGUUCCUAUUAUUUCAGCCUUAGAUCCUCAACCUCAGACCACAUUCCUUCGCUCCUUGUUUUGUGCUGCUGGCCUUUGAAUGGUGUUUAAUCACUCUAUCUGGUGAUUGGAUUUUCUAACACUCUCACUCUUUGCCUACUGCCCGGAGCGGCAAUUUCACUGAGGGCAUAUAUGAAGCUCUUUCAUUUCAUCAGACAUUUUUUGUAAACACAUGAAAUUUUAAAAAGAGCCAGAAAAGUCAAUACUUAUAUUCCUUUUACUGAUUUAACACAAGUCUCUGCUUUUCUGAUUCCCAACCACAAUGUUCUUAAAAACUAUUCAGUGAAUAAUGCACAUGUGUUAAUGUUGGCUUUAAAGCACCCAUCAAUGCAGGUUUUAGUUAUUGCCUUUAUUGAUCAUGGAAGAAUUAGUUGAAGAAAUUACUGUUAACCUGUUUAUGACUCAGCUUAAAUCUCCUAUUGGGCUGAUUCCUUCAAAAUAAAAUGGUCUUCAGUCUUACAAUAUUCUGCAGAUGUCGGUCCCUUGAGUCAGACUAGAAUUAUGCAAAAUCCUUAUAAUUCGCUGCCUGUUCUGCCUUGAAUAAUGUAAGAAAGGACCUGAAAAUGUCAGAGCUGAUUACCAGAGAGGAAUUAAGGUCUAUUUUAAAAGGAUUAGGGAAAUGGUUCUCUUUUAUAAUCAGAAUUUAUUUCCAAAAUAUUGAACUAGCUCCUGCAUCAAAACUGGAUUUCGUCCUGGACUGUGUACCGCGGAUGAAGUGGACAGCGUGUUUACUUGUCGUUCUGUGUGCCAGCUUUAUUUGUCUGUUUGAGUUGGUCGUGUGUAUUGUUGCAAUGUUUAUGCUGCUCUUCUGGUCAGGUCACUGUUGAAAAGGAGAUUAUGGGAUUUGUAAAGAAAGCGGCAUUAAAACAUGACUGCCUCUAUAUAAUACCUUUUCUCUACUUCAGAUGAAAACAUGGCUGUAUCAAUAACAUGACAGCUAUACAAGGGAACUUGAUAUGAAGUAGGAGUUUGUAUCCUUUAGCCCGUUUGUACAGAGCAGCUCAUAUCUGAUUUGCAGCAAUAUAAUACGUUAUCUGUGCAUGUAAAGCAGUAAAUUCAUUAGUGCAGCAGGGAUAAAAAUGGAUACUUUAAAGGCAAGGUUAAUUAUGCUCGUGGCUACAUCACACACAUGCCCAGAUAAACAUACCCUGCCUGUUGUGAGGUUCGACACUAAAGACCUGUGCGUGGGCAUGAGGUUGCUUGCCAAGCCAUGUUGACUGAGCUACAGUUAUAAUUACAUGUGAAGGAUUUUUUUUCCUGCCUCUCCUCAUUUUUUUUGAUUUAUUGCUCUAACCCAGCUGUCAGAACUCAGGCUUCACUGAUUGGCUCCUAAAUGAGAAUGUUAUUAAAAUGCAAGCGCAAAGCCACUGAGCAGCCUGAAUGGUUAAACCGAAGCUCCCCGAUGGUAAGCUGCAACCAGUGUUGAGCCAGACAGCUGUUUCUGCAUGGCAAAACAGGGUGUUAAUGAGUGGAGGAGAUUGCAGAUGAGGAUCGCUACAUCGUGACAUGUUGUUUCUUCACCUGAGACUGCCAUGCAUAAUCUCCAGAAAUGAUUGCUCAAUUUAAACCCACUGUUAUGGAGUAAACUACAAAUGUAUUAUAAUGCAAUGUUUACAGGGGCAUGUCCUCUCCUCUUCGAUCAACAGAUGAUUAUAGAUGGGUCCAGCUUUCAGCUGCGCAGUUAGGGCUUCAUACGGAGGCGUGCCUCUCGUUCUGUGGGGAAAAUUCUGCAACCUCAUUUAAGGCUAAGUGUGAAUUACGGUUACAUACAUUAAUGUUCAUGAGGAAAACAGACUCAAAACCCUCCUUUAGAGGCAAUGUCUGGUGUUGAUGUGUGAAGUAUGAAGGACAAAAAAAAGCUUUAAAGCUUGAAACAAAAACAGAUGUUAGUGGUGCAAGGUAUUUUUUCUUUAAAAUGAUUCAUCUAUGUUGAUUACAUCAAGGUAGAGAGUCAGGCAUAACUAAACAUUUAAGGCGUAUCCUGAUACAGCAUUUUGACUUCUAAUACAAUACUGAUAUUGUAGUCUGUAACAUUGACCGAUACCGAUAUUGGUGCCGGAGUGGAGUCUGGAACGGUCUGCUUGUAUCAGAGAGAUUUUAGAUGUAGGCUAAUAUAAUCCGAUAUUCGUUUUUUUAGCUGAUAUUGGACCGAUAUCUGAUAUCAAUAUCGUGUUUGGACGCCCCUAAUUUAAGGGGCAUGGCUGAUCAGACUGACCACCAGUUGGUGAGCUGUAGCUGUUUGCCAGGUAUUGUCACAUAUUUGCUAUUAUCUUGGUAAGCAGAUACAUGCGGAGUCAGUAUCUAGAUUUAACAAUCACCAUCUUUUGGCUUUACAUCACCUUUGCUAAAAUCAAAGGUUGGACUGCAUUUUGUCCUGUUAACAUUUACAUACAUAAGGGGAAUUUGAAAUCUUUACCACCAAAAAAAUCGGGCUGAUAUCAAAUUAAACCUGUUGCUCAUGGUUAAAGAAUUAAGUGCUAUGCAAUUAAGUAUGUAAUCUACGCAUGGUAAUCCAAAACUUAGUUACCAUUGUUGCUGAGUUUGCAAGUCAAAACCUUCUGGCAGAAUUUCUCCCCCACUCUUGUGUGCAGGAUCAACAAAACGAUGAUGCAGGAAAGUGAUGCGUGUCUGAGGGAGUGAGACAACAACCAAAUCAUCUUUCUGCAUAUAAAUCAGUGCAGGAGAAGGUAGCAGAGUGAUAAUAGUAAAACAUAAGAGUGAUCUGGAGUGAUUUACAAUCUUUUAGACUCUUAAGGGUCCUGUUUUUAAGCUGUCAAAUGCUAAAUUCACAAUCACUCUGGUUUAUCAAGCAUGCCAUGGUUUUUAUAGCUCUUGAUGAUUGGCAGUUCAUCAGCCUGAACUAUAACGUGCAGUAUAUCUCGCACAGUGUAAUUUUAUCAGAGUUGAUGAAAGGUUGCUGCUGUGUGCUAUAACCAUUGACGUAAGUGACCCAUGUGUAGAUGCUAUGAUCCAUGUCUUGUGUAACUAUUAUAAGAAAGUCUGAGAGAGGCUUAUCUCAACUUAAGAUGGAGAACAACUUUUAUAGAAAUUUCUCUCUUAUUGGUUGAUUGAUUUGUUUUGUUGAAUUGAAUUGAACCCUGACCCUUGAUCUGUGAACCACACUAACUUGAAGAUUUGGAAUCUGUCGCUUCCUCUACUUAUAAUCCAUCAACUUUUAUAUCAUUACACCAUCCAUUGUGAAAUGUACACUCGCAUCUCAGUGUCUGAACUGUUUGUGAUUAUCCUCUAUGCCAACUUGACAAUCUGUAAACUUGUGAAAAAAGGUCUCAGUAGUUGAAAAUGUGAAGAUGGGCUGCCAUCAUCUUGUACCCUUCAUUCACAGCACAUAUGGAUGAGAAUUUCUUUUUUAAAUAGCAGGAAAAAACACAUUCACAAGCUUUUUUGCUCUCUAUAGCUAUAAAAGGGUUUAGAGCCAUCUUGUUUGAAUCUGUAAGAUCUUAAAUUGGCUGUAGUUGUUGCAUGAACUUGUGAACAUAGUGACUAUGCAAAAAGGUGUCAGGUGAGCAUUCCGUCAUACAAACAAGCUAAUGCAUGUCAGGAGUAUAGAAACAACCGAGCCUAUCUAAUUAGCUGUGCACCAGAGCAGCAGCUCAAUAAAUGCCUUCUGUUAGGCUGGACAGCAGUAACAGCCAGGAAAGCUAAUGGUUCAUUGAGAAUGAGUGAUUAUAGGACCUGGAGUCUUUGGCAAUUGGGACUCGUUGAUUCUUUAUUGCAGAAGCAUCUUGGAAACACGGUGCAAGGAACAGACCAUGAGAGUUACCAGGACUGACCGUAUAAAUGAACCACUCCGGUUUCUAGGAGUUUAAUUUUACAUGAUAGAGGGUUUAGGUGGGGCUCUAUCUUGUGUCAUAGAAAAAAAUUGAAAAAGGAAUUUCAAGCCAAAGUACAAUUUGAUCGUCAAUGGGAUCUAUUUGGUAUAAUUCAUGUUUAACUCCCUCCUUCCUCCUUUAUUCUGUGUGCAAAAACAAGAGCUGAACAACAUGGAAAAAACUGAUAGAUAUGUUUAUGCUCCCUGCGAUGUAUGUUGCAGUAUGAAUAAAUGGGGCAAUUAAUUCUAGAUAAAUAGUGUUUUCAUGUGCAUUGAUUGAGAGUUCAAUCAUAUAAUCAUACUGUUUAUUAAUUAGGUCUCCCACAUUAAUAGACCACUUACAUGACAUGAGAUGUUUAUCAAAUUCACAUUUACCAUUGAUUUUCCUCAUGUAAUUUCCCUGGAUGUUAAUCCUUCAGUCACAUCCACAACCUUUUACAUCCUUCACAUCCUCUGCAGAGAUCCUUAUCUUCAGGCUUACAGAUGCUGGAGACACUUAAAGGCAGUGAUUUCCAAUGGCUCUCUAGCCUCCUGCUUGGUAUGCAGCAGCACAUGUUUACCAUCUUCUGGGUGAAACCCACGAGGUUUAUUUUUUAUGGUAAUGGGUUUUAUGGUUAACUAAGCCUCGCACUGGGGUUUGAGGGUUCUGGUUGCUAACUUUUACGCCAGAAAUGGGGGGAAUGUGACAUCCUGGUUUGCUCAUGACCUUGUUUGGAGGACAUCUUCCUCCUUAAAUUUUUACAACAAAGUCAUCCCACACCUGAAGCACAGCAGAGGGAAAAGAGCGCACUGGCUGUGGGAUGUCAUGGUUCCUUUGCUGCGAUAGAUUGGGACUGGGGUUAGUGGGAGUAGUAUAGUGAAUGAUUUGACCGUUUGACAGCUCCUUUAGCUUAGGAGAAAAUUGAAUCAACUUUUCUUUGGAUUUGCUGUAGACUCCUCUGAUCUGCUUUUCAAAAUGAAUCUCUUUUCCAAGAGAGAUGUCUUUUUUUCAAUCUUAAAGUAAUGGGGUGAGCUUGGGAAGGGUGGAAGAAAGGAAAAUAUGAAGUUCCAGGGAUAUUUGAUCAAAUGGAAAUAACACCAACUACUUAAUCUAUAUUAAAUUUAAUAGCUGCUUCAAUAACCUUAGGAAUCUUAACAUCUCUUUCCACAGAUGUAUUUUGAUAUUUGUCAAAGUUGUCUUAUCUUGAAUCUAUUCUUCAAUAAGAACAAAACUGAGGAACAGCCAAGAGCAUAUUUUAGUUCCAAUCAGCUGGUCAGAAAUGAUUAGAUAUUGUGUUUCAUCUCUUGUUGCACCUUCAUACCAAUUGAAGAUGUUUACAAAGCCUUGAUUCAGAAUAGUCAACUAUUACUUUAAUCAUGCAGUGUUUGUCUACUCAACACUUUAAAAAGCUAAAUUAAAAUGAUGACCUCACGUCCUAGGCAUCAGAGUCAGAAUGAACUUUAUUUGCAGACCCACGAGCAGGUAACGCAAAAACUGAAACCACUAUGUGCAAACUUAUAUACUGUAGGCUACAAUGUAAAGACAGACUUAUUAAGGACCAAAUGAUCAUGUUUUAUGUUUCUUAUUGAAAGUAGCUGCUUUGGGGAUUGUCAAAUAAAAAAAAAGCUGAGACAGAUCUUCUCUUUUGAUUUUUUUUUACUCAAAUUCAAGAUCAGACACUUACCCCUCUCUUCAUCUUUGCAUCGGUUUGUGAUUACAGCCAUCUCUGAUUUAUAUCAUUGGAUCUAUCUGCUGUUAUUUAGACUGAUGCUAGCACUAAAUAUGAAUGAAUCACUCAGUCCAUGUUCCACUUCCAGUAGCACCUCCAUUUCAAAAUUACUAAACUAAAAUUUUAUGGAUUAGAUUUAGAUUUUAGCUCACAUAUUCUCGAUAUCUUUAAGCUUCUCUACUCAGUCUAGUGUGAUUUCUCUGUGUGCACACAGCCCUGCAGUCCUGUACCCUUAUAAAGGCAGCAGGACUCAUACCAGUGUUUUUUGUGACUCAGGAAAAACUCAGAUUAGCCUCAAAUUUCCAGACAUGGCUUUUAUCAGUUCAAAAACACAGGUUAUUGUUAUUAAUCUGUCCUAGACACAUCAGGUAUGUUCUUAUGUAAGUUAAGAACAAUCUCAAGAUGCUGGUGAAUCAGGCCUAUUGACCUAAAAACUUGUGUCUUGAAGAGAAUAUGCUUAAAACGGUCUGUAUUAGGCCAAAAAGAAAAAAGGAAGAGCUGAUACCCUCAGAGGAUGAGCACAUGUCAGUAUUUGAGCCAGUCCUCACAGUCAUCUCUUCAUCCUCCCACAGAAGUGGUAAUCAGGCUGGAAGGCAAGGCAUGGGGCUCUGCAGGGGAGGUGGCGUGGCUGAGGUGACAGAAGGCUUCCUGUCUCUGACAAGGACUUUGCAUAGUCUCUUGGCAGUGAUUGGCCGGCUUGGCUGUGGGCUAUAGUAUAGCUCCAGGCUACUUCUCUGUACUCCUGCAGUUUUGCAUUCCAUAAAUAACAAGGGGCAGACGGAGGCAAAGACAAUGAGCAAGCGAGGACAAUGUGGCAAGGAGGCGAGGAGAGCCUGAAUAAGAAACAGACAGUUGGUUGUCCCGAAGACAAAAAGAGCCAAACGGUGAUUUGUUGUUCAGAACAGAGGCAGAUUGGGGAUGAAUAGUAGCAUGACAUUGGGAGAACAAAAAAGGAAAACACUGCAGUGGAGAGAUAAGACUCCUUGUAUAAAGGUAUGGGGAAAAUAAGACAAGAUGCUCUUUCUCACCCUGAAAAAGGCUUUAAGCAAAUUUACCCGCAUCAUUGCUGCCUAUUUGUGCGGUUACUGUGCAGGAGAUGAGUACAACUAUUGAAAAGUGGCAACAUUUCUGAGCAGCAAACAAUACAUCAAUUAUUGAGAACUUUAAUUAGCAAGUCUGUGGGUGACAACAUGCUACAGAAUGGAACUCAAAUGAUGUUUUUGUACACGGUAAUUACACGUUCAAUCCUAAUGUAGCAUCUGCAAAGUUUUCAAAACAUAAAAUGAGAAACUAGGUGUUGACAACUGAGGUAGGAUUCCACUUUAUGUAUAUAAAUGGACUGUUUACCCACCAGGGUGCAGUAUGUUUAACUAAGUCACACAUAGUGCUGCAGGCUGCUAGACUGUGCAAAUGUGAACUGUCUGUCGAAGACUAAAUUAUAAAUGAAUUUUCUAGCAAAGUAAAAUGAAAAUAAACGUAAUGUAGCUGUUAAGAUGACAGAAGUAUAGAUUAGCACAGACCAAGUGAGCAAUGAAGGAAACCUCUUUUGGCACUCGCCAUGCAUAUGUACUCUUAAUGUCCUCUGUCCCUUCCUACGGCAUGUCUCCAUAUGUUUGCUUGAGGUGCAGAAAGGUGUCACCCUCGCACCCAUAUUACUUAAUAUUUAUAGGCUGUUCAUAUGGUCCUCAUUUGUGGAGCUUUCACCGGCCACUUGCUGUACAUCAAGGUGCAAAUCAUCGAAUCGACCAAAGGUACUGUAUUUUCAUUAUCAGGAAAAUGGUCACUCUCACCUAUAAGGGGGUACAGUACCACAGGGAGCCAUAAGCGAAGGAAAAACUGCCGAGUUUGCAUGGUGGACUGAACCCUUUUGGAUGACAUGUUUUAUUCAUUGAAAUAUGUACACAGGGAGCUUUAAGAGCAUGCAUGCAUGGCACUGCUACCUCCACACAGCCAACACAAGGACAUCACUAGUUUUGUUUGGGUCAGUGAGCAAACUGGAGCUGAGUAUGAUAGCUGAAGCAGGCACACCGGGAACACGUGAUACUGAAUGCUCUGCUUGUUAAAUCAAAUCCAACCUCGGUACUACACUUAUAAAACAUGAUUAAAUUUCAUUUUAAUUUGACAGUGUAAUUUAAUACGUUGAGGAAACAGAUUUGACGAAUUUAUAGUUUGACCGUUUAUCUCCGUAAUCAGAAUUUACAAUGACUAUUCUAUUCGUCAGUAUUCCUCACCAGAUGUUUUCUUUUAUUCACCAUUAACAGAUCGGUUAUAAAACGUGAUAUAAGAGGAAAUCUCAUGUCAUUGAUGCUGCAGGGGAUAUUUUUGAGGUUACUGGGGUUGGUGAUGCCGUGACAUUUGAAAUGUCUCCUGCAAGGUUAGACACGAAUAUCACUGUGCACACGAGGCAGUGUGUGAUGUUGCUGAACUUGAAAAAUCUUAAUUUUUGUCAUCAUUAUUCACAAUCUAAAACAUGGAUAAUAUUGAUCAACGACUACAUGAAUUAAAGAUCUCAGUGGAUUUCCAUCAAUUUCAUUCUCGUUAUAUUUGAUGAUAGAAUAAUCUACCAAAUUUACUCCAUACUAUAUAAUCAAGUUAAAUCCUGUAACACUAGAGUAGCACUUGUUUCUGUGGCAGUCAUAAACCUUAUAAAACACUGAUAACAUUUUGGUAUAACAUUAAUCUUUUACGCCAUGUGAUGUUUGCAAAUAUGGUUUUAUGUAGAUUUUUAUUUUGAUCGCUAAGCUCAGUGUGUGUUGUCCUGCCUUGUCUGGACAUGCUGAGUUUCGGUUGUGGUACCACUUACUUUGAUCUGGUCAGAGUAAAACACAGGAGGACGAUUAUCCUGAACAUGCCAGAGGUUACUGUGACUCAGCUUUGAUUACCAUCAGCCAGAGCCAAUAACCUCUGAGCACAAUAAACUUCACGACUGAGAAACAAAUGUUGACACGACAGGUGAUACAUCACAACAAUAGCUGCUCCACAAAGAAACACUAUAUAUAUCACGUUCAAGCUAACUGUGUAAUAAAUUAGUUUUCAUGUGUGUAUUAGUCCAUUAAGAUAGUGUGAGUUGUGUUUCCAGUUUGAGGGUUGGAAAGCAACAAGAAACAUACUCAUCUACUGCAUUCAUUUAAAGUAGCUGUCUCUAAUCUGAAAGGCAACGAGUAUUCCUUUGACAGCACAGAAGUGAGGUAAGAUCUUCAAAUUGACUUCUGGCCACCUUUUAGAGUCACAAAAGUUACUCACUAUGGGACAAAUUAUAAUGCUGUGUUAGUAAACCUUCAUUGGGGAAUUUAUGCUACCCAGUGAAACAUAACUAAAUAAGAAAUUAAAUUUGCAUAACUCUAUCAAAAGGGGCCCCAACCUAACCAGCUGUAACAUAUGCACAUGCACAUAAGUAUAUUGGAAAUUACAAUGAAAUAACCAUGUUAUUUUGCAUUAUAGAUAUCUUUUUAAUUAUCCUCAGAAUUAUAAUUUGAUACUUUUGCACAUUUUUAUGUUAGUAUUUUUUAGUCCAGUGGUAAAUUUGUCAGGAUUUAUUCUGCAUCUGUUUUACUAUUAAGUAGGCUUCUUAAAGAUCUUAGUAAGUAUUCCUCUGUCCCUUUUGUUUUCACCAAGGCUCCUUUUUUCCUUUUACAUCCAAUGACAAAAUGCUCCGAAGGCUUAAUCUGCAUUUCCUAUUUCUUUUCUACUCGGACAAAACUGGGUAUUUUGUCUAAGAAAACUUAAGUGGGAAGCCCCUCCAUAACUUUUUUUAUAUAUUUGGUCAAACAUUUGAUUUGAUUCAUCCCUUGUAAGUAUCUUAAAGUGCCAUUUGAUGAGGAAAGACGUGUAUUUAGCCUAUACGUUUGGUUAAAGGAUGCCAACAUUUUCAACAGAAUCAACAGCUGAUAGCAGCUGGUUCUAUUAAGUAUAUUCAGCCGUAAGAAAUAUUACAUGUAGUGCUUGUUUGGAUGAACUGUAACCAUUUUGGGUGAAUGGGAUGUGUAACUCAAAUACCUUAGAUAAAUUAAAUUUUGUGCACUAGACUAAAGCUGGGCGAUAUGACCUCAAAUCAAUCACGAUUUAUUGAGCAGUUCACCUCGAUAACGAUAAAUGGACGAUAACUACUCCACAAGCUGCUCACCCCCUCCUACAUUAACUUCAUCUCUUAAGUAGGACAGUGUCUUAAAGGGACAGGAGACCAUAGCCUACCUACGCACAUCCAAAAUCAACUUUUAUGUUUUUAUUUUUUUGACACCAAAUAUACCAAUAUGGGCAAAAUGAUGUCGCUUAUUGUCGUAAAUUUAAUCGGUUAAUCGCCCAGCCCUAUACUAGGCUGAAGUCCCUUUGAUGGUGCCAUGUGCCUAUGGGAAAAAAUCCUGAACGAGAAGCUUCUAUACCUGUUCAGCAUUACACAAACUCCUAAAAUAUACUGUGUUGUUGCCCUACGUGGACUCUUUCUACUGUCUACAGGAGGUCAGCAGAAUGUCUAACAGAGUAGACAGCUAUAUUUACCUGAUCCAUAUCACUGUAAAGCUUUUAAAACUGAUCAUUCAUAUGGACUUUCCUUUCUUUCAAGUGUGGACUUAGACUAGGCUUCCUCUGUGACUCUAUGGUUAUUUGAUUGAUCCCGUGGAUAGUGUCCCACAGAUGCACUGGUUUAUGAGGCCAUGCCCCACUGAUCACCCAUAAAACAACUGCAGUGAGGGGCACCAUUUAGCUCAGUCAGUAUAGUACAUGCCCGAAGUAAAGAGUUAAACCCCUAAUGCAUUGCCCAGAGGUUUGAUUCUCAUCAUUUUUAGCCCUUUGAUGCACCUCCAACCCACACUUUCUCCUCCCUUUUUUUCCUUUUUCUCUUCAGCUGUAUCAUCAAAAGGCUCCCAAACACUGUAAGGAAUAGCAUCCACUGCAAUGAUAUUUGGGAUCUUUUUGAUCAUAGAGGUUACAGUAUGUUGAAGUCUGUGUUGCGACUUGCAUGUUGGCGUUACAUCAUCAGAUGAGUUUGCUUUGUAAGGCCUGACUGUCAGUAUGUGGGCACCGUCCUUGGAUUUGCUUUUCAGUUUAUUAAACUCUUUUCUUCUCUUAGUUGAAUUAGUCAUCCUCCAGUGACUGUGCUUUUGUCUUACCCUAGUGGCCGUUUUCCAGGGGCUUGCUGGUACCAAUUGGCUGGCUUCAGCUCUGCUCAACUGCGACGGCCAAUGGCAUCAUUAAAUUGCUGCACAAACAGCUGAAGGCAGACAAAUCAGAAUGCUGCUGUGCAAGGACAGCAUUUGUGGAUGUUCACGUUGUUGAUGAGUGAGGAUUGCUUUUUUUUUUUUCAUCUCCUCGAUCCGUAGGGCUGCCCAGAGGCUCAUCGCUUCAAAAUGAGACCCUCAGUCACUUUGCUGGACCUGGUAUUGUGUGCACUUUAGCACUGUCAGUUUCAACAGCUGCUUGCUCAUUCAAUAUAGCCUGUUCUAAAUAAACUCAGAUUUUAUUUGUUGUCACCUCUGUCAUAAAUGUAGAUUGUUGAAUUUGUGCAGAUAGACAAUGAAUGAUAAUUCCUGCAUUAAACAAUUCAUGCAGUCAGCCUUACAUCUCAGGAUUUCUUCAAGUUUCCUGCCUUUAUCCUCUAUCAUUGAAGUCUGGUAAUGGUACUGACAGUUAGUAACAUGAAGAGAAGGAGAAUAACUGACUGAGCUGUUGUUACAGUCAUCUGUCGAUACACUUCAGCAAUAUUAGCACUCCAGCAUCCUCUACCUGUUUGUUCUGCCUGGACUGUUUGGCGGGGAACCUUUCCUGCUGACAUUUGUGGGGCAAACACACAGUUUUCUCAGUCAGCAAAAGGGAAACUCUUUGAUAUGUGUGCUGCCUAUGUUGGCAUGGCUCUCUAAACUGUUGGUGUUAAUUUUUUGCCGUUUCUCCCAUGUGGUCAGUUUGGUAUCUUAGUUUGGUCUGGUGUCUUUGAAGUUGUUGGUGGGGCCUUCUAGUCUGUUCAAAUCUGCUUUUUACUUAGCUCCAAGGCUUCUCAUGGUCUAUUUUUACAAGUGGGUCACCAUUUUGCUUGUCUGUAGCAGUGAUCCAUGGGUGGUUAUAAUGCAUUAUGAAACACUGGUUAUGACUUUUCCAGCGAGAGUCUGAACUCGCCGUCUUCAGGUGCUCGCAGACGGCUGAAGGUCUCCGCACUCCUUUUGCAACAAUCACUGGCGCUGGAGAUGAUAGUUGCCAAGAGACUCAUUUUGAGAGAAUGGAAGCCCCCCCAACUCCCCCUUUGGAAAUGGAUUUCUAAUAUGGUGUCAGUCAUACAAAUGGAAAGACUCAGAUUUCAAAGGUCUGACUCAACAAGAACGUUUUCAGCAAUUUAGGGCCAUUUCUCGCCUCCGUGGAUGAGGCGGACUAGGGCUGAAAACACACUUUAUUAAUCUUUCUGCUGCACUGUUGACAGCCUUGUACCACCAACUUGACCAUUUGCUUUUUCUUUUUUAAAGAUUAUUAGCAUUUUACUAUUUUAUUUUUAUACAUGCACAAUCCUAAUUGUUGUCUGGUUUAGAAAUAUCAUUGAGAACAGCAGAUCUUUAACACAAAAAUACUCUAGGGGGGAAAAAUAAGGAUAUCCCAAAACACAGACCUCAAAAAUAUAAAAGACACUAUUUGAAAAAACUCUUUAGGGCAUGUUUGUCCUUUUGAGGAGUAGCAUGGCAGUCUUCAGACACUCUUGUUGAAGGACGUUUGAUCAGACAGUGCGCAAUACAGAGUGUUUAAAAGUCCCUAUAAAGUGUCUAAUUAGGGGUUCACUGCAUUUCUUAUGGUGUGUGGAUAAAAAUACUUAUUUUUGAACAUAUGUUACAAAAAAGUUUGCUGUCAAAUCAGUUGUUUCCUUUCUCUAUCAUGAUUCACAUGCACACAACACAACCACAGUAGCUACUUCAGCCAUAGAGCCCCAAACCUCACAAAAAGUGUUUUUAAAUUUCUACUUUUCAGUUUCUCAACCACCAACACGUACACUGCUCACUUAUCUACAGGCCUGCCAUUGGUGUUGAGCUUAAUGAUCCCAAGGGUAAUGUAAUUCCCUAACAGUGUACAAUUCAUCUAAAUAUAUGUAAUGAGAAGGUGUAACUGGAAACAUAACCAUUUUUAUUGCUUUGUCUGCCUUUUACUAUGAGCAGGCACAAAGGUGUAAUUCAUUUUUAUGGGAAACACAGAUGACAGGUAUUGUUCAGAACAAUUUCCCAGCACAAGCAAAAAGCCAUCUCUUGCUAAAAAACUCAAAAACCCUCUGUGGGUAAAACGAUCAUCCUAAUUGAAGAAAAUUCACUGAUGAUGACGGUUUUUUUUAAACACAAGGUGACAAAUGAUAUUCAUAUUUAGAUUACAGGUUGUAAAAAUAUCUAUUAGAUGACUGUAUGUUCCUAAAACUGCAAACUUAACCUGACUAUAUCUGAAAUAUCCUGAAUGAACUCUGCCGCCCUUGUGUGAAUUAUUAGAAAGGAAAAUUUUGCAUAUUUGAAAAAGUUUUGAUGACACAUUACUUCAGUGUGACCACCAUUACUUUUGUAGUCAUAGAACAUGCCGUUCAGGCCUUGAUAAGUGUGUCUUAUCAGCAUCUUAGAGGCUUGGGAGCUCCAAGACCUUUCCACCUCCUUAGUUCAUGAAAGCUUUUAGUUACAGGAAGUUAGCAGAAUAAUGCUGCCCCCUCAAUUUAUCAAUUUAUCUACCGAGUGAUGGUAAAUGACUUGAUGACUUAAGCAUGUUUAAUUUAACUAUUUAAAGUUUUUACCACACAGAACCUCACUACUUGUAAGUCUAAGAGGCUACUUGCUUGUUGGCAGCAUAUGGCUUGGCUUUCUGGCAGUAUCUACAGCAAUUUAGCGAGGACACAUGCAUGUCCUGCUCAAGAAUAGAAUCUGUUUAGUUAACUUUCGUGGAUCUCAACACAUGGCUUUAAAGAAAUGAAGAAUAUAUUAUCAGAGUUAGGUCAAACAAUAAUUGCUUGAGCAUGUUACCAGGAUUGCGAACAGUGCCCUCACUAAUAAGAAGAAUCUCUAUUCUCUGAUGUGCCUCUGUAAGACAUUGUUCCUCACCUCAAAGUUGGCAACGCGUUGAAAAAAAUAAGUGUGCUGGACAAAUAUUCUGAGGCUUUGUAACUGAAUAAAUCAACAUUUUUAAAGUGCUGUUGAGAGCAAUUUUUACAGUUUUAUUUUAAUUUUCACAGGUAACAGAGGUGUUCCUUGAAUCUUUUCACAGCACAGAAAGGUUCUGAGAAAAUUAGGUUUUGGUUUCCCUGGAUUUUAUCAUUAAACUGUCAGUCAGUGUCAUUAACUUCAUUUAGCAGUACUGUGCAAUUAACUUGAUUCCUGUAAUUUUUGCUACUGCUGGUUUUCAACUCCAUACAGAGUACCUUUAACUAAAGAAAACGUGGAGUUCUGCUUUGAGAGAAGUUUAAUAGAUGGAUAACUAGUGUAUGGAGAACCACACAGGUAUCAAUAUGAGUGGGCUAUGAAGGAAUAUAAUAUUACUCAGGUGCAGAAAUAAACUUGUGAUAAUUCAGUGCAUUACAAAUGUAACUGUGUUAUUGUUGUUUUUGCUCCUCUAAUGUAACUUAGUGCAGAAACCAAAGACUGUAUAUAGAAUGGACACCGUCAGCCUCCUCGCUGAAUGAAGCCACCGCGAAAACAGCAACCUCCAGUGAUGGGCUACGGUUUAGGUCAUAAAUCCCACCUCCUCAAGCAAUCCCUAUAGCGCUGUGGACAAACUCUAGAAAUUUAUAACACAGAAUAUAAUUUUUUCUCCCCCUGGUUGCGAUGUUGACAUGUAGUUACUGUAAGACUGGUUUGUGCUCAAGUCCUCUUUUUUCUGUGCAGCUCCAUUUUUAAAAUUUAUUAGGGGGUUCAUGUUUUCUAUGAUUGACACUUGAUACAGCCUAUGAGCGUACAAAGAUUGUGUCGCUUAACCAAGGGAUACGCUGUUUGAGCAGAGCGUCAUCACAGCGACUCUCCCGCUGAAUGCAUACAAUGCCACUGCACAAGUGGUGGUAUGCGUACAACCAGGGCUUGACGCUAACUUUUUUCGCAAGGGGCACAUGUGCUCCAAAGUUGAAAAAGUAAGGAGCACACAAAGAAAUUUAGGGGCACAAUGAAAAUUAAUCAAAAAAUAUUUGUCUUAUUGGUCGACAUAAGUGCUAUUAUUUGAAAUCAAUUUUAGGUCAAUUGGUCACAUGACAUUGAAACUAUCGAAGGAAAACAGCCUUUUCUGAGAACAUCAACUGGUAAUUUAUUCAUGGUCCCUUAUUCAGCACCCGACGUUGACACUGAGGGUGCCGAGUAGAUUUAACCGCACGGCUGUUGUUAUUCCCGGUUUUGGAGAGUGCGAAGACAUCUGUAGAUCCGCUGUGAAUGUCCGUCGAGUAUCCAACCUAAAACUUACUUCACUGAGGUAAUUACAUGAAAAAACAUUUGUUGCCUCUGCAAAUUUUUAUUAUGUGCACAUGUGCCCCUAAAUACAUUUUACAAAUCGCACACAUCUAUUAUUAGUCGCAAAUGCGAGUGAAAUGGUCGCACUGUUGAGACCUGCGUAUAACGCUACUAAGCAAGUGGUGGUUUCAGGAAGUGGAGAAAAUCCUGGAAAUACUAAGAGCAAAUCGGCUUCAAAUUUGUAUAAUGAUGGAAGGCGGAGCCAAGUUGUCCAUCGUAUAUACAGUCUAUGGCAACAACUCCUGAAGACUAGAGAACUAUUACCUUUUUUGACUUGUAUUAAAAUUAAGGUGAAUUUAACGUAGCAGGCUAAUAAAGAAAAAAAAAAUAGAUUGUGAACUAGUGACAGGUCAGACAUGUUACACCUAGACUGGCUUUUACGUCUUUGUGAAAGACUCUGUACAAGACAGACUUCCAUUCCUAUAUUUUAAUGGAAAUGUUUAAGUUUAUCACUUUAAUUAGACAGUGUUUAAAAGUCUCUUUCGUAUAUAUACUACACGCUCUUACCUUUGGUUAUGCCAUAAAUCAUAGAUACAUUUAAUACAAGUGUUUCAUUUCUUGCACAUUGCAGUUUGCGUUUGCACAUAAGUCCAACAAAUCCCAUUAAAACAAAAGAUGUUGAAAGUUAAUAGAGAAUAUUAUCAUCUAUGGUUUGUCACAGCAUUCUUGUUAGACUUUAUGCUCUGGUGGCUUUCAAAGCUCUUAUGAAUUAAUAUUGCAGUGGCAUCAUAACCAUUUCAACAAGCUCCCUCUUACACAUUAACUCCACUAAAAUAUGAACUGAAUAAUCAUUUGUAGUACAUUCAGUUUUUGGAAUUGGUAUUAGAUGCAAACAUUGGAUCAUUUUCCAGUGUUUCUGCUGGUUUUACAUCGCUCUGUGAAAACAAUCAGAUCCACACCAACUGAGAAAGAAGCCUGUCUCCAAUAUCAAAAGUCAUUCAAGAGUGAUGCUGAUGAAUCAUGGCAACUACGCUGUUUAAAACUCAUGUUUAUCAGCAGAUAUUAUUUCGUCUCAAAAGAUUAGUCGCUCUUACAGUCAGACACAAUUCAAAAUUACAUAAACAGCCUUUUUAUAAUACUUGUCCAGCCCUCAAUCUGCCUCUUUAUUAUGGUUGUACUUCAGCUACAUACAGUCCAUCUUUUUCACAGUGGUAGAGGUAACACAGGUGAACAAACUCCACUAAAAACAUUAAUGGUUUUGAGACGACAUAAGAGGCACACCACUGAGUUUCUAACCAAACAACCUUCCUGAGGACUGAUUUUGUUAGACCUCAGGAAAAUAGAAUAAUGAGUUGUGGCAGCAAGCUGUGAGUAAUUGGGACUGAUUCUGGGAUUUUUGAAGCUGAGUACUGGAGGGAGUGAAAGUGUUAGGUACAAACAGUUUUUCAUGGGAUACGUCCUUUUGAUGGGUUGGUUACUCAUGCCUCAGUGCCCACAAAAAAUAGAAAAGUCCUCAGAAAAACGGCUGCAUGCUAAUGAUGCAUCAGACUCUGUCAACUUUUUUCUGUUUGUUUUUAUCCUCUAUGAAGCACAUUGUGAUUGCGCUUGUAUAGAAUGUGCUAUACAAAAAAAUUAAGCUGGAUUGGAUUGAAUUCAACAGCACUGACGACUGUGAAGUCCAUCAAAUGUGUGUUUUAUAAUUAUAAAACAGUCUGGCAAGUAGACAAGAAAUGUUAAUGGCAGCGGCUGAACUGUGUGUUCAUAGAGAAAUUCACAGAGAAUUCAUUAGUGAGUGUCAGUGUGCCCGGUCUUGCAUCAUGAGCACAAACUAGAUGAAAGCUGGUCCUCUGCAAGGGAAAAAAAGAAAGUAUAAACUCUGGAUCAUUUGGAGUCACUUCCCAUCUUAACUUUUCUGAGAAAGGCUCUCUGUUUGGGUCUGACUCUGGGGACAGAAAGCAGACCAGCACCAGAUGACCAAAGCAAUCUGGAUAGUUCAUACUGAACUAGGAGGUCACUGAUGUAAUUUGGAUCUAAACCAUUCAGCACUUCAUAAACCAGCAGCAGUAUUUUAAAAUAAAGUCUCUGACAAACGGAACCAGUUUAAAGGCCUCAAGACUGGACUGGUGUGAUUAAGAAAACUGUAGAGACACUGUUACGCUUAUCAAGUCAACUAAAGAUAAAUGCAUGGACCAGUUUUUCCAGAUCCUGCCGCGAUGUAAAAUCUUUUAAUUCUGGAAAUAUUCUUCAGGUGGUAGUAGGCCGACUUUGUAGUUGUUUUUAUGUGUUUUUUUUUUUAAAUCCAGUCUUUGUUCAGCUGAAAAAACUACUCAUGAAUUUAUUCAAGGUGCUUAGUCAGGGACUGCAGGUGGUCAUGACAUUGUUAUGUAUAACUGUGUGUCGUCUGCAUAGUUAUAGUAACAGAACAAACAUGAAAUGCAUUGGAAAAAAUACUUGUCACAUUAUGUAGACAUUGUAAACAAACCGUGGCCUUUAUUUUCUGGUUAACUCACGAUUGCUGCAAAACUUUGGUGAAACUCCACCCACCUUGUAAAGCAGGCAAAAGUUGUUUUCAUGGAUUCAUCCAACAAUGCUGAACACAGGGGUUUGUUAUUUUUUUUGCUAUCCUUCAGGUUUUGUACAUUUUGGUGAAGAGGGACAAUCCUAUUACCUGCGCAAAGCUCUGCGCACAUUCAGCACCCCCUACUGAUAUAGCACUGUUACGCCUAUGCUUAUUCCGCGGUACAAUUGCAAUGCUACAGCACCAAAGGUCAGCAUUCUCCCAGUGGGGAAGAACACUGUCAAAUAAAGACAGGUUUUAACGGGAUAUAGCCAUUUUUCCCUCAGCAGUGUGUAAAUCUCUCCAACAAAAUCUGGCUGUGCUGUGGCAUUUUUAAAAUCCUUGACUGAAACCAGUGUUCCUUUUGUGUUUUAAAGCCUUUGUGUUGUGGCCUACAUACUGAUUGUUGAGAUUUGAAACCCUCCCAAAGUAUGCUGCAAAGGUCUUACUGGAAAAUGGGGCGCUGUCUACAAGAUAUUGGCAAAACAGUUGUUUCAAUCAGCAUUUUAAUCUCAUUCAGGCGAAUUCAGGAGAACUUUUUUUGAUGCAAGAUGCUCGAGAACUCUUGGGGCUAACUGUUGCAGUAUACUGUUUAAAUGUGAAAGUCUGCAGUUAGAAAAAGGGUAGGAAAGGCUGACGUGGGUCUGACCUUUCAGUAGAUUUCUGAACACGAAGAGUUGUUGCCAAAGUUUGCAACACAAGAGCAACUCUAAACAUGCAGCUCUCAGCUACAUGAUUGAAAAUUAAUGGAAGAUGAAGUUGUACAAAGUUUCUGCCUCAUGAAAAAUGGUCUUGUUUGUCCUCUAAAAAAUAAAUGGAUGUUUGAAACAGUCAUCUUUAACUAUUGAUGUACUUUCCCAAGCAUGUUCAGUCGCUCCUGUUUGUUUCUUGGUUCUUUCUGGAGAUGCAUGUUACAUUAUUUUACUUAUUUUACUGUACUUGCUCAAAACAACCCAGCCGUUGGUUCCCUUGAAAUUAGUCCUAACUAUACCUCCAUCCUUUCAUUGUCUCGCUAAACUCAGACUGAGACAAACAGCCUUUGAAGUCUCUGCCUUCAAGGCUCUGCGAUCGUAAUGAAACUGUACAGCAUUGUCUCAGCACCAAAUGUUUGGCAUGACGGAACGCAAAACUGGUUCCGGUCGAGGUCUGUUGUCUUCUCCUUCCUCUCCUUUCAAAGCUUUUGGUGUCUUUUUUUGUUUCCCAAGGGAAUUGCAGAUUUUCUGUCACUGAGCCCAACAGCUUUCAGGCUCAUCAAUAAUUUAGCGCCUGUUGCCUUCGGGGAACUCCUGCGAAAUUAUGAUGAUGAAUGCAAUCAGGGAACAUGAAAUAUAAACGUAUAAAUCUGUGUUUUUCAUUUGAGUUUAAUCAUUUUUUUUCUCAUCAGGAGUUGGAAUCCAAAGAUUGAUGACAUACUGAGAAGAAAUUUAAUGCUUUCCAGUACUCGGCACAAAAAUGCACACUCACUAAAAGCAUUUUGUAAGUAAAGGGAGCCCUAUGCAGGGAUUACAGAGGCCCUUCUUGUUUAUAGUGGGUAAAUACCCCUGUGAAGUAGCAAUUUUUCCACCAUUCUCCUUGGCUGCUCUGAGUCUUUCAUAAUGAAUAAGCAUGAAUGUUUUAGGACUGAUAACUAGUCCAACAUGCAGCCAAACAGGAACAUUGUUUUUGCCUCUCAUUGAAAUUUUAUAAGAAGACUAAAAGAUGAGCCUUCCAUGCACUGUAUGGAUUAUAUUGAAACACUAAAUAACAUUCAGAGCACAGUUUUGGACAUUUGUUUUCUGGGUAUGACUGGAGAACGCAAUAUGGUAAAAGUUCCCUGUGUUUAUUUAUGAUAAUAAUUAAGGGUGCAGUUGGAAUGGCAUCAGUGAAAAACAAGUUUGAAGCUGAGAAGAGUGCAUCCUGCCUCAUUGUGUGUGUCAUCUGGGGAAAAGAAAGGAGGAAAAGAGUGUAGCGUGAAAAAGUCCUCAAACCCUAACAGUGUAACAAGGUGCACUCAAAAGAAGAGUCGAAAUUCAAGCAUAGAAAGGGAUCUUAUGUAACCCCCCCCCCACCCCCAGUGCUUUCACUCAACAAGAUGCUUAAAAGUCAAGAUGGGGAGUCUAUUGUAGGGUUCAGAGAUCUAUCUGUAUUAUCAAUGCUGAUGGCCAUAUUAAACUUAAAGGGGUAGUGUGUAGUAAUUUUUGAAACGCAAUUGAAUCGAUCACAGUCUGUGGUCAGGACCAGGAAAUGUUCAGAGUUUCAGCUUUAUGUAGGCUGACAAGCACAGGCCGACAGUACUUAAUGCCUGAUGAUGGUUUUAUGUGAACAGUUAGGACCAUAGACUGUAUAUACUAUGUAUGUGCUAUGGACUAUUGGCUCCGCCCUCCAUCAAAAUACGAUAUUCAAGCGGAAGUGCUUUCAGUAUUUCCUGGAUUUUCUCCACUUCCUGGAACCACCACUUGCGCAGUAGCAUUGUUCGCACUCCACUACUUACGUAGUAGCAUUGCACGUAUUUGGCAGGAGAGUUGCAGAGAGUUACUGUGAUGACACUCAGCUCAAACAGCGUAUCCCCCAGGUGAGGGAUGCAAUCUUUGUAUGCCCAUAGGCUGUAUCAAGUGUCAAUCAUAGAAAACAUGAACCCCCUAAUAAAUUGUAAAAAUGGAGCUGAACAGAAAGAAGAGGACUUGAGCACAAACCAGUCUUACAGUAACUACAUGUCAACAUCGCAACUGGGGGAAGAAAAAAUUAUAUUCUGUGUGAUUAAUGUCUAAAGUUUGUCCACAACUCCAUAGGGAUUGCUGGAGGAGGUGGGAUUUAUGACUGAUACUGCAGCCUGUCACCAGAGGGUGCUGUUUUCGUGAUGGCUUCACUCAGCGAGGAGGCAGAUGGCGUCCAUUCUGUAUACAGCCUAUGGUUACAACCUGCAGCUGAACUGUAUUUAGGUAGAAACAUUUGGAACAUUAAUGUUACUAAAGCCACAAAACAAAACUAACCAGAUUUAGUAACAUACUGUACGCAGUUAUAGUGUAUCUGUAUUCAAAGGUAUACUAUACUAUACUAUACUAUACUAUACUAUACUAUACUAUACUAUACUAUACGUAAAGCCUGUUGUAAGGCACACAUUGCAUUUACAAUGAUCAAACAGUAUUUCCAUUUGCCUAAAACUCUACUUUCCUAUUGUGUCAGUUCAUGAAAACUCACUUUGUACAUUUUUAAACUAUUCAGAGCAACCAAUUACAAGAUUUUGUAUCUUGGGUGUGCAAGAUAGAAAAAACGCACACAGGGCCUAACAAACAAUGUCAAAGAGACCCUCUUUUUAUGUGAAAUUGCUUUUGUCAGCCUUUAAUUACCUGGGCUGAUUGUUUCGGUUACCUCUGUGGACAAUAGAGCUCCUGUUGGAAUCAUCAUAAAGGAUUCCUUAUCCACAGAGCUUCACAUAAACAGUGACGAUGGUUUGUUUUUUACCUCCAGAAAAGAGCUCAAAAAGGAAAGUGAAGCCUCAAAUUAAAGACUCCAUAUUGAGAGUUUUUAGACUUUUGUUCUUGGGGAAUUUAUCGAAAAAAAAAGCUCCUGAAUCAAAAGGAAACGAAAAAGUAAAAAGGUGUCAUGCUGUUAAACUAUGCAGUUCACAAAGACUCUGACAAAGAGGUGUUGGCUCACCUCUGUGGGUGUUUUGAGCAUUUAUGCCGUCUUUGCUGGAUUACGCCGCAUCUACUCCAUCUACUCCAGCUCAUGCUUUUUUUAGUCUCAACACUGCCCCUGGUGCCCUCAAAACUUGUUUGUAACAUCAAGUCAUGACAUACAGCAACAUAUACCACCUAAUCAAUAAGAAUCACAGUAAAAAACAUUGUAAAUGAAUUGCAGGUGCAGGUAGGAGGGAUGGAAUAUACUGUCUUCUGACAUACAGUGCAUGGUGUGAUUUGAGCUGAGUUAUGGAGGCAUGUGUGGUUGCCAGAAGCCAUGGCAAAAUGCCAGCACAUUAGGUUCAUCAUAAAUCCCACCUCUUUGUACAGUGAAUCUGUGUUCGUAUAGAAUAUAUACAGGGGAUAAAAAUGCUUUAUUUGACUCUUGAUAUUUUGUAUUUUAACUAUUAUAGACAUGUGUGCUUUGAAUAGCUUUGCUGUUUUGAAUUAUUGAGAAUAAAUGCACCACAGAAGGAAGUAGCUUCAGGCGGGACAUUUCAAAGGUAGGAACAUAUAUUCUUUUCCAGGAGUUAAAUCAACAACACUGAAGUAACUUUCCUCCCACAGCAAGCCUAUGACCCCUAUAGAUAAGUCAUCACUGACAGUAACUUAGGACAUGACAGGAGAGUAUGAGGUGAAAAAGUGUUGCAGGGUCAGGUGACCCAGCAGCCCCCACAUGUACCAUGUUGUCAUGUUCACUGACCGUUGUGUCACAUUAAGGGUUCAGUGGUGAGAGAGCAGAAAGAGGAAAGGUGAAGAUUUCAAGACGACCAGGGACCACUGUACCGUACUGACACGAGAGAGAAGGUCCCAGUGAGUGUGUGUUGGUAUGCGUGGGUGUGCAGCCACAUACAGUCAAGUGUGAGACCGGUGGUAAUUUAGCAGUUCUCAGCAGGUUGUCCUCUGGGAAGAGCUAAUAUGAGCAGUGGGUUGUUAUGUGUAGGUGUGUGCGUGCGUGUGUGUUGUUCCCUGUUUGUGUGUGCUUUCGUGCUUGGCAGCGUUUUAUCUCAUAGCCAGGAAUCUGCUGACCUUGGCAAACCAAAGAUUUCAUCCCGGUGAUGUCUCAUCCCUCCCUUCUACUCCUCUUUCUCCUCCUGCCCUCGCCCUAACUCCACCCAAAUCCCCUUCUGAGACAGUUUUAUCCUCUUCUUUGUGAGAAGGAGAGCCAAAAUGACCAAAGAGAUUCAGCUUCAAUAGCUUUUUUUAUCUGAAUAAUUUGCCAAAAGGUUGUAAAUAAAACAGACGGCACAGAACGGUGAUUAGAUAUUGCAAACAGUAAGCAAAUAUCCAAUCAUCAGGAGGACUUAAAAUCUCUUUUGCCCGUUUGACUUUGCUCGUCAUCCUCAUUUCUGCUGGCUCAUACCUUUCAGGCUAAAGCUAGGCAGAGAUAUCAUUAUUUUAAAACAGUGCGAUGCAGUGACUGGCAGAUUGAAGUUUGUUUUCAGCCCUUGUUAUUUUUCUCUUCCCUUCAAACUCUCUCUACUAAAAUGUCACACUCAGAACAGAAGGAACUAUGAAAGCUAAGAUCUUUACUAUAAAAACAGGCACGCAAACUAGCGCUGCAUCAUUGUUGGAUUUAUAAAGCGUUUUCAUAACGAUAGUAAAGCGUAAAUUCUUUUAUUGUUGAAUCUCAUGACAGAGAGGAGUUUUGAAUGCUGCAGCACUGCCGCAUGUGUCACAGUAUUCAAAGUGCUUCAAACUGACAGUAGUAGAAGCCACCCAGCGCUGCUGCCAGUGUUCCUCUGGGAAAACAACUGGCAAACAAUACAAUGGAUAUGACACAAGUGCUUUUUUAUGAUGUUUGUAGAGAGCCUAUACAUGUGCAUCUGCACACCAACUAUGUAGGACAGACCUGCUUUUAAAAGUGGACAGAUGAGUUUUAUGCAGCAUAAUAUCAGACCGAUCAUCUUUGUAACCAGAAUAGUUCAGCACUAAACAUCAAUCGGGCUGGUUGUUGCUCAGCCGUAGUGUCUGUUGUCUCUAUUGGAAAGUUAAAAUGCAUGAGUGCCCUUGGGUAAGACACUGGACGUCAAACUCCUCCAGGUGACACAUUCAGCAUUGUGUAGAUGCUCAUGGAUGGACUUAGUUAAACUGACCGGCCCCUACCAGAACAUUCUGUGACAUCAGUGUGGUGAGAGAGGGAAUAUUAAGAGUAGCAUGAACGCACUCUGAGAUAUCGGAAACACAAGUGUUGUAUUAAUACAAGUCAAUGUUCCAGUUAAUUAAUUUAUGUAUAAAUAUUUAAUACAUCGCCCCAUCUUUUAUGGAUGUUUUAUAUAUGGCGUUUCAUGAAUGGUUUUAUGAUUAGUACUGGGUGAAUAUGUUUCAGUAUGAAUGUUGUGUCUUUAUUAAAGCAGUCCGUGAGGAUAAUUGCAAUGUCAGUGUAUUUCAAUUCAACGAGAGUAAAGGCUGUUACCUAUCCAUCUAAGUCCAUUCAUGUGAAGACUUUAGGAAUCAAAUCCGGCUCUUUUAUUUUCCUCCAAACACUGACUCUGAUAUUUUUGUCUUAAACAACGUAUAAAGGUAAAGAAAAGAUAAGAAAAACAGAUAAGAAGGAAACUCAAUGUGGUUUACAUUAAUAUUAAUCCAUAUCCUUAUAUCUGUAUCUAUGUAUCAAUGUAUAUACUGUAUGUAUAUAGAAAAUGUGUAUUUCAACACAGAAGUCUUAAUUAGAUCCCCAUUAGUGCUUGCGUAAGCACUGGCUAUUCAUCCCAGGGUUCAACAGACAUACAAUCAUUCACAAUUACACAUUAUAUAACGUAAAAAAACAAUCAAAGCCACAAACAAAAUCUAACACUGAAAAUAGCCCCCUACAUAAAGGUUAGAGAACAAAAUGUUAAAGGACUGAAACAAACUGUCCGUUUUUUCAACAGACAUUGUGCAGAAAACAAUGAAUUUCCUUGAGACAGAACAAAGGUAGGCAUAUGUCUGUAUUGGUGCUAAUGGGAGCAAUGAGAGCCUGUCAAAUGUAUUGAAUCAUGUUUUCAUAUCUAAAAGACCUUUGUUGCGUCUCACAGGAUAUUAUCUUGCAAAACAUCAAUAAACGAACUGAAAUCAUGUUCUGUGAGAAGCUGCACAGUGUUCAUAAUGUUCUCUGUCUCUUGGAAGCAUUAAUUUGAGUUAUGUAAAACCCAGGAUUUACAUCUGUGUUCUCUGUGUCCGAGUUGCUGCUCCUAUGCAUGUCGAGUACAGUAAAUGAAUGACUACCAUCCCAAAUGUUUCUGAUGUGUUUGUCUGGUGAAAUAACAUGUCAUCAUUGUGUGUCCUUUCUGAAAAAAAAAACUCUCUUUUUGUGUUACAGACUGAAUCUGUGUAGGCACCUUUCCGCUCUCCUGGCAGGAAGCAGAUAUGUUCAUUACCUUUGUUCCAGUAUGGUAAGUUAAUCUUUCGUGUUUCUAUUAGCGUGAAUAAUUGUGCUCCUCAGGAAAAACAAACGGCACGUGCCUCAUACCUCACUUGUGAUAGAUUUUGAUAACCACGUGCUGGUGUUAAAUACACUGAGUGGUAUAAACAGACCAGACCCUACCUGCUUUAAAGAAACCGUGCUCUAGAAAUAAUAAUGCCUCUCAUUGAAAGAGAAGGACGUGAAAACCUGGAAAUUAUACAUAAAGAUGAUCUGACAAUUUCUUGCUUUCCCCUUUCUGUUUAUUUUUGCACAUUUUGACAGGAAGAGGGGCAAUUCGGACAGUAUUGGGCCUGUGACAUGAUCAAAAAAGAGCUCCUGGCAUCCUUGCACUGUCAGAUUUCCUCCUAAGACGGCAGUUUUCGUACAAACUCACCCGCAGGUGCAUAUACAGCGGGUGAAUCCGUGGGUGGCUUUUUUUUUUUUUUUUUAAAUAGGCCAGCUGAACACGCUGUUCAGUUCACAUACAGCUUCAUAAAACCAGCUGACAUGAAAAGAUGAAAAUAUAACAUUGCUUUUAACUUUUUGCCGACUCAGCGUUUCACAAAAAUGUGAUAAAGAAGUAAUGAAUGUUAGUGCUGAGGCUCUGAUGCACAAGCUCACUCUCCCUUUGAAGACUUUUGGACUUCACUUUUCAUUUAGAGCAAUCACAUGCUGCACACAGUCCGCCUGGGUACUGCACUUGUAUUGGAAGUGAUCCUGUAUUUAUGAUUUACAACAAAUGACUGCAAAUGGGUAACUAUUCUGAACUUAGUAAGUAUAUUUGCAGUGAAAGGUUGACCCUUUAUUGCAACACGUCAUUAAUCUUGCAUAACAGUAUUGCACGCAGUGACACAAGACCUCUGGAUUUGAGCUCAGCCUCAAAAUGGAGGCACAAACACUUGCAGCCCCGCGGCCUAAACACGGGUUUACAAGGGUUGGUCAGGGCGAUAGCAGCCCAGAGGCACAAAUCCAGAAUCAUUAAAGCCGUUCUGUUGUACCAAUCCCUGUCAUUGUGCUUAACAUGAUAAGAGCAGCUCACAGCUCCAUGCCAACUACUGUGCCCAUUCAGCAGUCCCAAAUUGUACUGGCAGUGUUAUAGGGGAGGACAUGGCACAGCGGAACGGAGCGCAGCGGAGCAUGACGUGGCCAAUUAUUGCAGAAUCUCUCGUUAAUGAUCUUUUUUUUUUUUUUUUUUUAUCCCAUUUUUAACUGCAAUAAGCAGCAACUACAUUGACUGGUUUUAUUUAAGGCAUGAGCAAGUUGUUUUAUUUUAAUUGCAAAUACAACUAAUCAAAGACAGGGUGGAAAUGUUGCCUGAGGUUUAUGGGGGAUCCAGUAAAAACCUGAUAGCUCUGGGGAGGCUGACGAAAUGGAAGCAGACGUUGCUGUUACUAGCCCGGGGUUUGCUGGUAUUGUGAUGACAGUAAAAAAAAUGAUGUAUACCAACUGUAGCUUUUCAGGCAGCUUGUGAGUCUUUGAAGGCUUAUGAAAUGCUGAGUGUGGAGCACCGAAUGCAGGUGCAAAUCAUAAUCUUUCACCUUCACAGAGGAAGAAGUGCUGUUACUGCGGUCUUGGAACGGGGAGGUUAGAUUAUAGGAGUCAAAAGAAAAGACUGACUGUGGGGUUUGAUCAAAACUCUUAAAAGGGGAAUGUCAACAGGACAGUUGCAAUCAUCUCAGAAUAAUGUAUUACUACCAAGGUGCAUGCAUUUCACGUCACAAAUGUGAGGUGUCCCGUUACAGCUCAAACAAAGAGAACUCAUCAAUGCAUAAAAAUGUUUCUCUUCAAGUAGGGCUGGGCAAUAAAACUAUAAUGAUAUAUAUCAAAAAUUAAUUUACCUCAAUACAGAUAUGAUAAAAAGUCAAUAUGCUUUUCAAUAGUCUGCAUUCUGCCAUGUUUUGAUAGACUUUACGAAUAGCCAAUGAAAAAGAGAGUUGCUCUGAGUCUAAACCAAUCAUGUGCUGAAUUGGAACCAAGUCGACAACAACUGCGUAGUUGCAGACUGCAGCUACACGCAACCAUAGCACGCAACAUGUGAAACCGACAGCACUGUCGGGGAGAAAAAAAGAAAAUGAGUGUUACCCCUGGCAGAAAUUCAGAUGAAGGCUCAACAGAUGACGACAUUGUCGACAAGACUGGCAUGAAAGAUUAAUGAUAUGUAUAUUGAUUUCAACUAAUAUAAAAAAAAUGUAUUGUGAUAAAUUUUUCCCGUAUGGCCCAGCCCUAUCUUCAAGUGAUCAAUGUCCCAGUUGUUUCAGACCCCCAAGUAUCCACCCACACUUCAGUUUUCUGCAUUGAUCCAAGUGGGUCUGCUAGAGUGCCCAUUGUGCAAGUUAAAGUCCCCGUCUUUGUGGGAGACUUGUAGGUGGAAUUAAAGGUGCUUCAAGGCAGUGAGCUGCUGUUGUUUGGCAACAUUGACAUCCUGUGUUUUGAAUUGGUAUCAGCAGGGCGCAAAGCCACUGUUGGCAACCCCUGAUACUCCCAGCCUGCAUGCCACAGGCAGUCACCUUUUUUAAUCUCAUCACACAGCUAAAUAGAGUGCAAUGUGGUUUAAAUUAGAGGAAAUGGUUCACAGUCCCUCUCAAUCAAUAGUGCAUGUUUCUCACCAUUGUUUAAAUGUCCUUUGUCCCAGACUUGGAGGAACAUUUAGCUGGAUUACCUCCUGUAGUAUUUCUGUGGCUGACUUGGUCUCGUGAUAAACUGUGAUGAGCUGUUCGCCUCCUGUUAUACACUAUAGCUGCUGUCAUUGUGUCAAAAACUUCCCAACAGGGUCUUUUGGAGUCUGUUAGUUUUAGAAAAUGAGUUAGCUUACAGGUCAAUCUUAAAACAUGUCUCUAUCAAGCAGAAGUGCAACUUUUUCAAUGAGCUUUGCUCUGGUGAUGUAGGUUUUGUGGUUUUUACAGCAGCCACUUUGAUAAAUCUCGAAAUGUUAUGACACAGACUUCAAAGCUGAGGACAAGAAGCCCUGAAGUUAAGAGGUACUUAAUUGUUUUUUACGGUUUUAUGGAUUUGCAGUGCCGAACACCUGAACUGAAGUGGUUGGGAAACAAAUGGAGGUCAAAAAAAGUUGACACACUUUUAAUUGCUUUUCAGAUUUGAGCACAUAGUUGAAGCGACACACGUACAAAUGAAAUUAUGCAGAACAUAACAAAGGACAUCCUGAACUCCAGGAAUAUAAACAGUAUACAAAACUUUGAGAUGUCGCAACUAACUGGAAAUGCAAAUGUUAACAAAGUCAAGGUGUUGUCUCAUGUAUCGACCAAAUGUUUUAAUAUGAACAGGUGUGCUGUUUUUAUUAAUUAUACAAACUACAGGUGAAUAACUAUUGAAGAAGCAUUUUCAUGGAAGGUGACUCUUGACCUUCAGUAUCAAGCAUCAAAGCAUCAGACUGCUAUAUGUUUGUGAUUAAAUUGUAAAUUCAAAUGUGGUAACUUUAAUUUGGACUGUCAGAUGGUUGGAUCUUCUUCCUUUUUCAAUUCAAAAUGAUUUUGCAAUAACUCAAUGAACAUGCUAAAAGAUGACAGCAUAGUUUGUACUGUCCAGCACUACAUCCAAUCCUCUGACCUGCUUCGCUCACAUACAGUACAAGCAUAUUCAUUGCUUCUUUUCAACCCAGCAUCAUUACGUGUAUUAAAGUCAUUUUAUGAAAGUGGUUCCUUUGAGAGUAUUCUUGUUUUUUUUCAUUUCUCUGACUUGAAUAUGUUAGAGUGGCUUUAAGUCUCGCUCUCACUGCUUUGAAAGAGAAAAAAAUCUGGCUGCAUGUUAGGUACAUAAUAAUAUAUUAUCUCAAAUACAGUGGAGGUUUAUUGUAGCUAUUAAAGUAUUAUUGAGGCUGAACAUCCUCCAGACAAGUCCAUUAACAGUAAUCGUAAAAAUGUUCUUUCCUUGCACUUAAAGUGACGAAAAAAAGAUGAUAUGGAGUUCUGUAAUUUUCAUAUUUACCUCAUGAAAGGCUUAUGAUGCUGAUCCACGCUUCAUGCAUAAUACUGCAAUAUAAGAUGUUGAUUCUCAACCUUAUAAAAUUGCGUCACGUGAUCAACCAAUGUUGUCUGUCAGCCUUGGUCAUGUUUUCUGGCCGCUCUGAAUGGCUUGUUUCGGCUACUUUGCAGUACAUUGCCAAAACAGUGAUGUCAGGUUUUGUCAUCCUGAUACUUUUUUGAAUCAGUGUGUUUUUGAAAGCGGCUUGUAUGGGUUUGUUGUGAUGGAAAAUCAUCUUUUUCCUCCUCUUUAAGGCAAAGGCACUAGAAAAAAGUGGAAAAUGUGGAUGUUUUUUGGGCAACAGCUACAAUGUUUACUGAUGAUCAUCUUGUAAACAAAGGCCAGUAUAAGCUGGAUUUGUGUCCUAGCUUUGCCUGAAACCUGAGGCUGUCACAUCUGUCAUGACCACCAACGAAAGCCCCGAAAACACAAGAUAGGGGUGUCCUGAUACAACUUUUUUUUUUUUUACCUCUGAUACAAUAUCAAUAUUGUAGCCUUCAGUAUUGGCCAAUACUGAUAUUGAUCCGAUAUUGACACAUACUUGCGCAUGACAAGUUUUGCACUCAGUUGCAAUGUUUUUUUGGACUGUAACAAAAAAUGCUGCCACAUGGCUGACAUCACUCCUACUCCUUGCUACUAUGUUCAUACCGUAGUGCACACAUGGGCUAUGCAUGCUCGAUCUGGGCACUGCUACAUAGAGGUGCUAGAGCGGAGUCUUAAAUGGACUGUUUGUAUUGGGGUGCUGAUAUUACAGAUUUUAGACGCAGGCGAUAUAAUCCGAUGUUAGUUUUUUUGUGGAUAUCGCACCAAUAUCUGAUAUCAAUAUCAUAUGGAGACACCCCUACCACAGGGUGUAAGUAACAUUAAAACAGCAAACUAAUGAGCAGCUGGUUUUGGCGCCAGUGGCUAGACUCAGAUGUUUUCUGUAAAGGUCUAACUUCAGGUUGUUCAAUGACUAAAAAGCCGUGCAGAAAGUAGCACCCACGAGCUGUGUCUAAUUUUAUAUCAGUGGAAAAGCAUCCAAAGUGAAGCUUUUCAGGCAGAGGCUGGAUUGUGCUGAAUUAAAAAAAAAAAAAAUUCACAGAUGCCAGUUUAAGAUAAAUAAGGAGAACUGCAAAUCCUGCUGUUCCUCUGCAGGUGUCCUAGACUAACAUACUGAAAGGUGAAAAAAUAAGCCUUUGUAGAUGUUAUAACCACCUUAGAUUUUGACAGCUUAGGUCUGGUUUGAGUAUCUCUUUCAAGAGGACGUGAAGUAAUCAAUAUUAAAAUUCAUAUUGUGAUGUUGUUCACUGACCUUGUACCAUAUGUUUUUCCUUGUUUCACAUCUACAACAGUCUUUCACUUAAGUGUCCCUUUUGUUUCUUGAUGCAUGACACAACUUGUUUUUCUGUUUCUGGAUUGGCAUGAGCGCCUUUGUUCAUUCAGCGGAGACAGAGAUCUCACAUCUUUCUCAGAGAUAGGUUUAAUGAAGCCCUGGCACAAGCAAAAAGGCAGCAGCACAAUACACACGUCUGUCUGCUGUCGUAAUCCUGUCGAAAAGACAACACAUUUUUUUCAUCAAAGUGGAUUUACUUUGUCUGCACUGCUGGGAGGAAAAUACAGCAAAGACUUUAUUGCAACUUCUAUAGUUUGGCCUUUGUUAGCAGAUCAAAGUCAGGAUUAGGUGUGGCUACCUCUAACAAUCAGAACAACAUGACAGGAACACAAAGAAAAUACAUAUAUAUGACGAGGCCUUUAACACAUUUUGAACGUCUUAAACCUCCCAGCCUAUCUCAGAGACCACAUCAAAUCUGUUUGAUGCCACCUGCUGCAUAACAGCUCAUGCUAAGCUGCGCGUUGCCCCAAGCACCUUUCUCACUAAAGUCAUUAUCAUUACCACUUUUCUACCUGUGUUCCACCAGAGGCUCAGCAGCAGCUGUGGGAGGAAGCUGCCACAUUUUGGGCUCCAGACAAGUAACUGUUGGCAGCUUCAUGCCAUGAGAUGAGGAGGUGGUAGAGCAUGACGGUGUGCAUGGGAUGGAAUACAGAUCAUAUAGAAACCUACAUGGGGCUAUGCUUGACUUUUCCACACAGCAUUGAGCAGCAGAUACAAAUACAUCUGGAAUACAGUGUGAAAAGGAGCAUUUAACGAGUAUGUUGAAAACUGAUAUUUUACCCACACUUAAAUCCUCGUCUUGAAAAGUGGUCUCGAAGCUUUUACUUAUAGCAGCAGGAGUGUAUAUUUAACUUUUUUCAAAUCUAAUUUUCGGCUCAUUUGUUUAUCAGUUCUUUUGCACAUCAUCAGCAGCCUGAUAACAGCGUUGCCAAAGAGAUUUAACACAUGAAAGCGCAGUUUGUUCAGAGCAUGUUGGAGCUAUUGAUAGUUGUUUCCAGCAGUAACUUGGGAGUGAAUGAGCAAGAGAAGUGAAUGUCGAUCUCAUCGAUCUGACACAGUGAAAUUUACGUUCACGCUAGCUGUUGUUUUCUCUCAGAUGUUAGAGCAGCUGGUGCUGCCGUGUCUCUGUAUGCCACCGUCAGAGUGCAGCGGGAGUCUCCUGCCUGUUAGGUUGAACGUGGAUUUGAAGAUAGCAAGUAAUGCAUAAAUUUGAGCUCAUGCGAUAAGACGGCGGAGCCACGUUGUGACAGCAUUGGAGCGCUAUGACAGCAUAAUCGAUCAUUGCGGGAGUUGCAGCGGACACGCAGAUGAUGCAUUCUUUGUUUGAACUUUUGAAAUCACCCACCGAGACACAUUUCAACUGUUUGUGUGUCAUCACUGUAUCACUCAUCUGAGGAGAUAUAACAUCUAUUUAUCAGAUUGGAGCAGACUGGCUCAGCUUUUGCAUCUCAUUGUUUUCAUAUUGCAUCAAUUUUAGCUGGGAUUGGGAACUGAUACAUUGUAGGCCAUUUGUCAUGACUAAUCUGUGCUACUUUCAUCACGAGCUCGUGCAGAUCUCUCCAAGUCCCUCCCCUGUCUCCUUAAUGCCAGCUGAUUUGUAUUCCCAGUACAUUUGUCGUUUUGUGUUGCCGCGGCAGUGAGGGGGGUUUGACAGUGAGGACCAAGUGGCUGACAUUUGAUUGACAGUGCAAUGUUCCAGGAGAGAGGCAGGGAAAUUAUCUGAAUUCCAGGGUGAGGAUUAAUCCCUCUCCUGGCGUGCUCCUCAGUAUCUGAGGCUGAGGACAGGGGAGGGAAAGAGUGUUUGAAAAUUAUCAUGGAAGUUUGAGUUAAUUGAAGCACAUUUUUGAGGGUCUAUUAAUGAUGUUGACAGACUCUUGUGGGGCAAGUUGGAUUUAGUCUGAAUGUUGAGCCAAGCGAAUAGUUUGCUCAUCCAGAGAAUAACUCAAAUGGUGUUUUUCUUGGUUUGUGGUAAUAAGCUCACUGUUAAAACUCUUAUUUUGAUGCUUUUGUGAAACAGCCAGUUCUGUGCAGAGUUUAGGAAGAAGAUUUCUGACUGUAAUAAAUAGGAAUGGGGGAAUAUUAAUAUGGCAAUAUAUUCAUUUCCUGGCUUGUUUGAAACAACUAUUAGUAUGCAGGGACUGAUUAACAAUAUUUUAACUGUUAAAAAAUAUGGUGCUCUCAAUAGAUGUUCCUGUGUGUCUGUCCCACUGCAUCACUACUUCCUGACUCCUUAGGGUGGUGCUCAUGACAUGAAUGAGGGAACAGCAGUUAAUUGGCUGAAAAAGACGUUGACAGCUGCAUAAUACCAGAGGAAGACAGUGGGAUGGCAAAAAGCAAGGAAAAAGAGCUGAGAGUCACUUUGAAAAUCAAAAGGAGGAGUAGAGAGAGAAAAGCUAACUCAUCUCUUAUUGCUGAGACAAGAGAAAAAAAAAGGAGAGGAAACCAUGAAACGUGUAGGUAGUAUUUCACUCACCUGCAAUGGAUGGACUACACGUGCUGAAGAACCCUGCAUGAAAAGAACCGCCUGUUUUAUCGACAACGAGUGGAAAAGCUUUCCUGCAAGCUGUACAGUAACAGAGUGCAGAGACUGACAGAGGUGAUGCUCCUGAAGGCUACAGAGGAGUGGAAGCUGACUGAGAAAGAUCCAGCUGUGGUUAUCGACUACAUGGUGAAUACAAAGCUGAUGCAGGUACAGACAUUCAGGUUUACAGACAAAGAACAAGUUUAUAGUUAUAAUGUAAAGCAUAAAUGCAUAUGUAUACAUAUAGAUGAAGUGUUUCUGUUAUUAAGAGUACAUUCUUUUGGGUAAUGUCUGAUUUUUCUACUAGUUUUAUACUUGUUCAGUUGUUCUGUUAAUAUAGUUUACAGACAACGACGUCCUUGUUUUAUAUCCUUGGCGCUAAAACAAACUCAAUUAAUGAGAAUGCAAUAAUCCUACACUUCUAUCCUGAAGUUAAUCAAAUAUGUUCAUCAUGUUAUUACAAUUAUUGUGGGCCAAAUACUGAAUCUUGGAUCAUGAUUGGGAUAAGGAUCAUUCAUUUUCACUGAUACUGGUACCAUUAUCUAGACUUCUUAAUGAUUUGAGUCCUUAUCAAUGCCACUGUUGAGUCAUUUCUGUUAUUGGUGGAAAGACAGAAGAGGCGUUACUGCUGUUGCUGGGCAAAAAAUGAGAAUAACAAAUGAGAACUUUUCUGCAUAUAAAACUGCAGCAGAUGAACUUGUGAACUUGUAACCUGAACCAGUUUGGUGUGCAGUGAUAGUGUUUUGAAUCUACACGUCCCUCCUCUGUUUUUGGACAGGACCUAUGCCAACUAACAGUGCAACUGUGUUUUUAUUUUGGAUUUAUAAAUGACCACCGCUUUAGUUAAAAUCUAUAAAAGGAACUUCAUCAAGCUUUAGGAAACACUCAGCACUCUGCUAGCCGUUUAAUUGGAACGCUCGUAGUGAUUGCAACCAAAAGAAGCACUCACUGCAUUUAACAGACACUGUUCACCUGUCUUACCUAUUCCCUGUUGCUGCCUUUAUUCUUGACAUCCUCAGUUUGAUGUUUUAACAAGAGAGGAAGCAGUUCGCUCAAUGAACUCUACUACAUUGAGCAGCAACACCUUAAGUAAGAUGUAAGGGCAUCUCAGUCAGCCGUCUAACUUCUCAGUCUCUGAAGUCAUUGCUCUGUGUCUCAUUUCCCAGAGUAUUGAUGUCUUUAAGUGAGCUUCCCAAGUGCCAAGAGGGAGAGGAUCCUAUAUAGAUUGCUCUGAGGAUGUUGGGACACAGGUGACUGGCAUCGCUCAAAUAGUAGUCUUCAGGUUGUGGAACAUUUUUCAAGUGAGUUAAUAUUAGUAAUAGAGUUUUUGAAUUAUAAUGUUGGCUGAUUGUGAAUUGCAUAUCGUAACAACUUGGGAAAAUCACAGUACAAUUUGACAAAUUUUUUUCUUCCAAUUGAAGGUCUAACAUCCUAAACGUGACAAUCAUGCAGGAGCACCGAUUUUCUUGCUUCUUUUCAGACUUAGCACACAAAGAGAGAUUAAGCAAACUGCAGGGAUUCACUGGUGGAUCUCUCGUCUACAAAAAGGAUAGGAUUCCUGCUCAGCUGGGGUGAAAUAUAAUUCUACAGCAGAACUUCAUUAAGGAUACAUGGUUUUCUCAAACAAGAUCUAUGGACUCCAAAGUUAGCUUUGUCCACACAAAUGAAAGCUCUAUUUCAAAGAGAAGUAAAAAGCAGAAGGAACAGGAAUAUUGGGUUCCAGCAGAGAAAUGGUUUACAACAAAGGAAAGUUUAAAAAAUGGAAACAAAAGAAGAAUCAAUACUUGUGCUCUGCAACAUGGCCAUGCAGGGAAGUGGAUCUGAUAGAGAGCCUAUGUGGAUAUGUGUAGAGAGUAACUGGAACUAGGAGAAAAAUUGUGUUAUGCUAUCCUCCUCUUAAGAGCAGCAAUGGACUCCUGCCAGCUUUUGCUUUUUCCUCAAGGUCAGCAGUAUUUCAUCUUCAGACCUGUACUGGUGUUUCUCUCAAAUAUCAGAGAAAAUGGACUCUUUAUCGUGAAACUAGAAAGCAACAACAAGAUAUCGUCAGUCUUGUCUUUAACUGGCCACUCUCUGACUGAGGUGCAGCUGUUCAAACACUGAAUACCACCGCAAAGCCAAUAGUUUGAACCAAAGGCUGUGAAAGACGGACCGUAACAUUGAACUUUGGAAAAUUGAGUUUUCCGUCUGUAUAUUAUAAAGUAUUUAUAUGGCGACACUGUCUGCAACUCUGCCUCUGAUUUUGCCUUUUUUUUUUUACAGAGACAUUGUUAGUAUCUCCUCGAUUGUUGCCAUGUUUGUUGUAGUUAUAAACUUUUGACUCAUCCACCUUUUUUAUGCAGCAACUUUUGAGCCUGAAUAGUGCCCCCUUGCUUAACAUGCAGUCAAUCCAAAGCAAAGGACAUGCUGAUCGGCUAUGGUGGCGUAAAUGAUUUGCUCAAGUUCGGAUUUUUAACUCUUACCAACAAGGGAAUGAAGCGAGUAGUGCGUCUAAUGCAUCAUUUGAAUGUGUAAUCAGCUCAAUAUGCACUAUUUGUGCCGCCUCAUUUGUGUCAUCCAUGUUGCCUGAUAAGUCAUGACAGGGAAUUUACUUGCGUGAAAGAUUUUGAGGCCAUCUUUCUGAGAGCAGUUUGGGUUUAACCCAGGGAUUAGGUUUGGGAAUUAAUAAGAUAAAGUUGUAACCAAUAACAUUGAUGAUUGUGCUUAUCUAUCUGUUUCUGAAUUAAUUCCCUUAUCAUUUUUUGUGGCCUAUACUACAUUAAUGGACUCUGAAUGUGGUUUAAAUUGGUAAAUGUAAUGCCAGACAGUUCUUUGUAAGAACUGUCCUUUGACCAUUUGUAGCAUAUUUAAGACCUGAUAAGUUUAGGUUUUCACUUCUUUUUCCAUUCUUUCUACACAAGCACAAAUUUUAAAGGCAAAGAUGUGAGACGAACUCCACCAGGGACGGAGCAAAUGCAGUACCACCUGGUCAGGCCCUCCCUUUGGAUUGAUUUCAAACAACUGCAACUAUUAGUAUGCAGGCACAAUAUGGCAAAGCUCCAAUCUCAAGAAAACAUGUUCUUCCACAACUGGAUAAGCACUUCUAGUGAUUACAGGAGAGACUGGAGAAGAUGUGCUUGGACCGAGAAGCUGGCAGAGUGCUCCAGAGAGUGGAGGCAGCUGGACUGCAGUAAUUAGUCAGUGAAACUCUUCGUUGAUACAGGGCAGCUGACCGCUGGCCUUGAUUGCCUGAAGGAAAGGCAGGGUCUCCUCUCUCUCACAAAUAUGACUGCGAUUAACAUCAGCAAUUACCUGCAGACAUUACACCCCCCUCCCCUCAUUCCGUCUUUUCAUUAAAGAAGAGAAAUUAAUUGCCUGUUAGAUGGAGAUAGCCUCAACCACAUUGUGCUUGUGGUUGUUUACUCAGGCACAGAUUAAUUGUCAAGGCUCACAAGUCAAAAAUGUGCCAUAGUUUCGUAAGUUUUGUUAGAAAUCUAUACCACGUACGUGUCUGUCAUAUAAUUUGUCUUUCCUGGAAAUUGACAGUUUAGAAGUGUUAGAUUUAACACAGGAAAAGCUGCUUCUGUUCUCACUUGAGAUAAAACAGUAUCAUGCAAAUCUCUACAAAGCAAACCCACCAAGACACAGUUCAGGAAGCUGUUUUCUACUUGACCAAAAGGAUAAGAAAAUAUACCAAAAAGCAAAGAAGCAAAACUUCUCUGUUUCAUUAUUACUUUGGAGUAGUUCUCCAAUCUAACAUUCUCAGAGGUAUAACAUUGUCUCUCUGAUCUCGGCAUUUAUACCUGUUGUCAUUCAAGGUUCGGCUAAUGAGCUAACCUCUCAACACCUUCAGAAUUUGUUGAUGUUUACUUCCUCAGGAUUGAAAACAGUUAGGGAGAGGGCUGUAAUGCACAUUAAUGAGCACGUCACAUGGAUGGAAGCUAAUUACAAUGACACGUUUGGGGCCUCAUUUGGAUGGCGGUGUCAGCAGUGACAACCUCCCAGCAAUUUGAGAGCCUGCGUUAGUCUGAAUUACCUUAAAAGCACCUCUGAAAGCACUUCCUCUCUGAAUGUGUACAUUUCUCUCACGGAAUAAAAGCAGAAAAGCUGUACAUUUGAUUUUCAUUCCUUUUACAUGUUGCAGCAGAGAGUUGUGGGGGCUCGUUCCUUUUGAGGUGAGGCAGAAAGGCUUUUUAUCAGCGCCUGUGUGGGCUAACCCUCAGAUUCUUGAGAUCAAGCCAGCAUGUUGGAAAAUCUAGAAGUAAUGGCAUCGUUACCCAGGGUUUUGUUGUUCCUUUUGGUUUUCUAACAGAAAAUCUUAACAGAUUACAGAGACGUCUACCACAUUAUCCUCAUAGAAAGAAGAAGACAACAAGAAUCCUGCUAUCACACCAGGUCAUGUUUUAAUUAGCUGUUACAGAUGCAGAGUAUGCAGUGUGAGCUAUGCGUUUUUAUUGAAUAUGAAUAUAAAUCAUUUUAAAACUUGCCCUUGCUUUUCUGCAGUGACAUCCUGCAAUUUUUAGGCUGUUCAUACUGUGAAAGCAAAAAAUGUGGCAACUUUGGAAUCUAUUAUAAUUUUCUCCUAAUUGUGCCAGCAUUCAACAGAGGAUACUCAGAGAGCCAUACAAGCACUCAACUUGAUGACAGGAACCAAUCUCGGUGUGUCUGACAUUUCAUGUAAUCCGCAGGACACUGACUUUCUCCUGACUUUGGUGAUCCCCUGACUUUUCAUCAGGCAGUACCACGAGGUUGACAUUUCUGUUUUUCAGUAAAAUAUCUGAACAACAAUCAGAAGGACUGCUGUGACAGUUUGUGCAGAGAAGAUAGAUUAAAAUAGUUUUGGUGGACUUCAAGGUCAGGACUCAUAGUGCAAAAUAAAAUCCUGUAGAAGUAAUGAAUUGCCAAACAGCUUCAGUGAAUGAGCAACUAAACAGAAAUGCUGAGCUGUUUGGCACACAUAAACAUGCUGUAACUCAGUCAGCAUGUUGACUCAGUCAUUCUGGCGAUAGCUGCUCAAAGCAGAGAUGUUUCCAAGACCGCAUUCAGUCAGCUGCAUAAGUCCUGUCUAAGCUGUCUUACUCACUUGGAUGAGGCUAGUCUGGUUAUGCAGGUGAGAUAACACUUGGAGGAGGUAUGGCGAGAUAAUCAAGGUCUACUUGUUGGCAAGUAUGCACUGUUUCAACACAAGGCGGAUUCUUGGAUACUGAAAUGAGUAAUUAAUGGACAAAUUGCUCCUCAUUUGGUAGACGUUUUAUUUUUGGCUUUUCACCUUUGGUAGGGCUGCUUGAAAGAGACAGAGACCAAAUAUUGCCAUGGCCAGGAAUCAAUCCUAUGACCAGCCUUAUUAGGACUGCAGCCUCUGAGCAUAGCAAUCUAAACCAGUAUCUCUUUGAUGGCACUUUUGACAAAGUAUCUGCAAGAAGUACAAAAGUGUUUUAACCUGACAUCAAAAGACACCAUCAUUCUGGUACCCAAAGCCAUCCUCUAAUUAUCUAGUACUUAAAUCUUUUUGUAACUUUUGGUAACAGAUUUUGGAGAAAACCCAAUUUUGCUGAAGGUUUGGAAAACUUGCUAUUCAAAUGCAGAGAGAAUUUUCUACUAAAAGCCAGUUGUGGAAACAGGAUUUGUUUAUUCACCUUCAGGGAUGAAUGGCAGGUAGAGAUUGGCAGAGGUGUCCAGUCCACUGAGGAUAGUAAAUCUGGCAAGUAUACAAAAGAAACUCAUAAUUAGAAAAAAAAAAAAGCUUUGAUGGCAUUUAUGAGGAGAAAGAAGAAGGAUGUGUGAAACUGGGAAUACUGAAACAGUGAAGCUUGCAGCUGUUUUUAUAUGAUUUGCCCCAAACUCUUGUCAGACUGUUUGAUUCAAUGCAGCUGUAUCUGAAACGCCAAGGUCGGUUUUGAUCAGUGAGCCAUUAUCCCACAAAAAGAGUUGCCCAAAGCAGUUUAGGAAAAAGUUUUAUGUUCACGGGUCAUACAAACUCUGAUAUGCUUAUGAUUAAUUUAUAGAAAGUUCACUUGUGUGAUCCUGCUAAAGAAUCAGAUCUUCACUGCAAGCCGGAGCAUUAUUCAUUUCUUUUACAGGAAAUAUAGCUGGAAAAUGUGAUCUACAAACCAGCACAGCCGGGACCAACGCUCCCCUUGGGCUGUAUUAUGAAGUUAAAUAUGUGAUGGCAGAGCGAGAUGCAAUGCCAAGAUGUCAGAUGAAUCGCAGCCGAGUAAAGUGGUUCACCUGUCUGUAUCACUUACUGCAAACUAGAAAAAAUAUCUGAGAUUUUGAGGUUGAAAUAGAAGAAAUGCUAGACGAGUUUUAUGAUCUUGUGGCAACAAAAUCUUGCCCACUCAAUCACACUGCAUGUUGUCUGUUUUUGGAUUUAUCAAAAAAUGACGCAGUAUGCGAUCCAAAUUGGUUUUGGUCCCCCUAUGGUAUUUGUCAAGGAUAUAUCACAGUAUAGUAUAGAAGAGUGAUGCCCAACUCGUUGAUCACAGCAAACUGAUGAACUAUGGUUUGACUCCCUUUUGAUUGCAGGAAUUUUACACUCUGUUGUGUACUGUUAUCAUCCCUUUUUCCCUGUCUAUACCCUCAUACAAUGGUGCAAUUAUGUCUUGUCAGAUACGCCUCAAUAGAAAAUACCAGCUGGAACACAUCACAGUUUUGCUUUCGGCUUCUUGUUGUGCCGGGGCAGCAUGAUAGGCACGCUGCACAAAGACAGAAUGAACCAUGGGUGCGAGUGGAAAUAGGCAGCUGUCAGUUGGCUAACUACACUUAAAGAGAACCAAAAUGGCUGAUGCUUAAAAAAGAGCUCAAAUUUAAAAUCCCUCAGUCUUACCUGCAAUACAAGUGUGGCCUUGCAGAGGACAAACAAUUUAUAACAGUAUUUCAAGCCAGUGCACCAACAUUGGGUGACUGAUUUCCCUGCCAAACAGCUCUCUGAACCCUGAAAGUGUGAGAGUUCAAGGGCCAGUUAGCAACGCAGCUGUCAGUUUUCACUGAGCCGAACACCAAGGGAAAGGCUGCAAUGAUGGCAACUUGUCGCAGCCGCCAUAUGACAGGUCUUUCGAGGACAGCAAAGCAUGGAAGAAGUUGGGGUGCCAGUGUCCCAGUGCUAGAAGUCCACAAAGUAGAGUCUUGCUUCUAUUUUCACUUGUCUAGUUCAGAUAACUGCCUUACAUAGAUUUCCUAUAACCUUCUACAAAGUCCUUGCAUUGAGUAGAUACCAUGGAAAAAUGUAUAUCAGCCCUGUAGUUUGUACAUCAAAAGAUGAAUAUUAUAUUAGACUGUGCAUUGGAAGCUUUUGAGACAGAUAUGUUUUUUUGUCCUGAUAAAAACUAAUCCCACUACAAAAUAAAUAAACUUCCUGACUUUUUGCAAUGAUGCAGAAACAUAUUAUUGCUGUGAUUGUGUAAAACCUCCUAUCCUGGCCUCUGCAGAGGAAAGUGAAUUUUGCCACAUAUGAAUUAUCUUUGAGUCCAUCUUAACUGACUAUUCACAGAUUUUCAAACAUCAGUGGCCUUGUUGAAUACUGUAGUUGCACUGUAAUGAAUCAUUUUAUACGUAGUUUUAGUCUUCACCUCCUUUUGACCUUUAAAAGUAGAUUUUGCGUAUUUAUUCUCUUUUCAAAGGCCCCACUUAACCAGCUUAUUUGCACUGGCCUUUGUUAGUUGUGUAAAUACAGCCAUUAGGAAUGACUCAACCGAGAGGAGUUUGACUUGUGUGUCUUCCUCUGCUUCUAAGCCACCAAGGUGCAACCUCAUUGUUGUGUUUUUUUGCCAUUACUAAGAAAUUGUUUUUGUAAAUGCCCCUUUCAAUGAAGUCAAUAGCCAAAAUCAACAUUGUAUUAGGAGAAACAAUCAAUCCAUUUCCUCCCUGUGAUUAUGAAAGCAGGAGUAAAACCACAUCGGCUUUCAGUCAUGCUUACUAUUGAUUGUUAGGGACAUAAUUUACUUUUGUCCCAAAGCAAGCUUUUCACCCCAUUACUCUCAGCUCAUGGCUGUUUGGCCAGAGCUGGUCCUGGUCUCCAUCAUCAUUAACACCUGCCUGGUCAUUAAAUCGAGCAGCCAGACAAAGGGACAGAGAUUAUAGAUUCCAUCAUUGCUCUUCACAUCACCCUGACUAAUGAUUUUUGUAACAGUCUAAUGGUUAGAGUGGCAAUAGGCCAGAUAGUACCAAAGAGCUACAAGCAAGGGCACCGGAACAAGUGUCAGAGUGUUAGAUUGUUUCGUACCCUCACCUUUGACAUUAAUUACAAAGCACAGCACCUUACUGGUCAAUGAGGCCUGAAAAUGAGCACAGAGUCCAUUCUUAAAAACAAUAUACCCAGUGUAAUACAAGAUGUGUUUACUCGCCUGAAAAACAUCGACUUUCUGAAUAACUUCUCCUUAGCUUUGUAUUCUUGAAUAAUAAAGGACUCCAAAGCAUUGGAAUAACUACUAGUACUUCUUGUGUUUUGGUCAGGUAAAAACUGUCUUUGUGCUAAUAUUGAUAGUUGUGAGUAGCUGAAUCAAACUUCUUCCGAAGUUUACAUCCCUCUGUUUAUUUACUGACAUUAUUUUCCUUGGCCUCAAGCAUUUGUAAUACUUUGAUAUGUUAUCCCGUUCAGAAUCACUACUAAAGUAGGACACAAAAGUUUGCAGACGCUCGCUUUUAUGGAUUAGUGCAAGGGGCACUUAAGGGUGAGAGCACACCCCCCUUUUUGGCCUCAAUAUGUCUACCUUUGGCGUCAACCCCUUAGGAAUGAGCUACCUCUGAGUGUUAAACAAAUUCAGUCUUGUCUCUUUCUAUCUACUCAAAAACCUGAAACUUUGGUGUCAUUUUCUUGCGUAUUUCUUUCUGCACUGCCUCCCAUAUAUAAAAUAAUGACACUUUUUUUUUGGCCUUACUGACCGUAUAGCUGAAGAGAGACAGGAAAUGUGAGGAGCAGAGACACUGGGGGAAGAUUCUGAACUGACGUCAUUUUGCCCAUGUCAAUGUAUUCGGUGUCCAAAAAAAAAAAAAAAAAGUUUUGGAUGUGUGUAGGAAGGCUAUGGUCUCAUGUCCGUUUAAGACACUGUCCUACAUCAGAGAUGCGACUCCACUCCAUCCAGUCCGUAACAAAAGAGGGAAAGACGGUGAAGAGAUGGAGGACGGUUCAAAAGUUGAAGCGGCUGAAGUAGACAAAGUUAAUGUGGGAGGGGGUGAGCAGCUUGUGGAGUAGUUAUCGUUCGUUUAUCGUUAUCGAGGUGAACUGCUCAAUAUAUUGUGAUAUUGAUUUGAGGUCAUAUCGUCCAGCCCUACAACAUAUGAUAAGUCUAUGAAUCAUGUAUAUACCUUAAACUAAAAAAAAGCAAAGAAACAAAGAAACAAACAAAAAAAACAACGAAAAAAAAAAUACAACUGACUAGACCAGCUGUAAAAUUAGUCACCUAUGAUUUGACUAUUGAAAUGACAAAUUAUCCCCUUAUUUAUUCAUUGUUUAUGACUGCAUUUAUCCUACCUGUGGUGUUCUAUAAGUAAGCUAUAUGACUAAUGCCAGUCUGUGCAGUCCUUAUUAGCUUUAUGCUGUGCUUUGUGCCAUACUGUUUCAGACAGCCGUCUCUGUGGUUUGCUGAGUACUUGGUGACACACUAUCCUGUCCUUAAACAGCUUUUCAGGAAUGUGGUCCUCAGAUAAUUUCUAAUAUCAUGAGGGCUAUAGCCAGUUUUAUAAUCUGUGUGUCAUGUUUGCAUUUAAGGCAAAAAAGCUGGAGCAAUGUGCCGCGAAAGACUAGCAAUUCUACCCCCAUGCAAAUCAGUUUCUGUCUCAUACAAGAAUCUGAUAGAUUCAAAGGUAGCUAAGGCUUAGAGUCGUCUGCAGUCUCAGUCAAUCCUUGUCUGAAAAGCAUACCUGUGCAAAUGGCAACAGAUAACCUUAAAAGAAGAGUGCUGAUAUGUCAGGAAAUACAUUAGGGUUUUCAUCUAGAUAGACUGAGCCCCCAUGUAUCAUUCAGCAGUGGGAUCACACGUGGAGCAGCUUGAGAACAUCUGGGAGAAAAGGUCAAACUUUAGAGAUUGCCAUUUCUCUCAGCCAAAUCCUCAGCUUAACAAGUGUGACACCUCGUCAACACUAAGUGGAAUGAGGAUAUUUGAUUUUAAAGAUGGAGUAAAGCCUGACAGGGAAAUAAAAUAAAGUCUUUUUUUUUUUUUUUUUUUUUUUUACUGAUAGAAGACUGUGAGUGGAAUAGAAAAGACUUGUUGCCAUGCACACACUUCUUAGAGCAGGAAAGUAACACUGCAACACAAAACUACGCAUAGUAAUGAUUGCAAAUGUGUUGACGGGCUGCAGAUCUUCAUAAAUAACCCAAGUUGGAAAGCUAUAAAAGUCGUACUGUUUUAGCCUCGCACUGCUGUGCCAGUUUAAAUACUCUUAUUUGCCAAUGAUAGUUUGGACAAAGGAUGUUUGGCAGAGUUAAAACAUCGGAAAAACAAAAGGCAGAAUAACUGGAUCCAUCCCCAGUUAGCUGCUGCCAGCCAUCGAUUUGAGAGGUAGCUUGACUUUUGGUGCAGGGAAGAUUCAAUUAGGGCCCGAGCCAGCUGCAGAGCAGCCGGGCGUAGGCCCUGUUAUUCCUGUAGGGGUUUUUCUUUAGGGCCCGAGCGUAGCUGCUAAGCAGCUGCGAGAGCCCUCUUGUUCCUGCAUGUUUCCUUCUUUUGUUAUUAUUAUUAUUUUUCCUCCCCUUUGAACUGGAAAAUGGCCCACUUCCCACUGGCGAAAACUCAUGAAAUUUGGCAGGACGACCGGGCCUGGUGAAAAAUUUGAUAUUCCGAAGUCGCCCAAACAAGAAAAUGCAAAAUGGCUCCAUAGCGCCCCCUAAGGUGAAAAUUCACACUAUUGACUGUCACGCGUGUACGCUUUGUCAAAAUGACACAAAAAUUGACACACACAUGUAUCUCAAUAAGAUCUACAAAAAAGUCAGUGUGGGCGUAUCUGUCAAAUGUAUGGUUAAAGGGUUAUUUCGCAUUUUUUGCCGAUCCGCACACAUUGGAAUUUCGCUAACUCCUCCGAAGGCUUUCGUUCCACCGGCACCACAUUUGCUCAGGCCAAUCUACACCCCAUGGCCAUUAAAAGUUAUUCAAAUCAUGACGCUGCACCCCACGGUUUAGGUUCUAGGGGGCGCCAAAGAUAACCCUAAGAUCCACAUAUUUAAAAGUCUUAUAACUUUUUAUUUUUGUCCUCACUGGCCUCCAAGUUUUCUAGGAUGAUGCAAUGUCCAGCCAUCAACACAUUUGUGAAGGAAUUUUUACUCCCCAAAAGAGCGCCCCCCCAUGGCAGGAGAAAAAAGUCCAUUUUUUCUUGUCCCCUAAGGUGAAAAUACACAUUGUUGAGUGUAACACCUGUACGCUUUGGCAAAAUGACACAAAAAUUGACACACACAUGUAUCUCAAUAAGAUCUACGAAAAAGUCAAUGCGCGCGUAUCUGUCAAAUGUACGGUUAAAGGGUUAUUCCGCAUUAUUUGCCGAUCCGCACACAUUGGAAUUUCGCUAACUCCUCCGAAGGCUUUCGUUCCACCGGCACCACAUUUGCUCAGGCCAAUCUACACCCCAUGGCCAUUAAAAGUUAUUCAAAUCAUGACGCUGCACCCCACGGUUUACGUUCUAGGGGGCGCCAAAGAUGACCCAAAAAUCCACAUUCUUAAAGGAAUCCACAUCCCCCCCCCCCCCCCCCCCCCAAGGCAGGAGAAAAAGUCAAGUUUACCCUGCCCAUCGCUCAAUGGCUCAAUCGCAUCGCUCUCCAGGCAACACCGUAAGGAGGAGCAACCUGCCAUUUCGAUAUAUCAUAGCUGUGUUUGUGCCCUCACUCAUGGUCCAGACUUUUUUCAAAUAGGACAUGAAGUUUGUCUGCAGCGAGUGUUUUGGUAGAAACUGCGCCUCCCAUUCAUUAUAAUGGGAAAUGACCACAGACAAGUGCGCACACCAUCUUUGGACCUUGAGUGUGACGCGAUCGGGAGGGGGAGGCGGUCGCGCUGGGAGCGGCGCGACGCGGCUCGGGCCCGACAGUGCCCCACCGGGGCCCUAGUUGUUUCUUUCUUUCUUCUUUUUCCUCCCCUUUGAACUGGAAAAUGGCCCACUUCCCACUGGCGAAAACUCAGGAAAUUUGGCAGGACGACCGGGCCUGGUGAAAAAUUUGAUAUUCCGAAGUCGCCCAAACAAGAAAAUGCAAAAUGGCUCCAUAGCGCCCCCUAAGGUGAAAAUUCACACUAUUGACUGUCACGCCUGUACGCUUUGUCAAAAUGACACAAAAAUUGACACACACAUGUAUCUCAAUAAGAUCUACAAAAAAGUCAGUGCGGGCGUAUCUGUCAAAUGUACGGUUAAAGGGUUAUUUCGCAUUUUUUGCCGAUCCGCACACAUUGGAAUUUCGCUAACUCCUCCGAAGGCUUUCGUUCCACCGGCACCACAUUUGCUCAGGCCAAUCUACACCCCAUGGCCAUUAAAAGUUAUUCAAAUCAUGACGCUGCACCCCACGGUUUAGGUUCUAGGGGGCGCCAAAGAUAACCUUAAAAUCCACAUUUUUAAAAGUCUUAUAACUUUUUAUUUUUGCCCUCACUGGCCUCCAAGUUUUCUAGGAUGAUGCAAUGUCCAGCCAUCAACACAUUUGUGAAGGAAUUUUUACUCCCCAAAAGAGCGCCCCCCCAUGGCAGGAGAAAAAAGUCCAUUUUUUUCUUGUCCCCUAAGGUGAAAAUACACAUUGUUGAGUGUCACGCCUGUACGCUUUGUCAAAAUGACACAAAAAUUGACACACACAUGUAUCUCAAUAAGAUCUACAAAAAAGUCCAUGCGCGCGUAUCUGUCUAAUGUACGGUAAAAGGGAUAUUUUGCAUUUUUUGCCGAUUCGCACACAUUGGAAUUUCGCUAACUCCUCCUAAGGCUUUCGUCCCACUGACACCAAAUUUGCUCAGGCCAAUCUACACUCCAUGGCCAUUCAAAGUUGUAAAAAUCAUGACGCUGCACCCCACGGUUUACGUUUUAGGGGGCGCCAAAGAUGACUCAAAUAUACAUUACAGUAGACAAAGUAGUUUUGCCCACUGCGUGGCGCCAAAGGGACUUGUCUGUGGAGUCUGUGAGUCACUAUUGGCCGUUUUUGACUACUUUAGAUUUUACCUUUAUAUUUCCUCUUACAAAAUUUUUACCUUGCCUUGCCUGGUAUCAUUUUUUUCAGCACAACCUCACCUGUGUCAAUUUACAGUUAUUUUAUCAUUUUGACAUACUAUAUUUACACAUUGGACCCAAAUUCACACACAAAACAUAAAAUCCGAGUGGAAAAAAGUAACGUUUUUACUGUGAAAACCACAAAUAUGUGUGAUGAACUGUUUUUAAAACUUAAACUUUAAAUAAAAAUUGUAAACUUCAAAACAUAUGCAAAUUUUUAACAAAGAACAUAGUAAUUUACCUCUAUUGACAUCAAAAUGCAAGCAAUGGCCCAGGUGUUCUUUGUAAAAUUAUUUACAAAACACUGUAUAGUCUCACAAAUGUCACUUUUUAUUUAUGCCACUACAAAAAAACAUGAUGUAAAUGAUGCAUGAUGUAAAACAUGAUGUAAAAAACUUGUGUAGAUCCUCCUCUAUGUUAGUCCAUGUGUAAUUUUUCCAUAAUUCUUUGUUUUUUGCAGCAUUUUUGUUAGUGUAACUGCAGAUUGUGCUGACAGUGUCUAUGGCAAAAAAAAAAAAAAAAAAAACUGAAAAUGCCUCAACAUGAACCCCUGGUGGUCUCUGAGGGUGAAACCUGCUAACUGCUGCAGCUCUGUCAGUUUCAGUCUCCCAUGCAGAGCUCUGAGCGCAUGUGUGGCUCUGCACCCUUAGCAGCGUUGCUAACUCCUCAGUAAGGAAAGCCUGCUUCAUGUCAGAGUCUCUAAACUCCAGAAGAAGUCGAUAAAAGUCACUUUCUUUCUAAAAAAGUCGUUAGGGGGUCUGAAAAGUCAUUGAAUCUAACAACAAAGUCGCUAGGUUUGCAACUACGUGUCCCAGACUGCAUCCCUGCUGAGAGUCCCUCCCUCCCUUCUCAUAUUGCAGGAAGAACGUAAGUUCCCGCCCCUUGUCAAUCAGUCACCAUAUAAUUUUGGAUUGGUUGUUGUGGUGAAGUUUUCCACCAAUAGGAGAGAUGUUGUGGUGUGUUUUUUUUUUUCCUUUGGCAAGCCUUUUCCGCCUGUAAGACCUGUCGCUAAUGUCUGCAUGCUAUGUUUUCCUGUCUCAUACAGCGCGAUCGAGCGCCGAACGUGAUCAAAAUAAGCAGAAAACAAGUAUCGUGGACAUAAUUUAUCAUAACUCUAGUUUUAUUUGGCCUAUCAACACAAUUUAAAAACUGGUAUAUAGGUUGAGGUCCUCACUUUUGAGAUAAAUUGAAACGGAGAGUCAACGAGGCUCCGUCUUGCAGCUACAUCCGGUUAAAUAUGUCAUGUGACUUGAACGCACACACACACACACACACACACACACACACACACACACACACACACACACACAGACACACACACACACGCACACACACACACUCAGAGUCUGGUUUUUAGCACCUGCAAAAACAUGCUAUUUACAUAUUUGACAAGAAUGCAGAGGCUCCUUUUGCCCCUGAAAAAAAUCAAAUUUCAAACACAACUUGACUGGUCAUUUCUCCAAAAGACAACCAUGAAGCUCCAUCCAAACCUGAAGCAGGCAGUUGGUGCAUGUGUACAGUAACCUGAGGGGAGUGAGGUGACUGCUUCUGAGGAGAACAUGAGCAGUGAAGAUUCACCUUAGAGCUAGAACAGAGACGUGCACAUGAUUAUACAGGGGCAGGGGCUCAAGUUUUUUCCAGUUGUUUAUACAAUAUGGAAAUUAAUGUGAAAUUAAAAAACAAAGUAUUAAUAGAAAGGUAAUGACUGUCCUGUGUAGGUGACAGUGAUAUCCAAUAGGCUAGGCACUCAAGAGGCUGGCUGUGGCAAGUGUAAGUGAAAGCAACACGCACUGGCAGGAAGAACAGCAAACGCCGAUGAAGGAAAAGGGUCUUUGCAGUGAUGGGCGUUACCAGAGAGGGCGAUGGCCAGAGGACACAAAUGGGACGGGGAGGCAGCGCGUUGGGGGGGGGGGACGCGACACGGCUCGGGCCCGCCAGUGCCCCAACGGGGUCCUAGUCUCUUAUUGAUCUUCAAAGUGUCAGAUUCUUGUCAAGAGGGCCUUCACCACUUCUUGAUGCAAAAACUUGGCAGGACAAAGAAUAAGUCUGGGCAAACUCAAGAGAGAAGGGAGAGAGUGGAGGGAAAUGUUGGUUAUGGGUUUGUGUGUGAGUGAGUCUGGGAAACAGAAGGGGGAAUAAUGUCUCUAAUUUACCAAACAAACAAAAGUCAAACAAAAGCAUUAAUUGUGCAGUUGGCUGCAGAAGUAGUGUCAAAUUGUCAUACCGCUGCAAAGCUUUAUGGGCUGUGCACCCAUUUGGACUCAAAAGCUUGGACAGCAACUGGCUACCAUUCAUUGUAAAUGGGAUCUGGCAUCGCUAUCCAACAGCCCUAUUUGAGCUAUAAAGAUUAACAAAGCUCCCAGUGGUGCUAUAAGGGAAAGUUGAGAAAGGCCGAACUUUAUGCAAAUGUCCUCUGGUGCAAACUGAGCGAAAACCAGAUGAGGGCCGGUCCUGCCAGUUUUAAUUCUCACAGAGAAAAAUAAGCUUUAAAAUUGUUUGCUACACUAAUUCAUAGCUUCCUGUGGAGAUGAAGGACAGCAAUGUCAAUCAGUUUAGCAAGCUCUGGCAAUAUUAUGUUUUGAAAGAGUCCAAAAUACAUCAGCUCCAAGGUUAAGACAGCAGCUCACUUAAAAUAAAACCGAAAUUAAAUCUCCAUCCUGCUCAAAAUUCUCAAUUGUCUAAAGUCUACUGUGCCUAUUAUUGUUAGAAAGGGCUGCACAGUUAAUCAAAUAUUUUAUGGGUUAAUGAUUUGACCUUUCCGAGAUUGUAAGAACCAACCAAAAAUCAGAAGAGCAAAUUCUGGGUUUGAUGCAAAGAUUUUAAUAGAAAGAAAGAGGUAAUAGAAAUAGUAUUUUUCUACUUUUAUUUGAAACAGCACAGUUUAGUAACCAGCUCUUUUUUUAAGGCUGUACUUGUACUGUACUUGUUAGCAAGAGAAGAAGAUGAAGAAAAAUCCAUCAAAAUCAACAUUAGACUGAGAAUGAGCAGUAAGUUUAGCACAAAGAGGUUGCAAUGCCCUGACUCGCAGGGUUUUCCCAAAUCAUAACCCACCAUCUGGUACACUAACCGUCCUUUUCUCUCUGACAUGUACCCAAACACCUUUAGUUCAACACUCUUACUCAACCCCUGACUCACUGUGUAUGGGGAGAUUUGGCUUCUUCCUCCACCUUGACCUUCCUCUCUGCUUGUGCUGUGUUGUAGUGGGAGCUUUUCGCCAGAACACUUGAUUAACUGGCUGAUGGCAGCUGAGCUCUUCCUCUCCAGGGUCAUGCUCUGAUCUGCGCAGAUAUAAAGCAAAAACAUGGAUGUAUUGGUUCCUACCUCAGGUGUUCCUGCCAGACAAGUGCAAAAGCAUGAAAAAGCCAAGGCAAAAUGAUGUGUACCAGGGAAAGAAAACUCUCACAGGGCCUCUUUUCCUCCUGAGGCUCCAUGGCAAAUAUUUUAAAGCUGUAUUUUGUCAAGCAGAAGUUCCAAAAUGUAUUUCUUAAAAAGAAAAAAAGAAAAAACUUAUGCUGCAGUGGGACUGGCCUUACUUCAGCAUCCAUUGCUUGACACCGGCAUAUACAGGCCAGCGUGUGCUAUUGGCAGGUAGCCUGUUGGUGCUGUGCUCUGUGAUGUUCUGUAAGUAUGAACUGCCUGCCUCAGAAACCAUUCAUGCCAAACUACUGGUGCUAACUGCAAGUAGCAUACGCUGGGGUUGCUGAUAUCUUCCAACUGGCUUCACAAAUUGUUGAAGGGUGUCAGCACAUGCAGGAAUCACGAGCAGCAAUUUCAACAGUGUCAGCAACAAGAGUUACGAAAAAACUCACAAUCUAGAGUUCACACCGGUAGGAACAACCACACUUAGACAAAGCGAGAAAUACCAGCUGCUGUCUGUGAAGACUUUGUUUUAAAAGAAAUUACCUUGAAUGUUGGAAUCCUGAGUGAAUAAUCACUUGAGAGAAAACUUCAAAUAAUCAAUUUUUAUCCACUUUGCCGAAAUGCAACCUAAGUAGAAAUGUCAACAACAAUCGUUACAGCUGUUGUAACUUUUGUGACGCUCUUGUCUUUUGGCUUGAAAUUUCCUGGAAGUCCAUCUAGUCCCUCAUAACAUGAUAUCUUGAGAAUCCUUGUAGGAGGUUUUUAAAGACAGCAUGAAUAUCCACUUGAACUCACAGCAAAAGGUCGAAGGUGAAAGAUCAGGUUUUCAGUGACUGCAUAUCCUCCUCAUUAAACGUGAAUGUAAAAUCUCACGAAUUGAUUUUGAAAAAUCUGGCAGAAUAUUGAACUUAUCAGAGUUUGCUGGUCCAAGGUCAAUGCUGGUGUGAACAUGCAGGCUGUAUUUUCAACCAGAAACCAUUCCCCUGGAGUCAGGCAUGUAGAUGAAGUGAUAGCUCCCAUUUUAACCAAAAAAUACACUCAGAAGCUCGGUUACAUUCCUGCUUCCGGGAAUGGUGUCUUUUUUUAUGUUAAUAAGCUUGCUGCACUUGUAUAAGUCCUGGGGUUAUGUGAUGAUCUUAGUUGUUUCUAAAACUUACUGAGUGAAAGACGAAUGUCUUUCAAAGGUCAAUUUUGACCUGUAACCUCACUUGCUUGAAACAUACUCUCUCCUGCACAGUAUGUGCAGGAGAGAGUAUGUUGUCUGUAGGAGUAUGUUGUCUACACUAUGUUCAUGGGACCUUUCUGACAUCUAUUGGCAGGGUCCUCUUUAUUCGAUCCAUCAUAUUUUGCAUUCAGCAUUUAGUGAAGGAAAGUCUCAAAAAACAUGCCUUAUUUCUCAGUUGAGACAAAAAGACAAGAUGUGUCAUGAGAUCAGUUCAUCUAUUUUAUUGCGUGUGCUAAUAUUUUCAACAGUCUGGGGCCUGUCUUGAUUGAUUUUAUUAUGUAUAUAUCCAAUAGAUUGUAUUUUUCUUUAUCUGCUCAGUAGUUUAUUUUUAUUUAUUUAUUUUUUAUACUACAUAGAGCCACUUAAAUGUUCAGACCACUUCUAUUAAACAUUGCCAUAAGCUAAAUAUAUAUAUAUUUUCUAACAUUGUGUAUGAAGAUUCUAGCAACAUUUCCUUUGCAGAAAAAGUUCUACUCAAAGAGAAUGAAAUGUGAUUUUGUGAGUCUUUGUAAAAUGUAGUGUGGGAAAUUGCCAAGUGACUCAUGAUUGAUAUGAUACAACAUGACAAUAGGAUACAGUGUCAUACAGUACAGCACACAUAGCUACACAACAAUACAAUCCAAUACAAUAAAAAAAAACAAUAUUUUAACAUAUGAUACGGGUCGAUAUGAUACAUAAACAUUUUGCCAUGGCACAACACAAUCCAGAUAAAGAUGAUACAGUAGAAUACAACAAGAUACAGUAUGCCAUAGUUGUCCUCUAAUAGCAUUAUUGCACAGCGGUACUGUGAUAAUCAAUUCAUUUCAAGAUGAUCAUUUAACCUUGCUUUAUGAUUAGAGCACUGAAAAAUACUAAUUGCAUCUAAAAGAUGUGCCGCAAUAAUACUUUUAUUUAACCUUUACGUCAUAUUGGCCACAAUAUUGAUUACAGUGCUCUGGUCUUUUUUCAGUUAGCCAGCUUUAAAAACCCCCUAAACUGAUUUAAGUCUCCUGCAUCACUCUGAUUUGUAGCACCUUGGCUUACAUACAGUUGUUAAAAGAGCUGGAGCGUUCUUUUCUUUUUCUUUCUGUUUUUCUUUUGUGUGACCACUGCAUCCCUUUACUUCUUUCCACUACUGUCUGACAUCCUGUGGUCUUCUUCUAUUAUUAUGCAGCUGCCAUCUUUGUUCUUCAGCCAAUUAACUGCUAUUCAUGCCCUCCUCAUUCAUGUCAUGAGCACCACCGCAAGGAGUCAGGAAGUAGUGACAGGGUGAGUCACAUUAGCAGGAAAAUCUGUUUGGAGGAGCUUAUUUAUCUGAUUAAAAGAUAAUUAUUUAAAUGUAACACACAAGUGAGAAGAACAUGUAAUAUCAUGCUGGAUCAAUAUUUUGUCCCACUUCUAGUAGAAUGUAGACAAAAUCUUUGUUUUUUUUUAUAACAUAUUUGACCUAAAAUCAAAAGACAGCCAUGUAGUAAAAUCAUCUUCAGAGGAGGGUAAGGGGUGGUUUACACUCCCAUUAUUUGCUGACAAAUUACAAAAUUAAGUAUAAAAUACAUUUUUAAUCAUUUUAUAUUUAAUUUAAACCAUUAAGCAGCUAAAACUAGCUGGUAAACCUCUCCCACCCAUUACCUCGCUGGAUUCUGUGGCUUCAGCUUCUUUCACAAAAUUCAAUGACACAGGGGCUUUUGUAAACUGCUAACACUUUAAGUACAGUGAGAACAGUCACUGGGGCCAAUCCCUUUAUUCACAGCUUGCUUUAUUCCAGCUUAGCUUUCACACUUUUCCAUGGGAGACCAUCGCGCCUCCUUAUAAGCGCCUCCUUAUAAUGUCAUUUAUGUGCAGUCAGGAACAACAAAGAACUGAGCUACUGUGCACAGAUGGUCGUAUAUAUGGUUAAAAACAUAAAUAAAUAAAAUAGUUGUGAAAUUUAAAUGUCCAAAGAUCCACGGCUAGAAACUCUUUCAUACUUCCUUUCUGUUUUGUUUAUUUUUAGGACAAUAGCUGCAAUAAUCAGAGAGGGGAAAUAAACAUGAUCAUGUAUUCAGGGCUCACUGAUUUGGAGUUUUUUUAAAUUAUGAUGAUGGACACACACUCCAAAGUACCUCAGCUCUAGAAAAUGAAAUACACACGCUUUAAUUACAGACUUAAUUGUCUUUGUAAAAGUGAUUAAACAAUCUUCUAUUAACUCUGUUUAUUCGUAGGGCCCAUACCCCUUUUUCUGACAGUUUGCCUUAAUCUGCUAACUUCCCAAAAAUAAUAAAAUGGAGAAUAAUAAAUAAGACAAUGCUGCAGUAGUUUGAUGUUAAAGGAUUCAGAGUAAGCAGUGGUUAAAACCUGUGACUCACAUCUCCACAAUUGUUUAUUUUAUCAUAAAGCCAGAAGCAAUUUACAUAACUUAUGAUGAUAAGCCAACUGAUUUCCAGCUCAAUGAAAGGAAAUUGAAAAAUGUGAGCUUGUUUGUCCAAUAUCGUCAUUAAAUGUAUUUACGUAAAUCAAUGGACUAAUUCUAUACAUUGUUGACUUUGAGAUUUACAUCUUUGAGUCACACUGACAGCUUCCAUCAACAUUAACAGGCAGCCCUGGCUGAGUGUUGCAAAGAAAUACCUGCUUUGAUUGAAGGCAGAGAGAAAUCAAUUAAAAAGGAUGCAGAUAACGUCUGACAUUUCUGCUAACGCCAAAGAGAUUUUUAUCUAUGAGAUGACUGCUUGAGGUGGGACUGUUUGAUUUGUCUGCCCUCUUUGACAGCUGGAGCUGUGGGAAGGUCGACUAUAUAAAAUUGUUGCUGCGCCAUCUUACAUUGUGCAACUAUUAUGUAUGUUUGAUUCUGAAUUAACUUUUUGAAUACCACAAGAGUUAUUUGUGAUGUGAAAUGUGUGACAUCUAUAAACAUAGAAUAUUUUAACACUGUAUAAGUUACUGUAUUCUACAAAUGAUAGUUGUAUGUUAUAUACUGUAUGUAAAUACUGGUUUGAGGAACCAAGUAUGGACUUUAGAUGACUGCAGCAUGAUUCAACUGUAUUUCAUUGCGUGACUCAAACUGUUUCUCUCAUCUGUUGUUGAGGCAAAAGUACAAAUACUUAAUUCAUAGGUCUGAGUCAUUUUGUCAGACUUUAUCAAACCAAAGACACAUUUUGCAAAGUUGAAUAAAAUAAUAUAAUAUCGUAUCCCUGGGGGCACAGAGCUGCACAUAUGGCAAAGAUUUGCAUGAAACCAAUGAAAUAUGAUAAUAGCAGAUAUGUAUAAUUGUGCAUGGGUUACACAGAUGGACAGAGUGGAAGCAAACAUUUGCAAGGGCACUUUUCAUGAAGAAUAACUUGUUGGAUUGCUGAGCACACAGUGACACAGGCACACAUGCAAAAUGUCAGGCUGAAUUUGUUGAUUAUUAUUUGGGCAAACCCUACAUUUGUUAGGAACACGCUUGCUUUUAGUAAAACACUCACAAACUGUGCUAAGGGACAAAUCGGGGUGUCACUUAGAGACAGAUUUAUUUGAGAAAUAACAUAAUUCUAAUUGUCCGGAAACCAGUUUUCCAUCUGCAUCAUCGUCAGGCAUGAAAUUAAAUUUUCACAAGACUAGCUCUGACUUGAUAGAAAAUGCUUCAGGUACAAAAAGAAGAGGAAAAGGCUCUGACUUGGUUUCUUUUCAAAGGGGUCAGUUGAAACUUUGUAAACGGCGCUGUUUUGUACUAAUAACAAAGCUGUGGAUGUGCUGGAAGUGUGUUUGAAGUCUACAGCCUUUUUUUUUUCAGUUUGUGUAUGCGAUGCUUAGCCAGAGGUGACCAGAGUUAAGCUGCAGACUGUUGAGUACUCAGUGUUUCCUCGUUAUCUCUUCAUGAACCUUCAUGUAUUUCAUUGUCUGUCACGUAUUGUCAUUGUAUCAAUCGUCUGCAUAGCCACACAUUUUUCUUUCCCUUUAUUUAACUUCAACUUGAACAAGAUCUAUAAUUCUGAUACUGUAAAUAUUGACUCACAGUAUUUAUGCCAGUAACAACAGAUGGCUAGCCUCUAUUUGAUGACAACGUGCAUCCAUGGGUUUCAGCUUAUCAGGUAGUACAAAUAAAGCCUUUGGCCACAUAAACAAAGCUGUUUAAGCUUCAGCCUUUACUGGAGAGAAGGAGCAGCUUUACAUUGAUCACUCUUUGCCAGUUUAAAUCAUUUUUGCAGAUUCGUUUUUGUACACUGAUAGCUUAUUAGUGAUUUAUAGGUAGUCCUGCUUAAUUAAACUUAACGUUCCCCUUACAGGGUGACGUCAAUGCAAGUUGGUAGACCUCGUUAUCUCAUCAUGUAUGAGUUCCUGCUCUCUUAUUAUUCCAGUCUCAGGAUUACAUUGUUUCUUGCCAGUUUCUUCUGUUUCCUUUGCAGCUUGCAGGUUUAGCAACUAAAGUGAUUUGUAGCUGACAGGUAGAAAGAGAGAGAGAGAGAGAGUACGCCUCCUCGCUCCACUGUCAGGUGUGCCAAAUUUUACAGCCACCUUCGUGAGUAACAAAAUAAGGUUUCUCUCUCCUCCUCUAACGUUUGAUUAGACACAGAAUCAAUGUGAGUGAGAUAAAAACGUAAAAACACACACCUCAGUUUUUAUCUAACAUAUUAGGCUAGCACCUGACACAAAAGUGAGAAAAGUCACAUCAUUAGACAUACCUGUCAGUAAACAUGGGAUGUUGAAAUAUCAUAAAUAAAACAAGGAAUGCAGUUGUUUCAUCGGGCUGCAUGGGGAAAGGCUAACAUAAUGGCAAGACCUUAGAAACUUCAAUUAAUAGAGAGCAUGAAUCAUGUUAUCAUCCAGCAUUAUCAUUAUGUAGUUAAAAGACCAGCGUGCCAUUGAAGCCGGGGUCGUACCAAGUGGGAGGCUGGUGAUUUGAUUCCCAGCUUGUGAAGUCUUGCUGAAUUGCUAGUGAGGCCGUCAGACUUUGAAUGUGGGUGAACUAAGGGGCACCAUCCAGUCUUGAGAAAUGAAGCCAGUGCAGAAGUACUUGAAACUGCAGCUUUUUCAAGGACACCUCAAGUGUCCACUUGAGGCUGACUCCAGAGGCCCUUUAGGCCACACAUACACCGAUUCAAGAAAGCCCAUCCUUACAGCAAAAAACACAUGUUUAUAUCUUGGUUAAAAAGAAAACAAUAAUCUUGGUCUAAAUGGCAAAUCUUAUUGUUUUAAUAGGUCAUUGUAAAGGAUAUUAGUUUGCAAGAAGGCUAUAAGGUCAGACUUAACUCCUCCUCUUUGCAAAAGUUAGGUUGAAUCAGUGUUUCUGAUACAGCGACCUUUGUCGAUAGGCUUCAGGACUCAAGUGGGGGACAUCACUCAGACUAGGGCCAUACUUAAUACAGUCUGAGGUGUGAAUAAAGAAAUUUAAGUAGAGUAUAAAAGCCCCUUUAAGUGUGUGAGAAGACAACACAAAUUCAGUGCAGUCUGUUCAGCAUUUUCAUUUACCAUUUAUCAUUUUAAUCUUCAGUCACAGGCCCCGACUCUGAGUGACCUGACUCACUAUAUGUUUGUCAACGCAGAGGUUUUCAAGCUGAACAGAGAAAACAUAAUACUUAACAAUGUUACCACCUCUUCUGAAGCAAAGGUUGGCUCUGCAGAUAAGUUCAAAAACAGUUUUAUUUAAUAGGAAAAUAAAAUGAGGAAGUGAGCCAACCAAAACUAAGAGUCUUUGAAACUUUGGAAGAAGGGGAAGUUUGGGCCAACCAAAUGAAGUCCGGUAGAACUCUGAGCUUUUACCCUUAAAUUAAACUUGGAAACUGUUUGCCAGGCCUUUAUCUUCAGAAAAAGAGAGAGAGAGAGGACAAGGGGUGACUGAUCAGAACAAUAGCUCAAUCACAAUAUUGCUGUAUCUGGGAAACCUCCUGCCUUCAUCCUCACACAUAAAGCCACAGUGAACGUGACAAUGCUCUUGUCAUCAGUUCUCAAAUAAACACCAAGAUACUGAUUUCUUUUAAAACUGUUUCAUCAAGAUCAGACAAAACAGCUUUGUUGUCAACUUGAACUCGCUGAGGAGGCAUUUUUAAACUUGGAUACAUAUCUAAAGCUUGUUGUUCUCAGCCGUAACAUGAGCCAGAAAUUCUGCUUGGACUGUUUGAAGCUUAGGUGCAAGAUGAGCUUUGUAGUCCAAUAUGUCAAAUAUUGAUUUGCCUUUCAUCCCACCAUAUUUGCUGAAAACUCUUUGUGUCUCUUUGGCUUGCUGGAUGUCUGACAUUUUUCACCGCUGCCUCGUUUGUUUCAGCAGGAAUCAACUGUUUUUGGUUGAGCUGGAUAGCUUUCUAAAUCCCUCACAUCUUCCAGGAGUUGAACAACCACAUGUGAGCCAGCCUGUGAAAAUGGAGACAUCCAGCACAAUGCUGUGCUAUAUUUCCAUAAGUCUCCUUUCUCUCAAUCUGCUUCCAUGAAAUCCCUUUUUGAUCAUGUGCAAUCCCUCCUCGGUACCUGGCUGCUGACCAUUUUUCUACACACAAAUGUCCGUUUGGCACUGAAAAUGCAGCAGACAUGAUUCUGCUUAACAUUUCCAAGCCGGACAAAUUGGGCUACGAUACCAGCUGUUAAGCAUGGGAAGGCUAAUCAGUUUAGCAGAAUGCCGAGGAUUAUGCAGUCAAAGAAGAGUUGUUGUUCUAGACACAAUAUACUGCAGAGGACAACGCAUCUGCUGCUGCUACUGCUGCUUCCGUUAUCUGAGCUAUUUCUGCUUGUUCAUUCUGGGAGCUUGUCUUAGCCUCGUUAUUUGCUCGCCUCUGUUUACCACAGGCCUGUUGUGAGAGAAGUGUCCAAUUAACUGUGGAUUUGGUGGCAUGUGCUAUCACAUCAGGGUUUCCAGAGUCUCCCGUCAUCUGUGCGCUUGUGUGGCAGGGUGUGAGGGCUUUAGGCCAGCAGUUUUAAAUAACUUCCCACAGCUAAAAGUAGGGCAUAAAAGCAUGGCAUGUCUGCAGGAGAUAAAAAAAAAGAGGUUUUGUAUGUACAAUGAUUGCAAUGUUAAAAGAAAAGAAAAUUACAAAAGGAAAAUAAGAUAAUUUAAACUACAAAGACAGAAAUAUGACAUUUCUGCUUCUUAUAUGCCAAGAAAAGCUUUGUUUUGUAGAACUAAUUUUUCCUGGUAGCAUAUUGUGAAAUUAAAAGAGAAAAUGAGGUCUUCAUUGGAUCUGAAGAGCACUCAGACUGCUGUGCUUUGACCUCGUACUGUACAGCAGCGGUAAAUAAUCAGAAGACUCGCAUAAAGUCAUAAAAAGUAGCACCCUGAAACAUUUCAAACUCGAAUCCUUGAUGUGAGGAAACUCUCUUUUACUCUUCACUAGGGGGGAACUUACUCACUGUAGCUUUUGACUCCUUCAUCCUCGUGUUAGGCAUGCGGUAGUCUGCUCUCCGCAAAUUGUUCCAGACUAGCCCAAUAAAACGAGGUCCCAAGGUUCAGACACUGUAAGAGUCUGACUCAGGCUCCGUGUGCUACAAGAACUGAUGCAAUAAACCUUUGUUUAGGGAUGUAGUUGCACAGCAUCAGACUGUUGUGGACAUUGAGUUCUCAGCGUGGAGCCAAAGACCAAAGUGUUUGCUAUUGAAGCCUUUUUCUUUUUUUGUCUUUCUAAAGGGAAUACUUUUUGAGAUUUCACUGACACUCAUGCAGACUCCCGACUUAAUGUAUUGACCCUUUUUCUUUGAAGCCUUUAUGUCUAUAUAUAUAUAUAUUAUGAUAUAUAAUUUAUUUUUCUCAAGUGUGGCAGGUGGAUAUGCUAUCAUCUUUUUUUCUCCAUCUGUUCAUGUGGAAAGCACUGACACAUUCCUGACUCCUUUUUUGUUGUUUCCCUCAAGCUGUGUUCGCGUUGAACCUCCUGCAAAAAAAUAUCUCUCUGACCCAAAAGUUUGCCUGAUUUCUUCAUGACAUUUAAAUGACCUUUCCACUGAACAGUAUCCAGAUUUUGAUACAGUAUUUUUUCCCUCUUUCCUUUGAGUGUUCUUUUUAUAAAAGUAAGAAAGCUGAAUUUGCUUUUUCAUCUAUUGUGUUUUAUUCUCUUUGAAGACAGACAGAUGAAAAGGAGGAUGGCGGAGGUUGUUAAUACUUUUUUAUAAAGCUUCUCGAGGCAAUCUGUUUAGGAGUCUGGAAGUGCGUCUGCAUGUACAUGUUGCUGAAUUUAGCUUUCUGAUUAAACGCCAAAAUAUGUGCAAUCACAGCAUGAUCAUCGACAACUUUACCAGUCUUAUAAGAGGUGGUGCUACCGUCAUCUUUGAGCUAGCAGCUAUAACACAAACAUAAAUAUAUGCAAAAUUUAUCAUAGGAUGACAACAACAGAGCACUAUGUAUAACAACACGUUAUCAAUAUAGCAUAAAUGUUCCAUAAGCUAAAGGCAGAGGAAAGCUGUUAUUUGCAUUUCACUAUUUGUGAGUUAACAAUAAUGUUUUGCAAGAGAGAGAUGAUGUUUAUAAGCCAGUGAGGAUGUGAUAAAGAAUCCCAACAGGGGCUAGUGAUAAUGUACAUUUUGCAUAGGAGACAGAAACAGAGCAGCAUUGGCGGAGUCGGGGGGUUGGUAAGACCACUUAAUGCCACGCAGUUGGAGGCCGAAGAAUUCUUUUCUCUAAUCGUACCGAUGAGAGUAAUUGACGAUGAUCCUCAAAAAAGUCCAGCCAUUGUCUUCUUCAUUUCUCGAGGUGUUAGGUGUUGGGUAGUGACAGCAGCAACACCGCCCCCACGGUUUCCGGUGGUACUGCUCUGUCUGGCCCGUAUCCCUAAACUUCAAGGAAAUGUGCAGAAAUAUGAAUGACAAAAAUGUGAAGCACAGACAUAGAGCUCCAUCCGUAUCAAGGUCCGUAUGUAACGUUGAGCAUAAAUGAGCCUUAAGGGAGUCAAUGUUUACCGAGUAUCAAGCGAUUGAUUGUAAAGACCAUCUUCUAACACAUAGUUUUCUAUCAGGCAGGGAUACAUAGUUUGUGCUCUAAUAAUACAUUCACAUAUCAGUUAGUUUUUCAAAGUCAAAGUCCAUUUCAGUGCGAACAGGUGUUCUUUUAAAGGUGUUUGGCAAAACUGAGAUGCUUUUUGGGGGGAACAAUACACAGCCAAGCCAACAGAGAGGUGAGGGAUUUCCUAGAUUGACAAAGCUGUUGAGCCGGCAUGUCCGCAUACAAGCAACAUCAGCGCCUUCUGUGUGUGCAUGUGUUUUCUGGAGCCAAACUGAUUGUGACCCAGUUGCACUGCUGACUGACACCAGACCAUGUGGACAUGCUUAUUUUUCUUAGUUCAGACAAGCGAAGAGAAAACCGUACACUCUGAUACAUACUGGAAUAUUUUUCUUGUUGCAGCAGUUCCAUGUUUUGCGGUAUGAGCCUUUGUAUUAGUGGUUUGGAUUAUCAAAUGUGUCUCUUGAAAUUCAAGAUGUACAAAUGGACUGAUUUGGUGUUUGUUUUGGAAGUAGGGGAAGUCAAGAGGAAAUUGAUGACAGUAACUCUUUAUAUUCUUUCUCUAGCAGGCUUUUCUAAACUGGGUUUUAACAGCAUUUCAGCCCUCCAUCCUGGAAUUGAAUUUUAGGGGGAAAGGGUCCUUUAUUUAUGAUUAAUUAUAGGUCUAUAAUUUUGUUUGUUGCUACCAUAAUACUUAUUUCUACAACUCUACAUUUUCAAUGGCAGCUGCAUUGGUUUGUAUAAUGAAAUGUGUUCUGAGUUAUCCAUAAAAUGUGAUUAUUGAAAUGUAGUAAAAUUGCAAAAGAGGAUUAAUUCACUGAGCAUGCAUCUGCAGAGAAAUUUAUGAGCAGUGCUAAUGUGCUCUUGAGCUCAGUCAAUGAAAGAACAUUCUCGGACACAAUGCGGUGCCACCACAAGAAAUUAUUGCUGUUAGUUCUCCUUAUUGUGCAUGUAAUUGAAUUGAGCUUUGGAUCAAUACAGCUGGGUCUAAAAGCCUCAUCUGGCAUGUUUGUGUCAUCAAUUGAAUUGAAUUGCACAAAGUUGGACUCAGCCUUCAUGUCAUGUAACAUAAUGAAACCACUGCCUGGGUUGUGGUCUGAGUAACACUGUAGCAGGGGAGGAUGACUCUGGCCCUGAUUCCAGUUCUGCCUGAGUUUAGACUUUGAAACUCUCUGAACUGAAACGUGAAGUAAUUCAUGAUGGAGGAUGUAAAGUCUGCUCCUAAAUCCUACAGGGGGGAUGGUGAUGUACCACAUAGGCUUACAGAAACAAGUCAGUGAUUGAAAGGGUUUUAUUGCACACAGGAUCCUCUGUAAGCCUACAGGGCUGAACUGAGAGGGGGAAAAAAUACAACAACAAAUGGCAACAAAAAAAAAAAGUAGUGGUCCUUCUUACAAAAUAAAAACAGAGUAUUCACGGUUUCCGGUGUUUAUGUAACGAGGACAAAAAGACAGUGAAUAAGCAGUGAAGUGAGUUGAGCCAUGUUGACAGUGUGGCCUUUUGUUCCUGGCGAGGACAGUUGUUAGAUUGAAUUGAUCUGACUUUAGAGCCUAACCAUUUAUCUUGGUCAGUCAUAUCUGAUCUGUGGCUGUCAAGUGGAGACAGGCUCCUCUGAGAAAUAAACCGCUUGGAGAGACAGUUGAGGGGCCUUAUGUACUUCUGUACCUUGAAGACAGAGUUUGUUUUCCAUUCAGGGGUCUUCUAAGUCUAUUAUUACUUAAUUCAUGUUUUCUAUUGUGGUCUAUGUCCGUCCAUGUAGUCUGUAUUUUCUAUCCUUAGCUGUUCUACCCCUGUCUCUUAUUGGAGCUGUUUUGAUGAGUGAAUUUCCCCCAGUGACGCAGCAGUAAUAUGAUAUCUCAUCUUAUUCCACUUCUAAUAAUAACUAUAUUUAGUCAUAAUUUAUUAACCAAAAAAAAAAGGUUUACAUAGAGGGCUUUGAAAGACAAGCAAAGCAUUAGGGCUGUAAUCAACAAAAGAAAUACUUGGUCGACUAAAACCUUGAGAUUUUCGAGCAAAAAUUGACUAAUCAGGGAGCAAACCAUCGAAAGUUGAUCAGCGUGGACGCUCUUCAAUCUCUCUGUCUCCAGCCGGUCUCCAGUGGGUUGGGUGAAUCUGAAAUGGUGAAAAAAAGAGGGGUGUUCUGAGAUAGGCUGGUACCUGUGAAACUGUUACCUGUGCUGUGAAAACACCCCCAUUAGCACUUGGUAAGUUCCUUCUGACGACAUUAACCAUUGACUGUAAAUGGACGCAGAAAAAAAUGGAGUUGACCAAUCAGAACUUUGGUUGACUCAGCACGUAUCGUGCAAUGAGUCGACCAGUCGACUAGGAUUUUACAGCCCUGCAAAGCAUAUACAAGAAUAAAGCACAGGAACCAACAACAAUUGAACCUGAACAUCAAGAAUCCAACAAAAAAGAAGCCAAACAGCAUUAUAAAACAAAAACACCAUGGGACAAUAACAGGACCUUUAAUAGCCAUAAGAUACCAAUCAACAGCAGAGCUUGAUCUCAUGAACUUAAACCAUAAGGACCAGGGAAAAAAAAUGGUUAAUAACAAAGAGGUAAAAACAAUAAGAAGGAGUAAGACAGUGAAAUAGAGAUGAAUGCAAUGGGGUGAUAAGAGAUGUAAAGACAGAAAGUUUAAAGUGGAAAAGAAGAUUAUGAACCAAUGCUAAAAGGAAGCUGUUAAUUAAAAUUAAUAUUAUCUUUGGCUGAGGGGAUGGUGAUUGAGGCUGAUUUGACUAUUUUCUACACCAAACUCUUUAAUUUACAACAUAUUGAAAAUGGUUCAACCUAACCAUCUCCUGUUCUAGUUUUUUCCAUUAAAAAGCAGUCCAAAUUUAGUGAAAAUUUCCCUCAUGUGAUUUGAGUGCCUAUUAUACAGAGGGAAAUUGUUUUGCUAGGGCAAUAUCAAUUAACUUUUAUAGCUGAUGUAACAACACAAUUUUAGUUUUAUUGAAAUCAAACUCCAUAUUUGUAAUCAGCUGGAGCACAUAAAUUAUGUUAUUUCGAUUUAAAUGGUCAAAUGGGAUUAAUAAACAUGCUCUGCCACUUUCUCUCCAGCUGUGGAGGCAUGCUGCUGCUUUUCCUCAAGUCAUGUUUUCCUGUGAGGUUUUACAUUAAUUCAAUGCCAUCCAAGGACCCUGUUAAAAAAUAAACAAACCUUAAGAUUCUAUUGGCACAUUUGCAGCUAAGCACUGUCACUCCAAUUUAGACGGCUGUGAGUUGAUCCUUUUGACCGUGUCUUCCGCUACCUGGGCCAUUUCUAAGCCAUGGAUGAUAAUCCUCGAGGGGCCCUCAUUAAGUCUGUGCUCCAAUUAAGCCACACACAUUUUGCUGCAGCACAAUUGCUCUGUACCACAGCGCGCAAAUCCUCCAACAGUGGAUUAGGCUGAUCAGUGGGUGGGAUGAAAAUAGCAGUGCUGGUAAGAUGGUGAAAGAGGUGAGCAUUUCUGAGGUGUCAGCAGCAGCAGCUCCCGCUCACAUGUCCUGUAGUACAAUCCGAGUUCAGGGAAAGUAUAUAGGAUGUGAAAAUUCACUAAAUUUAUAGUUACAGUAGAAACGGUCCAUGUAAGUGGCUCAAACAUGGCUUAGCAAGUGGAGUCACUCAGGAAGCUAGUGCUGCUGAACUUUGAUAUAGUGGGGUUAUGUGGCUGGCCUAAAUUUUUCUGAUCCUUCAGAGUUUCAUAAUCCAUUUCACAUCCAGUUGCAGUCUUGAUGAGGUUGUCUGGAUAUGAUGUCUUAGCAUCUCAUUGAGUUUGCAUUGUAUUUUAAGCAUCGCAAAAGGAUAAUAUUGUUAUUCUAAAACCUACAUGCAGCAGUAGCUUUAUUUUGUUGAUCAACAGUCAUUUAAAUAUUUACUUGCUGACUGUGAAAGAGUAUUGAAGAGCUGGUCUAUUCAACUGUUAGCCCCUGAGCUAAAUCUGGCUCACAGGCAACCUCUGAGCGGCCCCAACCCAACCAGCACAGAUGAAUCCAAUAUAUUAUACAAUAACUGAACAGUACAGGAAGUGUGCAUGGACGUUGCUUGGGAGUUGAGCGCCUUACUUCAUUAACUAACGUUCUCUAGAGUUGCACAUGCGUAGUACUCAUCAGAACAGAGUUUUAUGAAAGUUGAAGAGUUUAAAACCUUCCAACCAUACUUGGUAUCUUAGCUUUGGAUUCUAGAUAGUGAAACUGGUGGUUUAACUCUUUCAGGUAUUUCUAUGUUUUACAGCCAACUUAAAAUGCAAAGCCAAUGUGCCAGUUUGCGACUUUCCCAAAGGAAUACAGGGGAGGGAUGCAAGUUUCAGAGCAGAUUAUCGCUUAAUUCUGCAAGGUUCAUCUGGAAGGUGUUUUUUCAAGGCACAGGUGAAGAAUAAAGGUGCAGAACCACUCAAACCUCAUUCUCACUACUCUUUUAUAUCAGCAAAUGAUGAACCAUGACUGCUGUGGAGUAUUUAUGAUUUUCUUUUCUUUAAUGCAUUUUUUCCAGGCUUCUUUCCACUGUGGGUGUCACCUCAGACACCGCUGAGGGAAGGCUGCUCUGACAAACCAGUUAGGAGAGCCUACUGCAAUGACUUCAUUAGUUUACUGAGUCUCAUAGACCGCUUAGUGAGAUACCAUGUGAUUACCCAAUGAACCAUUUUGAGCAGUUAACACUAUUUUCUAGGAUUCUUACAACACAAAAUGCAAAAAUAACCAUAUUCAUGUACAGUAGGAACUCAGAAUUCUCCACUAGUUUCUGCCUAAGGGAACAAUGGCGCUUUUAUAGAUAUGUGAACAGUAAUUGCCCCUAACAGCUAUAAUUAAUGGCUAUGACCCCUUUAAACACAAUUCUGCUUGUAAGUGGUGUUUGUAACCUUGGAGACCAGCCUUAGCAGUGGUACUGGUGUGGACUUUGAGUGUAGUCUGUUGGUCAGAUAUACUGAGCAACAAGAACAAGUAAAUGUAAAUGUUUUAUGUGUGCAGUUGUUGUUUAAUUUACAGCUCAGUUAACUGUAAAGUAGCAGGAAAAACACAUCUGCAGGAUCACGAUGUCAACCACAACAACUCAUAGAGGGAAAGUAGCUCAAUUGGAAGCUUCAUUUGUCCCUGUGUCCUUAUGUGAAAUAAAUCUAAGUAGACCAAAGAGAUCGUGGUUUCAAGAAUGCUCCCUUGAGAUGCUCUUGAUCUAUUGCUGAUGUGCAUUUCUACUGACAGAAAGACAGUAACCCUGCACCGCAAAGUAGAAUGGCAUGAGCCCCACAAAUGCUUCUCACUUGUCUUCCCCCAACUCAAACGAUGGUGUAAUGAGCCAUUCUCUGGCAGCUAUUUAGGCAGAAAAAUGAUCAAGUUGACCAGGCAAGGAGAAAGAUGCUGUGCAUAUGUCACGCUGGUCCUUUUUCUGCCUGCUUCCCUGUUGUGGCUCAGCUAAUGCUCUUCCUUGGACUGACAUUUCUUCAAGGAUGUUUAUCCUGGAUCGCUGGGCAUUUGUGGUGGCUGAGUCGGUUGAAGUCGUGAGCUCACUCUUUAUGUCGGCUCUGAUUUGUGUUUCUUUUGUUUACUUUCAGACCCUGGGGUUAGUGACCUGUGAAUAGAGUCACACUGGGGAUAGGACUUCCUUGCUUCUGUAACGGUGUAUGGACGUCUGACUUUGGGAAGCCCAGCAGGUAUGUCAAAACCAAUUCCUGUCUUCUUGUGUGUUUGAAGUUCUUGCCUUUUUUAUUUUAGUCAAAUUUAUAUAAAAGGUCAGCUUAACAUAAAAGAAUACAAACACAGCAAACAACAUUGCAAACCAAACAUAGCAUGUGCUCAUUGGCACACAGACUGUGUAAAAUAAUCCACAAACAAAUGAUCCAAACAUAAGUGGUUGUUGGUUUUCACAAUAAAAAAGGAAUAAAAGCAUCCUAAGAAAAACACCAUUAUCUUCUACCAUAAUUUAAAAAACAUCUGUUUAGCAAUGAAGCAAUGGCCCUCUGACUUAGUUAAUUAGGAACCUUGUGGAAGGUCAAAAGUCAUCAUGUGCACAGUUACAGAAUACCCCCCUCUUUGUCUUCUUGAGCCCAGUUUGGCCCUGUAUCAGCAGCAGCAACAAUACAUGCAACACGUGAUGGAGCGCAGUUCAACACUAUUCUGGGAAUGGCAACCUGUUUCACUUAUAAAAAAAACAUAUUAGACAAACAUAUUAGAUGCAAGCCUGAUGUGACUGUGCCAUCUGUUCCAGUGUUUAGGUCCCCUGGCAGUGAAAGCCCAAUUACCCCUAGUUUAUACUAUAUCACACAAAAUUAACAUAUUUGUUAUCCUCAGCUUGGACUUAAAUUUGAUUUUCAGUAUAGCACUGCCUGGAAAUAUCACAAUGCCUUCAUUGUGUUUAAAUGGUUAAAUUGAGAUAUUAGUAACUCUGCAAUUAGUGCUGGGAGCACUGUAGGGUAUUAGAUAAUACAUGUUCGAAAUGUCCUUCUCUGCCCUCGUUUUUAAAAGGCGCUGCAGCUAGUGGAGACAAAGAAAGAAAUCAUUUGCAUUGUGCUUCACACAAUUUCCCCUUUAUUAUAAACAUGGAGCACGAAAAAUUCACUUGUCUUCCCACACAUCUUUGAAAUAAAGCUUUAAAAACAACAAUAUAGAAGUCUGCAGCCACGGUUUUUAUUGAAAAGUCACAUUAGAGGAAGUUUGUCCAUGACGUAGACAUCUGCUGCUGUCACAGAGAUGACAAAAAUAACCUAUUAACAGCAUCUGAGCUAUUAAGGAGAUUUAAAUAACUUGAUUUAUAACUAUAUGUGGUAAAGACAAAACAUGACUCAAACAGGGUGUACAUCUGGAAUGACGUGAGAUUGUCUGUCUUCAGGUUUUCCCUCUCAAAUUUUGUCAACAUUGGAAAAAUAAAAAGGAAAGAAAAACAUAGUUAACUUAACUGAAUCACCAGCCCCAGCACUGCCCCAAAUGCUUAACGGCAUCAAAGUGGCAUCUCCCCCAAAGGGCAGAGAUGACAAAGAAUGACUUGCAGGGUGUCAGACACAUCUAACCAACAUGCUUAAACGCCCGGCCUCAAAUGCCACUGCUGCAUGGUCAAACCUAAUGGGCAUGGUCACCAGCCCCUCUAUUUUCCUUUCAUGUCACUUUUUCAAUAAAAGCACCCAGGCAAGAUGAGGCAAGAAAGACUGAGACCGGGUGGAAAUUAAUGUGAUCACGUCGGGGAAGGGACUGUGCUGAACGACGUGUGGAAGGAAAAUGUGUCUCUCUGAACUCCCCUGCUGCCGUGAGGCAUAACACAAUUAGACUUUAGAUUGUUUUUUCCUCUCCCUCUGCCCAUCUGAUUUCUGCUCUUGCCCGGCUAUUCUCUUUCAUCUGCUUUAUUCCUCUGUAUUGUCAUAAUGUAGCAGACCCUGAGUGCUCUCACAGAUCACUGGUACAGCUUAUCAGUGAAGUGGUGCCGCUUCAAAUUGGGUGCCUUAAUUUAGUCUCUCUACAUUCAUUCUCAGGAUUACACUUUCAGGGGGGAAACGGCUGUGGUGGUGGAAAAGAAAGAUAAACAUACUUUAGCUAGAGCAAUCUUGACUAUGGCACAUGGAAAUGCAGAUUUUUUUGGUCUUAUUAAAGAGGGAAAAAAAGUGUAUCUAGAGUUCUUAACGUUGGAGCGACUUUUGCUUUUAGAAACGUCUGCUCUGAGUAAUCCUCAGAAGUGUUUGAGAGAUAAGUGGAGGGCAGGUUGACAUCGGGUCAAGUUAAACCGCAGGAAAAAUACAACUAACUCCUCAAGUAAUUCAGCGCUUUGUUCGAGUUAAUGACUGUAGUGUUAAACGCUCAAUGAACACAGUGAAGUGCAAAGCUGCUGGGAGUAAAACUUCUACAGACGUGAUCAGAUUUACAUCAACUAAAACGGACAGUAAUCAGUGUCACUGUUCAUAUUUGACAUGCAUGUUGCACCUGUAGGAUUGCAAACACAACUCUUGACUUAGAUAGUAUGGCCUGCCUGCUAUAACAUGAAUAGGAAUGGUGAACUCUGAAUGAACUUUCUUUGCAGUGCUGUCAGAAAAAUUUAAAAUGAGGCAUCUCCAUGCUAGUUUUUCUAUAGCAAGAAGGAGGUCGAGUGAAAUCUGUCUGGGGAUUGUGUAUACAGACCUUAUUUAUUCUACCACAAACUACUCUAGGAACAGGUGUUAGAUAUUUAAAAGACUUAAGAGAUGAAGAAAAAUAACCAACAGUGAUAUACAAAAUCAGAAAAGCACAGUACCGCCUCAGCAUCACACUCAGGUAAUGACAUAACUGUUUCUAAUACGCCAAAUGCAGGGUAAAUGUUGGCUGUGGAGAGGGAAAUUAUUCAGGCCAACUGCCAGGUCAAUAGCAGCUGUUUUUUUUCUUUUUUAUAAUAGUAUAUGUAUUAUGGAGUCGUUCAACUCUCAGCUGGAGGGUUGACGGGUUAGUUCCAGCUCCCUCUGUCAUACGCCAAAGUGUCUUUAGGCAGGAUGCUGAACUUGAAUCUGAGUGCGAUUAGUUCAUACUGAUGGUCUCCUGCUGUAGCAUCCUUUUCCAUCAGUGUUUGAGUGUGGUGUGGAUGACUAAAAGUGACAGGUGAAAGUAUAAAAUGCUUUCAGGAGAGCAGAGCUGCUCGAUUAUGGCAAAACUCACUGCCAUGAUUAUUUUGAUUGAUAUCAGGAUCUAAAUUAUCAAACAAAAUUACUCAUGAUUUGACUAUUGUACCACAUACAUUUAAACAACUUAAAAAUUCUAAAACUAAGUAUCGCAACAAGGUAACGUAACAUGGCAAAGUGUUAUCCUCCAUGAUCAUGAUUUCAAGAUAUUGACGAAACCUAAUUCAUCACUCAGCUGUACUGGAGAGUCUAAGAAUAUCAGUGAAAAGCUCAGUUUAGCCAGUUCUUAAAGCUCCCAUAAGGAACUUUCAGUCUUUGAUGAAUUCAGCACUCCUAGUGGACAAAUUGGUCCUUGCUAUCGUCUUUUGACAUUCAAAUAUGCCACCAACAGAGGAUAAUUUCUAUUAUGUAAAUGUGGAAAAAAAAAACCACCAGCAGUUUUAGAUGUUGAAAUAACUGUUUAGAAGCAGCUUCUUGUUAAUGCACCUUUUUGCCUGUACAGUAGGGCUGGGCAAUAUGGCCUCAAAUCAAUAUCAAGAAAAAUUGAGCAGUUCACCACGAUAAUGAUAAAUGGACGAUAACUCCUCCACAAGCUGCUCACAUUUUGUCUACUUCAACCGCCGCUCCAGCCGCUUCAACUUUUGAACCGUCCUCCAUCUCCUCACCUGUCUUUCCCUCUUUGUUAUGGACUGGAUGGGGUGGAGUCAUGUCACUGACGUAGAACAGCAUCUAAAAGGGACAUGAGACCAUAGCUUACCUACACACAUCCAAAACCAACUUUUAUUUAUUUAUUUUUAUGACACUGAAUGUAUUGACAUGGGCAAAACUAUGUCGGUUAUUGUUGUAAAUUUCAGUAUCUGUAAAUUUUCUGUUUAUCACCCAGCCCUCCUGUACAGGUCAUCAGGAGAUAUCUUUAUUUAUUUAAGUUUGUUUCACAUCUAGCUACAAACCUCUCACAGGAGCUUUAAGUUUUCAGAUAUUUAGGGAAUAUAAUAUCCUUUUCUAAGUGAUGUGACCACUGGCUCACCAUUGACAAAGAUUAAAGAUUGUACUGCUGAAGACAAAUUUAAACUUGCAUCUAAAAAUACCCGCAAUCGUAUUUUCACUUUGCCAAAGAUCUGCUCUUCAUGUGCGUCUGCGCUUGUCAUGCUCUACUUCCAUACAGGAUCCACAUGCUUUACAACUGGUGAAUUAUUCAUCUCCCUAAUAUAAUUGAUGUGUGCUCUGAGAAAGCAUGCAGAAAGAGGUACAAAAGGAAGUGUCUUCACUACCACGCAUGUUCAAUAUUCAAAGGGCCGAGGGGAAAUGUACCAUGGGGCUAUACUGAAGGUUCAUAAUGUAUUCACUAUAAUCAUUGAAGUCAAAUAGCACACAGUGGAGCUGCAGCUGUGAGGGGGAGUCCAGUAGACUACCAAGCUAGUGAGCCUGAUAAUUUUACUGAAUUUUAAUGGCUAUGUUUACCCACCAACUGCAUUAGGAUUUGCUCCAUUUUCAGACUUGCUGUCAGAUGCUCAUGUUUUCAUGGGCGGCUUUAAACAUGACCAGAGCAGCUGUCUUCAAAUUUGCAUUUCGAAUUGUUUUUUAAGGCAUUACUCAUGGACGUGAGGGUUGAAACAAUAUUCAUCUGUGGCUGCACUUUAGUAGAACGAACGUAAAGGCAUGAUUAAGCCAUUAAGGCCACAUCUGCCAGCCUAAUUUCUUUUUAAUUUGCUGAGAACUCCGCUGUAUAUUGCUACAGUGGAUGUGACAUUUUGAUUAAGCAAGGGCUGUAAAAAUGAUUACCACAGGGUUACAGAGGGUUACUGCUCACAUCACUGUGGAGAACAGUAACCAGAGGUCCACAGUGGCUACCACUGCCAAACCAGCACACCCCUGAAAUCACACUGACCUCCCUUCUAUCAUUACAGCAAUCUGUGUCACACACUGUGAGCACAGAGAAAGGAGGAGACAACCUCAAUCAAUCUCUCUGUGUGCGGGCAAACAUACACAUUUUAUACCAGUAAACCUCAUAUUAUUUUAUGGAAUGCUUUGAUUUUACAGCCGAGCUUAUUACAUCAGAGUAUUUACAUCUAUUUUAAAGCUUUUCUUCUCGUGGUAAAUCCCUCUUGAGAAUUUCUUUUUUUAAUGCUGCCUUUGGCAUAAACACUGGGACUAGAAAUAGAACUCUCAGAUUAAUUUGACACACGGAGUGCCAACUUGAAACACUGAAGUGCCGACAAAGCCAUGAAUGAUUGUGGUAAAUACUGUGUAUAUGCCUAAAUAAAUGGUAUCUGGUUCUGGGGGAUCAGUCCUUAUUUGAUGCAUGAGUAAAACAUAACUCCAUUUGCAGGGGAAAUCCUUGUGAAACUGAUAAAGCAGGAACUAAAUCAAAGAGGCAUUUGUGGCAACAUUUGUUGGGUUAUUUUGCUCUCAUAAGACGGGAGACAAGACAAGCCUUGGGUCGUUUUUGAAAAUGAUGAAGUAAAGGCUAUUCAAACUUUGUGCGUACAGACAGACAGAUCCGUUGUGCUAAUCAUUUUCAAUACCCAUCAUACAAUUUACAGUAUAGUUUAUAAGUCAACAAUGGAAUUCCCCAAAU
rnacentral:lncRNA from 1 species